CUUCCAGUAAAUACGUAAAGAUCAUUGACAUAAAAAAGUAUGGGUUUAAGACCCCACUUAAACAUGUCUGGGCCUUAUAAUUCAAGGGUCACUGCGAGAGUCUCCUUAGAACUCAGUUUGUUGAGUUUAAAAAGGUUUUGAUCAGUGAGGGUGUUGACAAGAAAUUUAGAAAAACUUGUUUUAGUCACUUUUUGAACUUGGAAAAAGAUGUAGCGCUACAACUCCUUCCAUUGAAGUUGAUGCAUAACAUUUUUCUUCGUUGAAUCUUCUGUGAAAAGAAAAAGAAGAUCUAGAAUGAUUAUAAUUGUUUGCUUAUUUAUUUUGGCAUAAAUGAAUUCAUUGUCAUGAAUAGACUCCAAUGUCACUCUACCUCCCUUGCACCCCUUAGUCAACAGUUGGCAAAAAUUUUGGAAAAAGAGGGUGCAAAUUUGGUUGAUAAGUGGGAAAGUUUAUUGUACUCAUUGAAAGGAUAAAGAAUCCAAGGAUGAUGAAAAAACAAAAGUUGGCAGUGAGCGUGGUUUGGUUCUUGCAUAGCAUAUUAUUUGUUUAAAAGUGGUGUCGAAUAAAAAUGUAUUUGUUUCAUAUCCAUGGGAUCGAAUGUGCUUCAAUCUUUUUAUUAAAUAUCAUUUAGAAGAACUGAAUUCAUCCAAGAGUAUAAGGAGAUCACCUUGCUAUUGGAUCUUGGAUGGAUUCAAUUCUUUUAAAAGAUAUUCAACAGUAAGAUUGAAGCUUAUUUGAUUCCAUGAAUAUGAAUCGAAUAUAUUUUUAUUCGACACCAUCUUUUACCGGUUGGUGUCCAUCUUUUUUGUAUCUUUUGAACAUAAUAUAUUAUGCAAGAACCAAACCGCUCACUACCAUCGUUUUACUCUUUUUGUCAGCUUUGGAUCAUUUCUCUUCUAAAUGAGCUCAAUAGACUUCUCCACUAUAUCAACCAAAUUCGCAUGUAGAGAAUGACAUAAGAGUCCAAUCAUGAUAACGAAUACAUUGAUCCCAAAACAAAUACACAAGUCACUGAAACCACACCAAAUCUACUAUUUCUUUUCACAAAAGACUCCACGAAGAAGAAUGCUAUGCAUCAGCUUUAGUGGGAAUUGUAGCUCCAUAUCUCUGUUCAAGGUUAAAAAGCGACCAAAACAAGUUUUUUUUAAAUAUCCUUCUUAAUACCCUCAUUGAUCAAAUUAUUGUUAAACUCAACAAAUUGUGUUCCAAAGUUGACACUCGCAGUGACCCAUGAAUAAUAAUGCAUAGACAUGUUCAAGUGGGUCUUAAGAUCCAUACUUUUCAUGUCAAUAGUCUUGCUGCAUUACUGGAACCGAAAGAGCCUCAGGAUCACAGUCAUCACUUGAGUAUCUAGUACCUUUAAAAUUAUCAUAUCCACCAACAUCAUUAUUUGACCUAGCAACAACUUCUAAUCGGGCAUCCUUUUUAACUUUGUUAUUUUUAUCUAUUUUUUGUUCUUUCUAAUGUAGCUGCUGCUGAAUCCUCAACCAAAUUUUUUGCUGAUGUGUUCUCAUUUCUUUCUUCUCCUUUAGAUGAAUGCUUCCUUGUACUAUGAUCAACUUUUCUUCAAAUCAUCAAUCAUAGUUCUGUCUUUAACUGUUCAGUUGCACUCUCACCUUUUUUUCUUCUUUGCCUGACUAUUCACUGCUACUCUCAUGUGUUUCUUUUUCACCAACCAAUUGGUCAUUACUUAAAGGCACCACAAUUUCCAAAGGUACAAAAUCAAAAGCCUUAGUUGUUUGUGCAGUUUUGUUUGCUUCCUUAGUCAACUUUUACAAUUAUGUGGUAGCUUUUUUACUGUGUGUACCACAGUCAAAUGUCAUUACCACUAGCCACCAUUUAUAAUCAUCACCAUCAACUAUCAUUACCAUAUAAUAGCCACCAAUCACUAUCGACAAUGAUAACCACCAUAAGUCACCACUAUAUAUUUUCUUAACAAGUACGAGGUAACUCUAUCCACCAAGGCUAGAACAGAUAAGAAGAGUCACCUAAUAUUUUUAUCUUUGCUGGAAUUUAAACCCGAGACCACAUGACUCUCAACCACUUCAUUAAUCACUAGACCACGCCCUUGGUUGCCCAUCAGUCACCACUAUAUAUAACCAACCAACAUCAUCAUUUACCACUAUCAUCCACCACAAUUAUCAAUUACCCCAAUUAUCAACCAUCAUUAACCACUACUACAAAUCCCCUACCAUCAUUAGGUACUACCUACAACCACCACCAUUAGUCAACACCAUUCUUAAUCGGCACCCACAACCACUAUCGCUAUCUAUCAGCACCACCAACCAUUAUACAAUUUUUUAAAACUAUUUUUGUAGUAUUACAUUUAUUUAGUAUUUUAUAUAAAUUUUAUAUUUAUUACUCCAUCUAUCCUAAUGUAUGUGACACUUUUGGAUUUCAAAAGUCAAAUGAGCUUUUUUUGGACCACAAUAUUUUUCAUACACCUCGUAAAUAUUUUGAAUUGUCAAUUAUUGUGACUUGCAGUACUUUUUACGUAGUUCUGAAAAACUGUAAAUUUUAUUUAUAAAAGCUUAAAGAUUGCAUGUACAAAUUAAUGAUCAAACUUCAAAACUGGCUCUCGACGGUCAAAUUGAGCCACAUAAAUUGGGACAGAGGGGAUAAUUUUUAAAUAAACGACAACUUCUAUACAUUCAGAUGUUGAGAAGACAAACAAUUUAAAUUAUUUAGUAUUCAAAUUUUAAUAUUUAGAAAUGUAUUAGGAAGCAUACAUCUAGAUCCUAAUGCGCAUCUUAAUAUUUAGAUUUAUAUGUUUUAAUCUUAAUAAAAAUAAUAUGAGUUCCAUUUUGUCAUAAAUCUUAAUCAGACUUAUUAAAUGGCCUUGCACCUUUUCAUUUGAAUGGGAAAGAAAACCCUAAAACAAGAAUAAGAAGUGAAUAGUCAAAAUUUUCCUUCAAAGUUCUAAAAUUCUUUUGAAAUAUGGUUACCAAUGAAGUCUAAAAGUGUAGGCUUACGCCCUACUGCCCUAGUACUUCCUAGUUUAAUCAAACUUCAGAAGAAUACAAGAAACUUCAAAUAUCUUGUACUUUCUAUCACUUGUCAGUCAAACACACCCAUAGGUAAGAUUGUAAAGCCUAUCCAUAUUUUGGAGUUUGGACCAGACAAGUUUUGUUGAUAAACUAGCUAUUUAUGCCCCACAUUCUUUUCUAAUUAUGAAGGUUUCGAACCUAAUAGUUGAUAACUAGCAGUGCAAUGCCUCUGAAUAUGAUGCAAUUCUACUAUUAACUGUGAUGCCUAUGGGAAUCUUUUUUUUUUUUGAGAUUGGUAACUGAUUCUAUUUCUUUAAAUCAGUACUUGGGUAGUACUGAAAACCAUAUUUACAUAAUGAACUCUAAAGGCACUGUCAUAUCCCUAUAAUGAGUCUAAAACAUCGAUAAUAGAGACAAUGUCAUUAGAGUAGAUCUGAUAAAACCAACACAAAGUUAGAAUACAAUUCAAUUUUAGUUGCUGCAUAUUACUCUCCUUAUUCUGAAAAACUCCAAGAUUUCUCUCUUUCCAGAUAGUCCACCAAAUAGUAGCAGAAAUGAUUCUACAGUUGCUUCUGUUCUUUGUUUGUAAUCCUGCUUCUUCCCAACUGUAUAAGGGCUCUGCAAUUUUUCCAGGCAUGACCCAUGAGUUGUUUUUGACCCUUAGGAUUAAUAGACUCCACAAUUGGCCAGUGAUCUUACACUGGAUGAACAAAUGAUUGACUGUUUCUGUAGUUUCCCCACAAAAAAACAUAUCGAGCAGUGUAACCCCCCCCCCUCCUCUUCGUCAAAUUCUCCUGUGUCAACACAACUUCCUUAGCCAGUAACCACACAUAACAAGCCACUUUGUCUGCGAUCUUUGAUGAGUCGGGAAUUUUGACUCAUUUAGGGCUUGUUAUUUUAUGAAUUAGUGUCCUCAAUACUUAUUAUGUGUUCAUAACUGAUGUUAACUUGUUUAUGUGCAGCCGCUUAAGAAUAAGGAAAGGACAUUACAUUGCAAAAAGAAGCAAAGAAAAAAAAAGUUUGAAAAGUUGAGGAAAAGUGCACUUGCCGAUAUCUGCUCAGAUUAAUGAUUUGGCGUGAUCCGAAACUCACCAUUCUUGCCUGUUAUGGCUGAUUGAACAAUUGCAUUCUUCCUGUUGUAGCAAACUAGUCUCGCAGAAGCUCCUGCAAGAAUACUAUUAUUAAUUAGUGUAACCAUUGAAUCAUAUUAAGUUCAAUUCCAAGAGAAAAAAUGAUUAGAAGAUGAUAUAAGAAUUUCAAAGUUCAGCAUGCUUGAAAGAGUAUUACUACAAUACAAAACUAACUAAAUCCUGUUGAAUUACAAUAUUAAAAAAGUAUUGAAUCAUUAAUGUAUCAUAAAAUCAUUGAACUAAUAAAAUCAAGUUAAAGGAUCACAAAAAUUGAUAAAAGGAUAGAAAAUCUAACCUUAGGUAAAGAACGCCGAGAAAUUGCUGGUCCAACACCUCUUUUUUGGGGUUUUAUCGACUGUGCUUUUGAAGAAGAUUGACUAUCCUUCACCUUCUUAAUGUUUACUUUCGCCAUUACGAAAGGAUUAUGCAAUUUCUUAGAUCUGUUUUCUGCCUAAUCAAUUUCUUCGUAAUCAUAAACACAAUUGGUGUUAAAUGACAUUAUCUGGGUCAUCUCAUUACUGAAUGAAAGUGCAUCAUCCACAAUGUAUCACAAUUUUGAUGAAGAAAAAAAAAGUAUGAAUUGUGAGUGAAAAUUUUUGAAACAAUACCGGAUGGAUGAUCGACUGGAGAGAGAAAGAUCUUAAAAUUCAAAAUUGUAAUGAGAGAAUAAAUUGAUAAGAUUAUGGGAGUAAAAAAAGGAGUGAUUUAAGGAGUGAAAAGGGGAGAGAUAAACGUGGGUUAGGAAAAAAUAAGUUAUGUAUCUGGAAGUUGGGUUUAAUGGAGUCAAACAAAGGAUUUUAGUAAUAUUUAGAAAGGGUAGGGAAUAAUAGAAAAUAUGUUAAAUAAUGUUGUGUAUAGAGGUAAUUUAUCCUAUUUAUUAACCUAUCUAUAGUUUCACAUAUUUAGCUAUUUUACCACUAAUUAAUAAUUUCCAACCAUAUAUUGAGGAAGAUACAACUGAAUGAUAAUACAUGUAUUUUUUUAUACCAAAUACGCUAAAAUAUGGAGAGAGGCACAUGAAAUGGAGAGAGAGGCGAGCGAGAUACUAAUGUAUCUCAGAUACAUGUAUCUGUAUGAAUCUAGUAUGUUUCGUAUCCUAGAUACAUGUGAAUCUACUUGAAUACGAUUUAUCUAGAGCGAAUUACACCAAAUUUUAACCGCAUGUAGUCCGAGAUAAAUGUAUCUGGACACAUCAAAAAUUGAUAAGUUCUCUAAAAAAUAUCUUUUGAGCCUAAUAUACCCAUUAGUGAGUUGGCAAAACAACUCUAAAUCAUCCAGAGAACGGCGAGAGCUAGUUAUUCUGUAACAGUAAAUGAUUUUUAGGCUAGGAAAUUCAUCUAGUCAAUAGAGGAUUCCUAUCCACUAGUGAUUCAAAUCGGGAUUUCUGCAGACGAUACACUUUCGCCCAGAAGAAUUAUUGUAAGUCUCAAAACUAACAUUUAAUUGUUAAAUUGCAAGUUACAACUGUUAAUUGAAAUGUGAGAAACAUAGUUUAAACUCUUCCGAGGUAGUAUAAAGAAAAUCUUUUGAAAUCUUUUGGAUGAUUUAGAGCUGCCACCCUUCCAACAUACUCAAUGAUGUAAAAAAUGUUUAACUCUGCUAACUCGAAAUAAUUAAAGGAAUUAUUUUGGAUUAGUAAAUUUAGACAUAUUUUAUAUUAUUGUAUUAUGUUGUAGUGGUGACAGCUAUAGAUCAUUCGAAAUAAUUCAAAUUGAUAAAAAAUGAAAUUGCUGAGUUACUUUUUUUCAUGUAGGGAUAUUUCAAUUAUACAUAUGAUGUAAAUGCACUUAUUUCUCAAAAUUCAAUGACAUAAUUCAGACUUUAUCUCUAUAUAAAAAAAUUAAAGAAUUUUAAUUGAAUGCCCGAUUUAGAAAUUUUAAUACUGAUCCAUAUUUAGUUGUUUUAAUUAAAGAAGAAAUGUUGUUCAUUAUUUCCAAAUCAAAAUCAUCUUCUAAUGUUAUUUAAGAAGUUCAAAAUCAAUCCUAAAUAUAUUAAAAAGUAAGAUUCACCCUUUCAUUAUUCAUAGUUAUAAAAUCAAAAACUUGAUUUGCCUAAUCAACUUGGCAAAACUAGAAUAUCACGUGACCUCCACGAUUAUAGGCGAAUUCAGAAUUUGAAAACUUUGGGUGUAUUAAUAUUACAUCUAAGAUAAACUUUAAAAAUAAAAAACAAUAAAAUAGUGUUCUAGCUAAAUUUGAACCCAAGUCUUGUGGUUGGUUCCUCUAGCUUGUACCAGCACACUGACAAACAUAUACUCUUCAUGAGUGCACAUUUAAUUAUAUUCUAAUUUAUGUCAGUUUCUCUGGAUAGAUAUACACAUAUACACAAGAAUUUUUCUCAAGUUAACAAGUGCAUGUGCACCCCAUCCUACCGCCUCUGUGCACGAUGUGCAUUAUAUUUUUUAAAAUAUAUUUAACUGAAUUGAAUUAUGUCAUCCUCUUACCAUCAAUUUUUUUUUGUUGCAUGUAUUGUAAAUUUACUAUCAAAUUUAGUAAGUUUAGACUGACGUAAGAAAUGAUAUUUAGAAAAAACUUUGAAAUUUCAUGUGCAGGUUAUAUUACUGAAAUAUGAGAACUGUUCAUUUCCAAAAAUAAAAGUGAUGUAAAUCAUCACAAAAUCUUAUUAAAUGUAAGAUCUAACAUAAUUUACUAAAUAAUAGGUAAAAAUUAAAAUAAAAUUUCAAAAGAAUAUUUUUCAAAUUAUGAUGGACAUUCAUUGUUGAGAUAACACUAUUUUUUCGAUAAAUAUCGCUAAUAUAAAAAAGGAAUAUCAAAAUAUUGAGGUUGAUUUAAAGAAGAAUGAUAUUUAGAGGACAAAUUUUAAAAUUUCACGAGCAAGUUUCAUGAUUUUUAAAGUUGAUAUGACAUUAAUUUUGUUGUUAGAAAGAAUAGGAAACCAUCUUAUUAGACAUACAUCCAUAUCAUAUUUAUUAAUUCUUUCUAUUCUUUCAAAUAAUUAUGUAUAUAUCUUACCAUUAAUUAAUAGCUUCCUACCAUAUAUUAAAAAAGAUAUAGCUAACUGGUAAUAUAUGUAUUUUUGAUACCGAAUACGCUAAAGUAUGGAGAGAGGUGUGCGAGAUGGGGAGGGAGCGAGCGACAUACUAUGUAUCUCAGAUAUAUGUGAAUCACACUAGAUACAUGUAUCUGCAUGUAUCUGGUAUCAUUCGUAUCCCAUAUACAUGUGAAUCCACUUGGUAAUAUACAAUGUAUCUACAAUAAAUUACACCAAAUUUUGACCUCAUGUAUCCCGAGAUCAAAAUCUAGUAAGUUUUCCAAAAAAUAUCUUUUGGUCCUAAUAUACCCAUUAGGGGUGCUAGCUAAAUGAGUCGGUUCAUUAGUUAAUGUAACCCUAAACCCUAACUCAGUCUAUACAAACGCAUUACGAGAUUUGGAAAAACAACUCUAAAUCGUCCAGAGAACGGCGAGAGCUAGUUAUUCUACAACACUAAAUGAUUAUUAGUCUGUAGAACUAGGAAAUUCAUCUAGUCAAUAGAGGAUUCCAAAUCACUAGCGAUUUAAAUUGGGAUUUCUGCGGACGAUACACUUUUGUCGAGGACAUUUAUUGUAAGUUUCAAAACUAACAUUUAAUUGUUAAAUUGCAAGUUUACAACUUCUAACUGAAAUGUGAGAAACAUAGUUUAAAAUUUUCCGAGGUAGUUUAAAGAAAAUUGAUUUUCUUAAAAGUAUUUAAAAGAAUAUUUUAUAAAUCGUAAAGAAUAAGAAUGAUAUAAUUUUUCGCCUUUGAUUAAAGCACUUCUUCUAUGCCUUAAAUUAAAUUAUUAUAGAACAAAGUAUAAAAAAGGUAAAAAAAUAAAUAUGAAUGACAUCAUCUUGUUGAAUAAUUAAUGUGCACAUAAACUAAAUUAGACAUCACUAUUAGUCACAACCAAAAUCCCUACAUGAAAUAAAAAAAAAAAACUUGCUAAUUCCAUCUCUUCUCAAUUUGAAAUCUUUUGGAUGAUUUAGAGCAGCCACCCUUCCAACAUACUCAACAAUAUAAUUUUUUUUUAUAAUUUUGACGACUCGAAAUAAUUAAAGAAAUUAUUUUGGGUAAGUAAAUUUAGAUAUAUUUGAUAUAAUUGGUUAUGUUGUAGUGGUGACAGGGUAAAACUUACCCGCUCCGGGUGUAUACACCAAUCCAAUACAUGCACGCCAUGUGUUUGAAUUUACAGUUCAUUUUACUUAAUCUUAAUUAAUUAACAUGCGUUUUACUUCAUUAAAUCAGGUAAUAAUGGAAUUAAUUAUACUAAAUGAAUACAUGCAUAAAGUAUAUCAAAUACAUGCAUCCAAUGUAGUAAUUUGGGAGAUAAAUAUAAAAUAUAAUGAGUUAGGUUGGGUCAGAUAUAAAUCGAAUUUUAAUUAAAUUUGAUCAGUAUAAAGAAAAAUAAAAUUUAGAAAAGAAUUUAAAAUUUUACAUGACUGAAAUAUGAAAAUUGCUUAUGUCCAAAUAUAAAAGUGAAAAUAUAAAACCAAUUUUGUCCAUAUCAUUAUUUUUUGUAAUUCAAAAAACCUCUUCACACAUAUUAAUUAUCCAAAUUAUAACAAUCCUAAAAAUUCAAACUUCUUUAAAUUUUUGUUCCUUCUUCCCAAAACGGCAAAACCUGCCUCUUCCCCCUUUUCCUUUAUAUCCAUCUGUCUUUCUUUGUUUUUUUUUUCCUAUAUCAAGAAUCAAGAAAACAAGGUAAUUAAUUAUUUUUUUCUCUUAGUAUGAUUUUUUUUAAUAUAUGGUUUAUAUGCAAAAUUGGAAUGUAUAUGUUUAUAAUUAAGGAACAAAUAUAUUUGAUUUUAGUUUCCUUUUUUUUUCUUUUCUUUUUGCAGUGUAUGAAGGAAGAUGAAUGAUUUUGAGAAACGUCUAGCUGGUUUGAAGAGUGUUUUGACAUGUGGAAUUUGCAAAAAGCUAUGCAAAGAUGUCAUAAUUAUUGAAGAAUGUUGUCACAGAUGUAAGAUUUUUUAUUUUUUUAUCUCUACGGUCGGUAGGCUUAAACCCUACUUUGUGAGAGUAAUGGUGUGUGUUGUCAUUUUUUUGGAUUUUUUAUUUUUAAUUUCAAUGAUUUUGAUAAAUCAUUUGUUCUUGUCAUUUCAGGAUCUUGAAUUUUUUAUUUUGUUUUCGUUCUUUCCAAAAAAAAAAUUAAAGAUGAAUUUAAACAUAAUUUUUUUGGGAUUCAUUUUUUAUUUGAGUGAUGUUGAUGAAUCACUUGUACUUGUGAUUUCAUAAUCUUGAAUUUUUUAUUUUCUUGGUUACUUUCUUUUCGAUUUUUUUCUUAUUUUUACCGAGGCGGAGUUAUGAAAACAACAUUCUAUCUCUUCAUAUCAUCAAACACUACUUUGUGAGACUAUUGGUGUAUGUAGUUGUAUUUUUUGGUUUUUUUUUUUAAAAAUCCAGUCAUUUAUAAAUUAUUGGUUCUUGUCAUUUGAGGAUCUUGAAUAUUUUAUUUUUACUUUUUUUUUCGUUCUUCCAAUUUUAUUUUUUUAAAAAGAUUAAUUGAAAUGUAGUUUUUUGGGGGUUCAUUUUUUAUUUGAGUGAUAUUGACAAAUCAUUUGUAUUUGUGAUUUCAUGAUCUUGAAUUUUUGAAUUUUUUAAUAUUCUUUUCAUUGUUUUUUUUUUAAUUUAAAAUUUGAAUUUUUGUUUAUGGGGUUUUUUUUUUUAUAUUAGUGAUUUUGAUAAAUCAUUUGUUCUUGUGAAUUAAUGAUCUUGAAUUUUUAUUUUUAAUCGUUCUUCCCAAUAAUUUCCAAUAGAAUUUGUGUCAUUUUUAAGGUUUAUGUGAUCUAGGUCUUUCUUUGAGAAAAUUUCGCGUAUAGCAAAUAAAAAAUUGCUAAUUGUAUGCUAUAGCAAACUUUAUAAAAUUGCAGUCCGUAGCAAAAUUUUAGUUUGCUACAGAUGUGUCUUUCUAUCAGUCUUUUUUGUUUAUAUACAUUUUGAUUGUUUAAAAAAAAAAAAGACGUUAAUUUCGGUUAGAAAAAAAAGGAAAAAAAUCACUGAAGUCACGCACAUUUUGUUUCAUUCGAAUUCCCUUCCUUCUUCGUCAUCUUCAACAGUAAGAACUCCAUUGUAACUCAAUUCAGAAAAUCGAUCAAGCUAUUGACGGUACUAUACAAACAAUCGAGAUCAUUGGACUGUAGAGAUAGCAACAGGAGGUAAUUUCAUGACAAAAACAUACUUUGAUUUUGCUUUUUUUGUUCGAAGAUGGUGUUCAACAUGUAUUCAAAAUCAGAUUUCCUUUUUAACUAUCAUCAAUUUAAGUUGAAUGUAUAUUGAGAGGUGUAUAUUUUGUUCGAAAUAGAGUUUAACGCUUAUGAUUUGUAUAGUUAAUUUGUAAUCUAGAAAAUUUUGUGAUCUGAAAAUUUUCUGUAUGAAAUUGUUGAUUAUUUUGAAUUUGUGAUCGAAAAUUCGCUCAUUUCACAGUAAUAUUUGUGUUCGAAUUUGUAUAUUUUCUUAGAGUUUAUACGUAUAGGUUUUUAGAUAUGAUUCAGUAAGAUAUGUAUAAUUCAUAUAUGAAACUAUUAUGUGUUUGUUUUAUACAGUGCAUCUUAAUCAUGAUUUUGGAUAUAUGAUUGUUAUACAAUUGCAGAAAUUGUACUCUGUGAAAGUAACAAUAACACUGCAUAUUGUUUCUGUUGGAGAUGGAUAUGAUUGAACAUACCCAGGAGGAAAUUCAAGAAUCUUGAGUUCCAUUGGAGUUGGAGUUAUAUUCUUAAAAACAAGCUGCAAAAUAUUGACAUAUUCAUUAUACAAAAUGUUUCCUUAAUCAAAUGUAAAAAUAUAUAUACAGUUUUUAUAUAUAUAUAUACAUUAGACAAACUUAUAUGUAUAAUUAUACAGUUUAUAAGCUUAUAUAUACAAAUGAGCUUAUGUUUAUACAGUUCACAUACUUAUAGGUAUAUUUGUACAUUGUAAAAAAUUUGUAUAAAUAAUAAUACAUGAAGCACAUUUAUACAUAUAGUUUUCUAUAGCACAAACUGAUACAUAAAUUUAUACAUUUACAUAUUUAUACAGUUAUAUAUAUACUAUAUUUAUACAGAUAAUAAGUAUUAUACAUAUAAUUGUACAGUGCGUACCGGAUUGUUGUCGUCUCUAAACAUGCCCUUAGCAAAAUAGCUUAGACAAGGAAAAUCUUUUUUUGUCUUCCAGUUAAGUAUCCUAGGGAUGAUAAUAAGUAUUAUACAUAUAAUUGUACAGUGCGUACCGGAUUGUUGUCGUCUCUAAACAUGCCCUUAGCAAAAUAGCUUAGACAAGGAAAAUCUUUUUUUGUCUUCCAGUUAAGUAUCCUAGGGAUGUGAUCACAUACCUUAACAACAAUUUCCUCAUCAAAAUUUGAACAACAUUCAUAAAACCACACUUGCAAAGCAAGUGGGAAACCAUACAACCUGAAAUACUUCCCAUCGUGUUUGAUCUUAGUGUGCAAAUGCAGAAUCAGAAGGUCAAAAGCCUUUUUACCCCAUGGGUAGUUAAUGUAUCUGCCUGAUUCAACCAAAUCAAAGUCUUUCCUAUCAAUAACAGUAGUGGUUGGUUCUUCGGAAAGGAUGAAUGAAUGUAUAUAGAACAAUAUAGCAAACUUCACCGCAUCAUCAUCAUUAUCCCCCCAAACCUUAUUAUCAAACUUUUCAACCAACUGACUCUUGGUGAUGGCUUUUUCGACUCCAAAAUACUGAAGAAUAAUCAUGUUUGGUUCUUCGGUAUUAAAGACAAAAUCCUUCUCAUUGUCUGAACAUUUUAACCCAGAUAUUAUAGCAAAGUCACGAAUGGUGAAUCGCAAAGUGGUGCCAUUCACAUGUAUCAGGAUUUCAUCUUUUGAGUUACCCUUAAUUUCUCUAAAAAACAUGCACCUAAUCAGUUGUGCUUGAACAUGGCACCUACGAAUGCUAGAUAAUUGGGCAAAACAUGUUGUUCCAUAAAAUUCUUUAUACUGUGAACUAGUAAGCUUUGUAGCUAACACUUUCAUUACUUCAAUAAUUGUGUAACACUGCAUGUGAGGUAUGCAUGUUGGUUCUCUUUUUCCUAAAAACUUAGCAGCCUGAAAAAAAUGCAUAUACAAUUUUACUAAAAUACACAUGUAUACAUAAUUAAGACACAAGUACAGAUAUCAAAAUGUAUGAAAUAGCUUUUAAAUGAAAAUAACAUAUACAAAUUUUAUAAAGAAAAAUACAUUAUACAAACUAAUUUCAAUUGUAUAAAUGUUUAUAUUGUAUAUAUAGAUAAAUUGUUGUAUCGCUACAAAUACAAUAACUAUUGAUAUUAUACUUAUACAAAUAAAUUCAAAUGUAUAAUUGUUUACAUUGUAUGUAUAGUGAAAUACAAACCAUUUAUGUAUAUGUAUAGGUUUGUGGAAUUGUAUAUGUCUAAAGGAACAUUAUACAAAAAGUAUCCUUAUACAAAUGAAAAAACUUAUACAUAAAAUAAUGCACAAAACUAUAUCAAAUGCACAAAUGUUUAUACUGUAUAUAUAUAGAAGUUGUUGUGACACUACUAAUACAAUAACUAUUAAAUAUUAUACAUUAUACAACCAAUUUCAAAUGUAUAAUUGUUUACCUUGUAUGUAUAGUUAAAUAGUUCUAUUUUAUACAUUUAACUUUGGAUAUUAACAUAGUGACUAUAUAAAACUGUAUAAACAAACAAAUAGAAGACAUAAAUUAACACAGAAAAUAUAAGAAAAAUAUAAAAUCGUAACAUAUACAAAAAUAAUGAUUAUACAAAUACCUCAUCAUGCUCCAAUGAGCCAGAAACAACCACUUCCUUUCUUUUUGCAUUGUCAUGUGUAUAAUUAGUUGUUUUAUCUUUUCCUUUUUUACUUGACCCAACAUAAGACUGAUCUUUCUUACCUCCCUCCAUAAUUUUGAUGUUGGAUUGCUUCGAUUUUGCACUCAUUUUCCUCUAAUCUGAUUGGGUCAUUUUUCAAUUUGGAUUUGAUCUCUUGCAUUGCGUUGGAUUUGGACAUUGAACCUGCAACCUCCCCAAAAUCAUGAGUUAAACCCAAGGAAAACGAUGGGCGUUCAACACUAUUUUAGACAUGCAAGGGUAUAACUCUUGUGAAUCUUUUAAAUGGAGACUGGACAUCCAUUGUUUGAAUGAAAACUCUGUAUGGAUUAUGAACUGAUGUGAAAAAUAGCUUGAAAAACCUGAAAAAAUAGACAAAAAUUUAAAUUAAUCGAUUGAGAUAAGUUUUGGUGGUACCUGAAAUUUUUGAAGGGAUUUUGAAAUCGCUAUUGAGAACGUGCUGGUGGAGAUUUGAAAUUUCAAACUGAUUUUGGGGAGAAAAAUUUGGGAGAAAUUGAAGGAAAUAAGAGAUAUAAACGAGAAGAAGAGAUUGUAUAAAAGGAAUAACGUCAUUUUUUUACUUAUACAAAUCGGUGGGGCCCAUUAAUAGCAAACUGACCGGGACAUUGCUCCUUAAAAGAAAUAAAUGAAACGGUAGCUACUUUAUUUAUUUUACAUUAAUAGUUUGCCAUUAUGUACAAUUAUCCCUCUUUUAUACAUGAACUUACUACCUAUCAUGUUUCUUGAUUAAACAAUUUAUUUAUUAACUUUCUUGUAUGAUUAGUUUGUUUCAAUAUGGUUCAACAUUUUUUUUGUUUCUUGUCACUUUUUAUUUUUAAUUCAUUACAUGUCAAAUUUCUUUAUUUUUUAUGGUUUUUUUCUAUGAAAUUUGAGUAAUUAUGUUAAUUUUUUUUAACAGUUUGCAAGAAAUGCAUAAUGAGGAAGAUAUCAAAAGAGAAAUGGAAUGUUUGUCCAGAAUGCAAUAUGGAUUUAGGUGUUGCCCCCUUGCAGAAAAUCAGGUAUAUAUAAUUCUAUGCUUUAAAUAUUUUGAAUUGUUAAUUAUAGUGACGUAUAUCUUUUUUUUGUAGCGUUCGAUAAGUAAGUUUUAUUGAAAAAGCAUGAAAAUCAUAUUACAUAAAGUGGAACGGAGAGAGUUAUAUACUUCUUUCGUCUCAUUUUACUGCGGAUGUGUUACUAUUUGGGGAGUCAUAUAAUAUUUUCUUUGACUAUAGUGUUUUCCCAAAAAAUAAAAAUUCAAAUAUUUUGAAUCAUUCACUAUAUUGACUUGCAAUAUUUUUCAUGUAGUUUACAAAUAUAUAAUUUUAUUUUUAAAAAUUUGAACUAUAUGUACCCAAAUUCUUAGUCAAAUUAAGUAUUUUGAUUUUCUUAUGUUGACCAUAGGAACCUGUUGCAGCAUUAUAUGUUAAAAGUGUUAUUGUUUGAGGAGUCGAUUUUUUUCUCGAUAAAGCAUAUUAUGAUUCAUUAACUAUAUUGAUAUGGAGUAUUUUUCGUGUAGUUUUUAAAUAUAUAUAUGCAUUUCAUUUUUAAAAAUUUAAAGAAUUUAUAUCCAAAUUCAUAGUUUCAAUCUUCAUACUCUGUAUCCUUUCACAUAAUUUGAGACAAAUGGAGUACAUAUUAUCAGUAAAAUUUCAAAUAAAAGUACAAGAUUUGACUUUAGCUUCUCUCGAACCAGUUGACAAAACUGUAAUUCCGUUCCUUGUAUAUAUAUGUGUGAAAAAUAAGUAUUGAUAUAACCUUAUAAUACUUAAUUUUACAGGUCUGAUCACCAAAUGCAAGGGAUAAAAGACAUAUUCCCAAGUAAAAGAAGAGAAUUAAUUGAGCUUGGACUAAUAGAAAAAUCCAAAAAAGACGAACCCAAAAAGUUAGCUCGUGAAGAUAUUUAUCUUAAUUAUAGUGUCAAAAUGCUCAUUGAUCUAUCGCCUCAUCCUCCUGCUCCUGUUGUUGUUGCUACAAGCUCAAGGAGAAAGGAGAAAUCAAUUUCUUCCUUAGUAAAUACUACACCACUUGUUGUUGAUGAUCAAGUUUCGAAUCAGGACAACGUUUCGAGUAGUAGUACUGGAAGGGGAAGGGGAAGGGGGAGGGGAAGAGGAAGAGGAAGAGGAAGAGGAAGAAGAAGAGGAAGUUCACAAAAUAAUGAUAAUGUUGUUGAUCUGAAUAAUGGAGAUGCGCAUCCAGGAAGUUUAACCAUUCCUCUUCAUUCGAGCAAUGAUACUCAUUAUAAACAACAAGUACAAUUGAAAUCUACUUUAUGUUUUAGUCAUGAUGAUUCAUAUAGCUGGCCUUAACCUAUUUGGUAUUGAGGGGGUCGGGGGUCGGAUUGUAAUAGUUGUUAUAUGAAAAAAAAACAAUUAUUUUUAUUGGAAAAAACUAAAAUGAAAAAUGCAAUUAUAAUUGAUAUAAUCAGAUAAAGGGAACUGAUCAGUCAGAAAGUUCAAGCAUUCCUCUUCUUUCAGGCAAAACUACUCAACAUAAACAACAAGUAUGAAUUAGUCAUACGCUAAGUUGUUACUUUUAAUAUUGCACUUUAGUUGGAUUCUUCUAAAAUAAAUUAUACUUUUGAAGAAUCCGACACACAUUCAUUGACAUGUUUAAAGACUCUGAAUACCAUAGGUCGAUCAUAUGUUAGUAUUUGGUAAUUAUUUCUUGUCUAGUCAUUAAAGAGUUUGAACAACUAGUUAAUGUUCAACAUGUGCUAGGUGAAAGUAAUUGACUUGGUUGGAAUCCGAGCCAAAUCUAGGUUGGAUUAUGUGAGUUCAACUGAUGCCAUUAUUUUUUAUUCAAAUUAUAUACAUAUGUAGAUCACACUCAUUCUCAACCUAGGUAUAUAUAAGCUCUAAACAUUUUGUUGACCGUUGGCCCAAGGUCCAUGAGGCAGAUCUAUCCUCAUCCAAAGGGAGUCAAUUGACAACUCUUAGCAAAAAAAAAUGCACUUAUAUAUACUAUAUGUUGAAUUCUUUGACUUGUUCGUUUAAAUUUUUUCUAAAUACUUUGAAUUUCCAUAGUGAAUGAAAACUGUACUAACUCUUGUGAUCACUUGUUGAAGGUUGAGAGUAUUGGUUAUGCUGUUGAGUCCUCAAAAAAUGAUGGUAUCUCAAAGAAAAAUAAAAGUAUUGAACCAUUGGAUGAGAUGAAUGACUUAUCGGAACCAUUGAACAAAUUGGUAACAAAAGGUGACACCUUAGACAAUUCCAAAGAGUCAGUUCCAAGUUCAUCAGUAGUACUCCACUAAUCAAUCUUGAUGAUUAUGAAAAUGAGGACGACAAUGAUGAUGAAGAAGAGGACGAGGAGUAUGUGCCUUCACCAAAAGUUAAGGAAUACAAAUUUAGCAAACAAAAUGUUGUUCAAGCUGUAGAAGCACCAUCAAGUAGUAAUAAUAAUAAUAUUGAUAAAGGAAAAAGGAACGACGUGGAAGAAAGAAAAAAGAAACAAAUAAUCCUCCUCCUCCUCCUAUUGGUGGCGGUGUUGUUGGUGGUGGAACAUAUAUUAAUGUGGCACAAGUUGGAGUUACUACUGAGACAAUAGGAGGUACAAGCAAUGGUAGUACAAGAGUAGUGAAUGAAAGAGUCCAUCCCAUGUGGUUCACUUUGGUUGUAUGUGAUAAGCAGUGAGUUUAAUUCUAUGAAUUUCAAUUUUAUGUAUUACUCUUCUCUGUAUUAAUUUAAUUUAUGUGACACUGUUUGACUAGAUAUGAUUAUUUCAGGAAAGGUCCUUCACCCUAGCCACAAAUUUCUUCCCGCUACAUAAAGAUCAAGUAAGUCUUUAAUUACAUUCAAAUAUUUACAAAAUUAUUAUAUCCAGUCUAUAUAUAUUCUUGUAGUUCUAGAUGGAGAAUAACACUUUGAACAUAUCUUACAACUAUAUAAGAAAUGAUGCUCAUUCAUUUUUUAUUAAAACUGUAGUAGCCAUUGUGGCAUGCAUAAAUCAGUUUGGCAGAGGUAAUUUAGUUUCUUUUUUUUGUUUGAAUUCUCUCUCAAAGGAUAGGAAGUCUUGACGUUACUGGUAAAGUUGUUGCAAUUCAAGUUCGAGCUAUGGAAACAACCUCUUACAAAAAUGCAGAAUAAAACUGCAUAUAAUGAACCCUAAUGGUCUGGGCCUUCCUUGGACUUCGUAUAGCGAGAACUUAAUGGAAGUGUAACCCCCCCCCCCCUCCCCGAUUUUGUAUUUUCUUUCAAAUACUAUAUACAUCUUUUUACUUUCCAAAAUACCUAACUUCAAUUAAUAAGUUAUACUUCUUUUCUGGUUAAAUAGGGAUGUGAACAAGUCGUCUUCCUACAUAAAGAAGUACCUUGCACACAAAUUGAGUCUCCGGAGCGAAGACGAGGUAAUUAAAUACUUACCAUCUACCUUCUGCUUGAUACAUGAUUAUUAAUGUCCAUCGUAAUUGUCACGCCCCAAACUCAAGGGGCGCAACUGACUCCUAAAGCCAAAACUCAGGCCCGAGCCGACCCUGCUGAACCAUUUUCUACUAGCGCAUGGCAGUCACAUGCAAUUAAGAAAACAAACAAGUAUAUCUCAGCUUAAAACUAAGCCCUCGGCCGGCAAGACCCCUGUCAACAGAUCUACAAAAGAACCAGCUACUUCCAAGAGUUCAUAUAAAGAAACAUCCAACUAGCACAGAAGUCCUGAUUGGGCCGUCGAGGCCACCAUGAUAUCUAUACCAAAACUAAAAACAGGUAAAUAUCAGUACAAUACAUCAAACAGCUCACAAGCUUCAGCAAACCAACAACAUAGGCAAGCAUGGCCAUAACGUUGCUAUAAACCCCACACACUAGUCUGCAAGCCUCUAAGAGUAGUAAAGAUUGGUGGGACAGGGCCCCAGCCUACCCAUNNNNNNNNNNNNNNNNNNNNNNNNNNNNNNNNNNNNNNNNNNNNNNNNNNNNNNNNNNNNNNNNNNNNNNNNNNNNNNNNNNNNNNNNNNNNNNNNNNNNNNNNNNNNNNNNNNNNNNNNNNNNNNNNNNNNNNNNNNNNNNNNNNNNNNNNNNNNNNNNNNNNNNNNNNNNNNNNNNNNNNNNNNNNNNNNNNNNNNNNNNNNNNNNNNNNNNNNNNNNNNNNNNNNNNNNNNNNNNNNNNNNNNNNNNNNNNNNNNNNNNNNNNNNNNNNNNNNNNNNNNNNNNNNNNNNNNNNNNNNNNNNNNNNNNNNNNNNNNNNNNNNNNNNNNNNNNNNNNNNNNNNNNNNNNNNNNNNNNNNNNNNNNNNNNNNNNNNNNNNNNNNNNNNNUAAAUCAAGGAUAAGAUAAGUGUACUGACCUGCUCCUAAAUCUAAACUUAUCAAAAAUAAUAAAACAACAACCUAACAGAGCCCCCAUAAGCUCUGCAGGUACAAACAGCACACAAGACCACCUACUCAGGCCCCCAUAAGCCCGGAAGGUGCCAAUCAGUCUAUAUACCCCUAUCUAUAGUCCCUUAGCCCUGUAGGCAAUCACAUAGCCCUCUUAGACAUUAAUAUAGCUUAUAGACAACUCAUAGCCCUCUUAGGCAACAACAUAGCCAUGUAGGAAGCCCAUAGCCUUCUUAGGCGUCAAUAUAGCCCUAUAGGCAACUCAUAGCCCUUCUAGGCAUCAAUAUAGCCCCGUAGGCAACAUAUAGCCCUUUUAGUUAUCCAUUUAACCCCGUAGGCUGGACAUAGCCCUUUCUAGGCAUAAAUCACAUUCCUGCAGCUAACCAGAAUAGCCCCAACGGCAAUAAUAACAAUCAAAUCGUUAAAAGCGAGCAAUCUAAGCAACCUGUACAAAUAGCCUCUAAGUCGUGUCCAACAUAGGGACGCUACAAACUGAAUAAGAAUCCCGAUAAGGGAGGAUUAUAUCAACCUGAGCAACCAAUAAUCAACAAUAACGGCUACAAGUAUAUCAAGUAUAUUAAGGAACAUGUCGUAAGUAGGGAAUAGCCUUAACAUACCUUUUUUGCUAAAUUCACGUGGCCUAAAGACUUUAACUCAUAACUCCCUCGAUACUACAACAAGGUAGGACCAUAAUCAACACAUAAAAUAAAAGAUACCAUGACAAUACAAUAAAAGAUAUGUAUUUCCGUCGCAAAUUGCUAUUUGCUGCUUAUAAAAUCUAGAGUCGAUGAAAGAAGGGUCUUACCUCGAUCUUAGGUUCGUAAUUCACCUCAAAACCUUCAAAUAUAUUCAAACCCCUGCUGUCCCAACUCUAAAAUGUGAUAUGCUACGCAAUCGAUAAAACAAAUUAUACCACGAUGAUGAGCCCAACGCGUAGAACAACUUUCGUCAAGGACUUACGUCGAGAAAAUCUAUAUUUCACUUGAUCCUAAAACUGGGUUUCUAUGUUUUCUCUGUAUAUUUAGCUUAAAAUGAAGAAAAAACUCGAAGAAGACGCAUAUAUACAACUUUCCACCGACUAGGGCCCCACCUCACGUGCCUGCUUGCGCAGUCCCACGAAAAUGUGAAUAUCUCUCUAUUCUGAAGUCGUAUGAAUGAACGGUUUGAUGCGUUGGAAACUAGACUCGUAGACCUUCGAUUCGAUAGUUUGUGGGCCCCAUAACUCUUUAUAGAUUGGGAGAAAACCUCCAAGACAUUUGACCCAAAUUUCAGAGAAAUCUUUAAGAAGGAACUUACGAUAACUUCCGCCAACUUUUAUUUUGCCACUUACCUAACUUCAAAACUUGAGAUGCAACACUUGAACACUUAAAAUAGGACAUACCACAUCAUUCUUAAUUUAUUACUCACCCUCCUUGUCUUUCCACGAAGAUACGAGUUAAUUUAGACGUUUUGAAAAGUCGGGGUGUUACGGUAAUAAUUUGUCUUGUAAGUGUAGAUUCACAUGUUAGGAAUUCCAAUUCAGCCUUCUUUGCCUCUCAAACAUCUAGCAGAAUUGUGGUUACAUGAAGCACCUAACUCUGGAAAAAAAUUAGCAAAAGUUGGAGCUUCUGCCCAAGAAUUUGUCAUGGUUUUGAACUAUUCUCGAUCAAACCCAUAAUUGAGUUAGUGUAUUAAAAAUGUAAAAUAUUUCAGUUUCUUCUUUUGCUUAAAUAUUCAAAUUUUGCAAGGAGAAAACUUCUUGUGGCAUGUUGUUAAUUGCCUUUCAUUUGUAUGUUUUUUGUAAACUCGAUUAGACGUUUUUGAGUUACUUGUUUUGCACCUUAGCUAUAAGUUGUUUAUUAAGAAUUGUGUGUUUUUUUUUUUUUUGGCAUAAUACAUAUAUUGGACCCUAAACUUGCUUCAAAUUUCAACUUUGACCUCCAACUUUCAUAGUGCACAAAUAGGCACUUUAAUUAUCCAACCUUUUAAUAAAUAAACACGCGAUUUUUGGAGGCAAAGAGCGUGAAAUGCAAAUGCUCCCACGUGUAUUAGUGAGCCAAUCAGUGGCUGCCAACUAAUUAAAUACUUUACACGUCCAUUUUAGAACUAAAAAAAAAUUAAAAUUAUUUUUAAUUAAUAUACAAGGGUUAUAGCUCUUUUUCCACAAUGACAAAAAAAAUUAGAAGCCAUUUGCACUAAAUAUGAGCACAAAUCGUUUUAAAAGAGAGGAAAAAAAUUUUGAUUUGAAAGAGGAGGAAAGAGAAAUGAGAUUUUGAUUUGGAAAUAUAAAGAUAUAUAUAAAAGGGAUUGAUUAAGGGUAGAUUUGUCAUUUCAGCAUUUUUUUACUGUUGUGGGCCUCGAAAAUUACUCCUAACUCGCGCAAAAUACGUGCACAUCACGCGUUUUGCCAGGUAGAACACGCGUGUUUAUAUUUUUUUUACUAUUGGCCCCCUCGAUUUUUACAUCUGACGCGCCUAGUUUGAGUGUAUUUCACGCAGUUUGCCAGGUAGGAUCCGAGUGUUUUUUUGUUUAAGUUUUGGAUAGUUAAAGUGCCUAUUUGUACACUCACAAAGUUAAAGGUCAAAGUUAUAAUUUGAAGCCAAGUUAAAGGUCCAAUUUAUGUAUUAUGCCUUUUUUUUUAAUAUAUAAUUAAGUCAAAACUUAGAAUACAAAAUGUUGAUAAAUUCUCUUUACUUGUAGCUAGUAGAAAUUGAAACAUUUGGGAUGGUUGAUUUGUACAUGAAGGUUCAUUUGAGACGUGCUUAAAUAUGAAGAAUCUUUUCACUCAUAAACAAAAGAACAGUAAAUAAAGGAGAAUAAGAAUCUUAUUUCUCCCUUUUUUGGUUGUUGAAAUCAAGGGCGGAGGAAGAGGGACCAAUGAGCUUCAUUCAAACCCUGCCUUUUCGAACAUUAUGCUUAAUAUACAAAUGAUUUUUGGUGAUAUGGCUAUCAAACACUUUUUUUUCCAAAAUCUUUAGAGAACCAUCCAUAAAGACGUGGGGGACAAUUCAUAUAGUCUCACAAUGAUCCAUACCAGUUUUUAAGCAUUUAGAUGCACUCAACCAGAAUUAGACAAUUUUCUCAAUUUUUUGUGUGUUAGCCCAUUGGUUUUUUUUUUGGUGAUAUGACUUCCGAGCACUAUUUUUCCAAUUUUUUUACAGAACCAUCCGUAAGGACCUAAGGAACAAUUUCUAUAGCCUCACCAUGAUCCACACCACUUCUUUCAACACUAAGGGGCCACUCAACAGGAAUUAGGCGAUUUCUCAGUUUUUCGUGUGUUAGCCCAUUGAUUUUUUUGGUGAUAAGGCCUCUAGGUAUUUAUUUUUCAAACAUUUACAAAACCAUCCGUAAGUAACUAGGGAACAAUUUCUAUAACCUCACCAUGAUCCACACCACUUUUUUCGCAUUUACGGGCCACUCAACAUGAAAAAUACGAUUUUCUCAAUUUUUCAUGUGUGUUGUUAGCCCAUAGAUUUCUUGGUGAUAUGGCUUCCGACAAUUUUUCUUUGAAAUCAAUAUAGAAUCACCCAUAAGCACCUUAGGAAUAAUUCCUAUAGCCUCACCAUAAUCCACGCUAUUUUGUUAGCAUUUAGGCUUCACUCAACAUGAAUUAGACAAUUUUUUGAUCAGUUUUUUGUGUGUUAGCCUAUGGAUUUUUUGAUGAUAUGACUUCCGGACACUUUUUAACAAAACCUUUACAAAACCAUGCGUAAGGACCUAAGGAAUAAUUCCUAUACGCUCACCAUAAUCCACACCACAUUUUUUUAAGCAUUUAAGGGCCACACACACACACACAUAUAUAUAUAUAUAUUUUUUUUAUUUUUUUUUCUUCUCAUGGCCACAUAUAUAUGAAUUAGAUGAUUUUCUCAGUAUUUUCGUAUGUGUUAGCCCAUAAAUUUUUUAGUAAUAUAUGUUUCAGGGACAUUUUUCUCGAACCUUUAUGGAAGCAUCCGUAAGGACAUGGGGAACAAAUCCUAUAGCCUUGCUAUGAUCCCCGCCACUUUUUUUAGCAUUUAGGAGUCACUCAAAAGGAAUUAAGCGAUUUUCUUAGUGUUACAUAUGUGCUAGCCCAUAUAUUUUUUGGUAAUAUGACUUCCAGUCACUUUUUUUUGCCAGAACCUUUACAGAACCAUCAAUAAGGACCCAGGGACAUUUCAUAUAGCCUCACUAUGAUCCACACCACAUUUUUAGCAUUUAGGGGGCACUCAACAGGAAUUAAUCGAUUCUCUCAAUUUUCAUGUGUGUUAAGCUCGUGGAUUAUUAUUUUUGGUGAUAUGGCUUCUAAGAACUUUUUUUCUAGAACCUUUAAUGAACCAUCCAUAAGGACCUGGAGAACAAUUCUGUUAGCAUCAUCAUGAUCCACGCAAUAUAUUAUAGCAUGAAAGGGCCACUCAACAUGAAUUAGGCGAUUUUCUAAGUUUUUCAUGUGUGUUAGCCCAUGCAUUUUUUGGUGAAAAGGCUUUCAGGAACUUUUUUUUACAACCUUUAUAGAACCAUCUGUAAGUAUAUGGGAAACAAUUCUUAUGGUGAGUCUUAUAGCCUCACCAUGAUCCGUGCCACUUUUUUUAAUAUUUAGGUGUCCACUCAACAGGAAUUAGGUGAUUCUCUAAGUGUUUCAUGUGUGUUAAGCUCAUGGAUUUUUUUUUGGUAAUAUCGCUUCUAGGAACUUUUUUUUCAGAACCAUCCAUAAGGAUUUGGAGAAAAAUUUCUUUAGCCUCACCAUGAUCCACACCAUAUUUUUUUUAGCAUGAAGGGGCCAUUCAACAUGAAUUAGGCGAUUUUCUCAAUAUUUCAUGUGUGAUAACCCAUGUAUUUUUUGGUGAAAAGGCUUUCAUAAACUUUUUUCCAGAACCUUUAUAGAACCAUCUGUAAGGAUAUGAGAAAUAACUUUUAUAGCCUCACCAUGAUCCAUGCCACCUUUUAUACAUUUAGGGGUCACUCAACAAGAAUUAGGCAAUUAUCUCAGUUUUUCAUGUGUGUUAAGCCCGUGGAUUUUUUGGUGAUAUGGUUUAUGGGAACUUUUUUUGUCCAGAACCUUUACAGAACCAUCCAUAAGGUCCUGGAGAAUAACUUCUUUAGAAUCACCAUGAUCCACACCACACAUUUUAACAUGAAGGCGCCACUCAACAUGAAUUAGGCAAUUUUCUCAGUUUUUCAUGUGUGAUAACACAUGCUUUUUUUUGGUGAUAAGGCUUUCAGGAACUUUUUCUCAGAACUUUUAUAGAGUCAUCCGUAAGGAUAUGAGAAACAAUUCUUAUAGCCUCAUCAUGAUCCACACCACUUUUUUUUAACAUUUAGGGGAUCACUCAAUAGGAAUUAGGUGAUUCUCUUAGUUUUUCGUGUGUGUUAUACCCAUGGAUUUUUCGGUGAUAUGGCUUCUAGGAACUUUUUUUUAAGAACCUUUUACAGAACCAUCCAUAAGGACCUGGAGAAUAAUUUCUUUAGCAUCACCAUGAUCCACGCCACAUUUUUCAGAAUAAAGGGUCCACUCAACAUGAAUUAGGUGAUUUUCUCAGUUAUUUGUGUGUGUUAGCCCAUGCAUUUUUUUGGUGUUAAGGCUUCUAGAAUAUUUUUUCCAGAACCUUUAUAGAACCAUAUGUAAGAAUAUCGAAAACAAUCUUUAUAGCCUCACCUUUUGUAACACCCCAUAUGCUAGAACUACAAAAAUGCAGAUUUCCAGAAGUUGCAAGUGCCAUCGACGGGCACCACCGAUGGACCGUAAGGUGACCAAUGGUCCGUCCUGGUGGUUCGUAGUUCACCACCUGCAGCCCCUCCAAGAAAAGGCCCAAGAAAAUCAACCAAGGGUCAGCCCACGCCAGAACCUACGAAACGUAGGUCAGGCCAUAGUCCGUGGUCAAGGCCGUAGUUCAGACCCCCAAUUUUCAACUCCCAAACAACCAGUCGACGGUUGACAGGACGGAGUGUUGAUACGCUCAAAUUACACCUCCCUAAAGAAGCAUAAGCGAUCGUUAUCAAGUAAAGAACUAAACUUGUAGGUUGGGGUCGCCCCGGCAACGGAGCCAGAAUUUGAUACGCUCAAAUUACACCUCCCUAAAGAAGCAUAAGCGAUCGUUAUCAAGUAAAGAACUAAACUUGUAGGUUGGGGUCGAUCCCACGAGGAAAAAUGGUUUAGACUUUACUUUAACCAACAAUUAUAUUCAAUUAGUCAAAUUACUUCCAGAAACAAAUAAUUAAAAGGGGGGGUUGUGUGAAACAAAUUGUAAGAAUUCAAUAAAUAAUCAGUAAUCAAAAGUCAAUUUUGGUUGUUAUCAAGAUGUGAGAAAUAACUAGGGUAUACGCGUUCCCCACAAACUCACAACGCAGUAAUCCUAGUAAUAGCAAUCCUUUCCUAGUGUACAACAUGCAAAGUGAUAAGUUAGGUAUCUCUAAAUCCUUGGUCCGGCAUCUAGAGAAUUUCAACCCGCACCUUGGUCCGGCUACGUGUGUAUAAUUUACUAACCCUUACCUUUACCUCAUAUUAGACAUCACAAUCGAUGUUUGGCUUAGUUAUUACUUCGCACCAAUCGACACUAGCCUAUUAGAUAGUAUCACACUAAAUCUAUGUUGAUAAUUCUUUUCUUAUUAACCACCUCCUUGUUCUGGUAAAUAGCAACAAGACGAGUUCUAAUGUUGGCCACCAUUAAAAAGACUUAUAAACGAAAGAAUUAUCAAUGCAUGCAAAACACUAUUCAAGAAUUACUUAUUUACUAUUCAUACUUUGUUAAUCGAUCAUGGUUCCCACAACCCUAGUUGUGGAUUUAGUUACUCAUACUGGCAAGAACACAAUUCAUAAUUGUAGAGGGAGAAAUCAUGAACUUACGUAAAGAGAAUAACAAACCCAGAAAUUUAACUUGAAUUGCAAAGCCAAAAUCUUCAAAACAAACUUAGGAAAUCAAUAAUUGUUAGGUUUUCCAAUUGAUCUCCCCACGCGUCUUCAUUCCACAAGAAUGACUCAGGGACUGUCAAUGGAUCUACGGUCCGUGAGUCCCUUUCGUCAGCCAGAACUUAGAAAAUAUAUCAACUUCCCAAAAUCAACCUCUCUGAAGCAAACGACGGAACUGCAGGACGGACCGUAGAUAGAUCGAUCUACGGUCCGUCAAUCCCCUUUCGUAGCUCCACACUUGAAAUCUUCAAAAAUCAGGUACUGGAACCCUCGCAGUAUCAAUCUACGGAUCAACAGUAUGGUCCGUAGAUCAAUCUACGGACCGUUAAUGGCCACCGUGGUUCCACACUUAGUCUGAUUUGCCUUCCAUGCCUUGCCUGCUGAUCUACGGCCAUCACCUACGAAGCGUCAAUGGACCUACUGUCCGUAUAUGCCCUUUUCUGCAGUUAUUUCAGCUGUCUCUUCAAAAUAUGAUAAAAACACAUAAAAACCAAUACAAAAAGGCCCUAGACACACAUAAAUUGUAAGUGAAAUAUAUUAGAAAUACCGUAAACUCAUGGUAUAUCAACACCCUCAACUUAAAUUCAUUGUUUGUCCUCAAGCCACACACUAAAACUCUAAACGACACUUGUAUAGAAGCAAACAUUCUAACUUCAAGCAAUCACAUGGCUCUCUACCUCCUCAUUGCUCGGGUGCACAUUCGUUCUCUUAGACUCGACUGCAAUCACAAGCAAUCACAUGGCUCUCUAUCCCACUCACUUUCCUGUUGCAGAAUUUGUUCCCUUAGACUCAACAAGCUAAUUCAUGCGGAUCAAAUCAUGACAACAAUCGACCAACCAACACACAACAUACACUGUUUCACUAUCACCAAAGUACCAACUUUCCGAUAAUAUAACUAGUGCCCUUACUUCAAACGAAAUCCCUUUUCUUUCACGCAAUGAUUAUGAAUUGGAGUACAAGGAUUCAUUCAACAGUCACACUCAGAAAUAACUUCAAGUACAGUUAGUGCUCAGUACCAUUGGCUUGCCCUUAUUUUCACUGCCUAGACUCUCCAAACUAGACUCUAGGAUCACUAUAGGACUUUCUUGGCUUGUAGGCUCAGGGUCAGGUGUGGUACAUUUGGGUACUUCUUAGUGACUUUAUGCCCUCCUUGACAUUACACUAGGCUUUCAACCUCUUUUUGCCCUAUUUUUGCCAUCCUAUCGUUGUACCUUCUUUCCCUUGAUUUUCUUCAAUCACGGAUGUGACUUUAGACCUUGUAGCUCUUUAUUUUUUUAUUUUUUCAUUUUUUACAUUCUAUUCUUUUCUUUAGCUUUCAACAAAUCACAUCCUUUCUUCUCUUUUUUCAACAUCAAACUCUUUUCAUACCCAUUUUUCUUUAAGUUUCCUCUUUCAUAGCCACCCUCAACGUAUGAAUUUUCCAUUGGUUGAGAUGCACGAUACCCGAUGACAGGAUGGAUUUUCCAUUGGUUGAGGUGCACAAUACCCGAUGUCGGGUCAGGGCCAAGAUUUGAAGUCACUUUUUACAUUAGCCACCCUCAACUUAGGCCUUUGGCCUAGGUCGAAGUGCAUAUGUCCAAGGAGGGACCGGGGCCAACAUAGUCGAUUAUGGGAAGGUGAGUUCGGGGAUUAGAAAGAAAUGGUCUAAUUUUAGGCUCAAAGCAUUUGGAUCAAAGGGAGUAUUUAUUUUAUUUGGUUGGAUCCUUCUUUUAGGCAAUUUGUGGACUUAUCAGAACAAGGGCCUAUGAUCACUUCCUAACCUCUAGAUUGAAUUGUCUUAGCAGGACUAACCGGGCAAGUUCUAGUUUUGCACAAAAACUGUUUGAACAAUCAACUAUUCUCACACACUCUUGGCACAUAGUUUCAUUAUCAGAUUACCCAGUUCAAGUUUCAGCCUAAGUCAUGCCAUUAAGUUGAUUCAUUAUCAUGUCAUACUCAGAGCCAACACAUUCAACUUGUCUUAGCCUACCAAUUUUAGCACACAAAAGCAAAUUUGGACAGGUAUACUUUUCAUAAGUCAUCAUGCUUCAUUAUUUUUCAUGCUUCUACACAUACGAUCCUAACACAUACCGUAUCAACAGAAAUUAAACAGUCUCUUGGGGAAAAAAAAGAACACAGGCAAGAAAACCCCAAAGAGAGGAGUUAUGAGUUGGGUUACUCAGACUUCACCCUAUCACUCACAAUCCAUUUACCCCACCCCCAACAAAAAUAAAUUUGAUUGUCCACAAUGCAUACAAAAGCAGUAAAAGAUAUGGAUUGGGUGAAGCAAACCUGUGGCGCAUUGCGCCGAAGAAUCAUCAACAAACGGGUGGGUCUGGUUUCUCGGAGCCCGCUGGAACCAUACUUGGGUCACCCUCAGUAGUGCCCACAUCAUCCAUCAUAGCACCCUCAGUAGUGCUCUCGGUCACUCUAACCGCAUCAUCAGUGGUGCUCACAACGUCCCUCAUAAUAGGCGGGACCUCUACAACUGGGACAGAACUUGAUGCCCUUGCAAUACUCUCACGCACCCGUUGUUGGCGCAACUCUUCAUCUAAGAUGGAAGCCUUCCUAGCCUCCUUCUCAUGCCUACACUGUCUCUUUUGGACUUUUUCCUCCUCAGUGCGACUAAAACGGUGUCUCUUACCCUUGGUAUGUGUAGGCUUAGGCCCCUCCUCAGCGGUUCCACUGAAUAAAGCAUCCAGCACUGUAUUAUCGGCCAACGCAGUGGGUGCAGCCUGAGGCUCAACUAUAGGGGUGGCAAGAAUGGCAUCAACGUCGGCCCAGAGACUGGCUAACUCAGCCUCAAAAGCGGAUAGAUCUAUGGCCAGGGCUGGUCGCUCGAGGACUCACAAUUCAAAGGCAUCGAGACGCAUAUUAACGGCCUGGAUCUUCCGGUCCAUCAUGCCCUCCAUCCUUCGCUCCAUUCUGGCCUCAGACUCGGCUAUCGAUUUUUGCAUCCAAGGCUAGAUGUGAUGCAACAGUGUGGCCAUCUGAGCCUCUAAUUUCUGUACUGUAGCCAACGGAACAAAAUAACUCCUAAUGGUGGUGUGGACCGGGAUGAGCUAGGAUCCCUACUAGCAGCUUCGGAAGAGGAGGCCGCGAUAGUAUCAGUGUGAUCUGGCAUGAGUUGGAUUUUGUGAGAUCAAAUACCGGGAGAAAUCCCAAUAAUAUCCGCAAUAGUCCACCUAAUAGCUCGCUUGAACCUCUUUAACACAGUCACCAAGCACUCUACUUGUCUUGCAUUCAAAUCUGCCGCAAUGAUGACCGGCAAAGUAUUCUCUCUGCCCAAGUAUACAUACCUCAAAUGCGGUGGUAGAGCCUUAAGCUCCAAUUUCGGUGCCUCCACAAUAGAUGGUCUUGCGGGUGGGGACUCGCGAUUCUUCAUGUCUAACUCAUACUUCUUUGGUUUGGACCGAUAUUCACACCUAUCGAGUGCAGCUACCAGCUCAUCAUACUCUUCAAUACCAUCGCUAUCGAAAUUCAUCAUAACUGCUGCUAGUCCCUCAACACCUAGUCGCUCUUCAAUUUGCACUUCUGUCCCACUCUCCACUCUGUAAGUUAUAGCAGAUACUGUUUGGAGCUCACCACUCUGCUUCAUGGACCUACAAAUAUUGAAAGUUGCUUCUUCAUUAUUCAGUCUGAACUUCAUCUGCCCCUUUUCCAUAUCAACCAACACNNNNNNNNNNNNNNNNNNNNNNNNNNNNNNNNNNNNNNNNNNNNNNNNNNNNNNNNNNNNNNNNNNNNNNNNNNNNNNNNNNNNNNNNNNNNNNNNNNNNNNNNNNNNNNNNNNNNNNNNNNNNNNNNNNNNNNNNNNNNNNNNNNNNNNNNNNNNNNNNNNNNNNNNNNNNNNNNNNNNNNNNNNNNNNNNNNNNNNNNNNNNNNNNNNNNNNNNNNNNNNNNNNNNNNNNNNNNNNNNNNNNNNNNNNNNNNNNNNNNNNNNNNNNNNNNNNNNNNNNNNNNNNNNNNNNNNNNNNNNNNNNNNNNNNNNNNNNNNNNNNNNNNNNNNNNNNNNNNNNNNNNNNNNNNNNNNNNNNNNNNNNNNNNNNNNNNNNNNNNNNNNNNNNNNNNNNNNNNNNNNNNNNNNNNNNNNNNNNNNNNNNNNNNNNNNNNNNNNNNNNNNNNNNNNNNNNNNNNNNNNNNNNNNNNNNNNNNNNNNNNNNNNNNNNNNNNNNNNNNNNNNNNNNNNNNNNNNNNNNNNNNNNNNNNNNNNNNNNNNNNNNNNNNNNNNNNNNNNNNNNNNNNNNNNNNNNNNNNNNNNNNNNNNNNNNNNNNNNNNNNNNNNNNNNNNNNNNNNNNNNNNNNNNNNNNNNNNNNNNNNNNNNNNNNNNNNNNNNNNNNNNNNNNNNNNNNNNNNNNNNNNNNNNNNNNNNNNNNNNNNNNNNNNNNNNNNNNNNNNNNNNNNNNNNNNNNNNNNNNNNNNNNNNNNNNNNNNNNNNNNNNNNNNNNNNNNNNNNNNNNNNNNNNNNNNNNNNNNNNNNNNNNNNNNNNNNNNNNNNNNNNNNCAAGUCGUUUCUCAUCUCCUUCACAUUCUCAUCAGUUGCAUCAAACCUUCUCAUCAUCUUCUGCAUCAUAUCUUCAAUACGCGCCAUAUUGCCUCCAGCUUCCCUAGUACUAGAUUCCCAAUUUUGAGGGGGAACGUAGGGUCCAACCCAAUCAUUUCUGUUUCCAUAGUUGUUCCGGUUAUAGUUGUUAUUACGAUUGAAGUUCCCAUCCCGGACAUAUUGAACCUCUCGGUUGUAAUUGCCAUAGUUCCAACCUUGGUUUCAUUGACCUUGGUGCCAAUUUUCUGCGUUGUAUCCUUGGGCGUUUUGUCGGAAAUGCCCCGUCUGAUCAUUCACCGCAUAAGUAUCCUCUUCAUAGUAACACUCUUCAAGUGGUGGUGGCGUUCUAGUCAAGUAAUUCACAAUAUUUACCUUCUCUGCACCUCCGCUCACAUGCUUCAAUACCAACCCUAACUCGGUCCUCAUCUGAGCCAUAUCCUCACGAAUCUAAUCCGCAGACUGGGUGUUUGUAUUCUGAACGGCAAAUGUGUUUCUCCCGGUAUCUGACCUCCUAGUGCUCCAUGCUUUAUUGUUGCGAGAGAUCUUCUCCAGUUUUUUCAGAAAUCUGUGCAUAUGUUCAAUCUCCAUAUGAACCUCCUUCAAUAGUAUCAAGCACUACUUUAUUGUUUUCAUCCUGACCUCGAUAGAAAUAUUUCUUCAGCGAAAUAUGGUGAUUUGGCACACCUCUUACGAAUGUAGUGAAUCUGUCCCAAGAGCUACUUACAGACUCUCCAGGUAAUGCUACAAAAUUGUUGACCCUAUCUUGUGAUUGAGCUUCUUGGACACUGGAUAGUACCUUGCUCGGAACAAAUCCGUCAGUUGGUCCCAUGUAAAGAUUGAGUUAUAAGUAAACUCAGUGAACCAUACUGCAGCAUCGCCUGUCAGUGAUAGAGGGAACACUCAUAAUCCGAUGAAAUCCAUAUCCAAAUCUGGUCUACCUACACAACUUUUGCAAACCACCCUUAGCUUGGCUAACUGAGCAUGUGAGUCCUCUGAUGACAAUCCUGAGAAUAAGCCCCUUGCUGUAAGCAUCUGCAUCAAGCUACUAGUCACCAAAAAUGUGUGCCCUGGAGGUAGAGGGGGUAGGACAAUAGGUCCAUCAGAGUCUGCUAUAUUGAUGUUACCCCUAAAAUUGUCAUGUUGUCGUGGGCCUGGUGGAUCUUGCACCCUCAAUGUAUCUCCCAAUUGAUUGUUAGCUGGAACCUGGCUGUCCCUACCAAUUACUCUCGGCUGUUGUAACUCAACUGCAUCACCUGGAUUUCCUCCGGUAGGAUUAACUGGAUCUCCUGGAUUGUUCAUUCUUCGCAAAGUGCGGUUCAACUCUGGAUCGUAAGGAGUAAGUGGUUCACCCUGGCUCUGUGCAUUUGGCAUACACUAGAGUCAGAACCUGAGAGAGACAAAAAGAAAAAGUAAAAUUAGGAAAUUUUUUACUAACGUUCAAUAAUGUAGUUAAAAUAAAUCUAAAAGACAAAUUUCCCCGGCAACGGAGCCAGAAUUUGAUACGCUCAAAUUACACCUCCCUAAAGAAGCAUAAGCGAUUGUUAUCAAGUAAAGAACCCAACUUGUAGGUUGGGGUCGAGAAACAAGUAAUUAAAAAGGGGGGUUGUGUGAAACAAAUUGUAAGAAUUCAAUAAGUAAUCAGUAANNNNNNNNNNNNNNNNNNNNNNNNNNNNNNNNNNNNNNNNNNNNNNNNNNNNNNNNNNNNNNNNNNNNNNNNNNNNNNNNNNNNNNNNNNNNNNNNNNNNNNNNNNNNNNNNNNNNNNNNNNNNNNNNNNNNNNNNNNNNNNNNNNNNNNNNNNNNNNNNNNNNNNNNNNNNNNNNNNNNNNNNNNNNNNNNNNNNNNNNNNNNNNNNNNNNNNNNNNNNNNNNNNNNNNNNNNNNNNNNNNNNNNNNNNNNNNNNNNNNNNNNNNNNNNNNNNNNNNNNNNNNNNNNNNNNNNNNNNNNNNNNNNNNNNNNNNNNNNNNNNNNNNNNNNNNNNNNNNNNNNNNNNNNNNNNNNNNNNNNNNNNNNNNNNNNNNNNNNNNNNNNNNNNNNNNNNNNNNNNNNNNNNNNNNNNNNNNNNNNNNNNNNNNNNNNNNNNNNNNNNNNNNNNNNNNNNNNNNNNNNNNNNNNNNNNNNNNNNNNNNNNNNNNNNNNNNNNNNNNNNNNNNNNNNNNNNNNNNNNNNNNNNNNNAACUUGAAUUGCAACUCCAAAAUCUUCAAAACGAUCUAAGGAAAUUAAUAAUUGCUAAAAAUUGUAAGUUAAUCUCCCAAGUCAAGAACUAGAAUAAAAGUAAUAAAGUCUAACCCCCAAAAAUGAGGUUUACAUGCCCUAUUUAUAGAAAACAAAUCCUAUAUAAAAAGGGAAACAAAUCAAGGAUAGUUUGUUCAGGCACACGUCUUCAUUCCACGAGACUGACCCAUGAACUGUCAAUGGAUCUACGGUCCGUGAGUCCCUUCCGUCAGCCAGGACUUUGAAAAUAUUUCAGGUUCCAAAAGUCAGCUUCUCUGAAGCAAACGAUGGAACUACAGUACGUACCGUAGAUCGAUCUACAGUCCGUCAAUCCCCUUUCGUAGCUCCACACUUGAAAUCUUCAAUAAUCAGGUACUGGAACCCUAGCAGUAUCAAUCUACGGAUCAACAGUACGGUCCGUAGAUCAAUCUAUGAACCGUCAAUGGCCACCGUGGUUCCACACUUAGUCAGAUUUCCCUGAUUUGCCCUCCAUGCCUUGCCUUCUGAUUUACGACCAUCACCUACGGAGCGUCAAUGGACCUACGGUCCGUAGAUCACCUCCGUAGAUGCCCUUUUCUGCAGUUCUUUCAGUUGUUUCUUUAAUUCCGCGCCUGGACAUCCUUCCUGCAAAAUAUGAUAAAAACACAUAAAAACCAAUACAAAAAGGCCCUAGACACACACAAAUUGUAAGUGAAAUGUAUUAGAAAUACCGUAAACUCAUGGUAUAUCAACCGUCGGUCAGUCCGUCGGUUGGCCCCGAUAGCUUUUAAGUUAGGGGUCUUUUGGUCUUUUCCCUAUGCAUUGGACCCCUAAACUACGUCGUUUAACCCCUAAACUGUGUGGUUUUGGUCAGUUUUAGCCUAGAAACUAAAUUAGAACUUACCCUAGUCAACUCAUUCUCCAAAAAAAUCAUCAAGUUGACGAAAAGAAGGAGAAAUAGUCGACCAAAGCCCUAGUCCAAGAACGCAACAUGUUUUCAUCAGUUUCAUCCCCAAAAUCGAAAGAUUUCUCCGUGAAUUUCGUCUCCAAGUAUGUGGGAUUUCACUAGUGGGUUCCUUUCACCCAUUAGGCCCCUAGAAUUCAGUCAGGUUCUUGAUUCCCUUCAUAUUAUCUAGACCUAGGGUUUCUAGAAUUUCAGUAUAUUAUUAUGAAUUAGUUACUUUAAUGUUCCUAAUCAGAUUAUCAUGAUUUUAGUAUUGUUUUGCGUAGAUUCUUUCAUAAAUUCAGAACCCUAGCUAUGUAGUUCUUUUAGUUCAUGAAAUACACAUUCUAGGUCAGUAUUUCAGUUAUACAUGUGUCACGACCCGAGAGCACCCCCAAGUCGUAACAUGCGUAUUCGACCUCUCGGAGGUCUUAUACAAGCCCUUAGUAUUCAUCACAUUAGAUAUGUAAAAUAGUGCGGAAUUAAGAACUCUUUAAAACAAAAUCCAUAAGACUCAAAGGUCAUAAUUUUUUUAAAAACAGCUUUCAAAAGUACACAAGCAGAAUACUAAGUCUUUUAGCCAACUUAGACAUAAGCCUGAAAACAUACUAGGGGCACGGCCCUUUACAAUCAAAAGAAGUCUACUAAGUCUAUUACAAGAACCUUAUCAUAACACUAGAAUAGAAAAGUCUUGUCCUCGACAUAUGAGGACAUACCACAAGAUCUAGGAAGAACUUCAAAUCCCAAGCUUACUAUAGAACCCGCUCACUUGCCGGAACCUACACUUGUAGAAAAAUAGAGCAAAAUAUGGAAAUAGCACAAUUAAGUACAAAGUAUGAUGACCAUGCAAAAACAUGUUAAAACAUACAUUUAUUUGAGAUAUAUGCUUUCAUGCCAUUUUUUUAGAAACCUUCAUAUCACAAUUAUAAGAGACACAUUUCACGUCAUCAUCCACAUAUAAGACAAUACCCACAUAAUAGACAUACUCAACUAGUACCAAUGUACAAUACAUGAACAUAAGCGACAAGUAAGCCUUUUCAUCAUUUAAUGACCUCAAUCUCAAGUUACCCAAAGCCACACUUAAGUGAAACAUGAAGUGACUGCCCAUACAAUCUCUUUUAUAUACACCUAAGUGUUCCUAAGGGUUACCAUAGAUAAGGAAUGUACCAUUACAAUAUAACAUGCUAAGUCAAAAUUCUUUAAUGAACCACUUAAGAGACAUUUAAGCAUUUAGGGUAUUUUCACAUAAUAGCCAUUUAGACUUAGGGAACUCACUUUAGCAUCUUCUAGGCCUACUCGUGCAAUGUGUAGAUAGCAUCCCAUACUACCACCUACACUUUGUAAAACCUAUCCAAUAACUAGAGUGCACAUCCCACAUGAUGGGAAUAGGCAUAACCGACAUAGACCAUACUAGCUAGGCAUGGAAUCCGGAGUCUACCCUACUCCGUGGAAGGUGUUCUACUUGCCAAAGGUAGAACUAAUAAUCAACCCAUGUAGGCACAUGGUUUAGGAGAUGUCCAAGGAUGUUCAUUGUGCCCUAGUCUCAUACUCAAGUAGGGCCACCAUCCUAACCACAUCCACUCGGUGCUUAGCCUUAGUUCCCAUAGAGUAAUUCAUUCACAUGUAUGCACUAGAGUGGACCCCAUUUCUAAGUUCGGCCAACUCAUAGUACUUCUACCAAGAAGGGCUCCAUUUCUUAGUUCUAGCCGAUCAAGGUUCCAGUGAGCGGUUUACUGUUCACCCGCCUCAUUUUUUUUUCUAAGUGUUGGACCAUUUUUCCAAAGGGCAUAUGUUAUUUCCUAUAUACCAUUAGUUCAAUUCCCAUCUCUAAAACAUUUCUCAAAACACCUCUCCCAUACUUAGACACAAGAACAAGAUAUAACACUUCCACCAAAGGUGGAUUCAACCUACCAACAACAAUCGUCACAUAUGGACAUUUAAAGAUAACAUACUUUCAAUCACACUACAAUAACACUUUGUACAAGAUCACCUUAUAACCAUAAGAAUACCUUCACAUAUUUACCUUCACAUAGUACUAUAACACUUCAUAACUUGAUAACACUUUAAUUCAAUAGAUAAUGCCUUCAAGGCCAUAUUCAUAAUACAAUCCAUAAUUAAACACCUCCACUAUAAGUGGAUCAAACCAAGCAAGAACAAUUAUAUCAAUAAUAUGAGAUUAAGCCCACUUACCAUACUCCAAAGCCAUUCUCAACAUUAAUCAAUAGAUAUAGAAAAUCAUAAGCAUCAACAAUACAAUCUAUUCUAAGCAUAAAUUCAUCAAUACCCAAUCAUUAUCAACAAACCCAUUUCGUAAGUCAAAUAUAGAAAUUUGUGAAAUCAAGGGUUCAUGAGAUUUUUCACUUGAAAACAUCAAUUUAAUAUCAACAAUAUCACAAUCCAACAUUCAAAACCAUUUAAUGCAAGAACCCUUGAGUAGAGUAAGAAAUAGAAGUUUUUCAUAACUUUUGAGAAUUUGAAAACCCUUUGAAAUUGGCUCUGAAGCGAAAACUAGCUUUAGAUAAAGAGCCACCAUACCUUAGUAUUGAGAAAACCCACGAAAAUUUGAUGGAAUAAACCUUUAAUUCGAAACCCUAGUUGCCCACAUCUUCUUCUUCCUUGAGCUUGAGAGGACUUUUAGAGAAAAGAACUUUUGAGGGGUUUUAAUUUGAAGAAUGAAUUCAAAAAUACCUUUUAAAAGUUUUAAUACCAUAAAUAGUUAUUAGAAAUAAAAUAAAAUAUACCCACUUCUUAAUUUAACUAAAAUUAAUAUUUACGAUAAUGCCCCUUGCCCACAUGGACUUAUCAAAUAAAACUAAGGCAACGUCAAUUUUUUUGGAAAAUUUCAUAACUCCAAUUUAUGCUUAAACUUUUAAAAUUCAUACGUUAGGCUCUAAUUUCACCUAUCAAUUUUUAGGGUCGCUACAACAUGCCUCAUAUUCGAAUGCUUCAUUAUUAGCACAUUAAUGUUGUAUUUUCAGUUAACAUGUCAGUAUUUUGAGCUAUCCAGUAUUACAAAAAUUCAAUCAUAAAUUGUUAAUUACAUAAUCAAUUGGGAGUAGCUUAAUAUCGAGUGGACUAGGGUCAAUCACCCUCAAAGUCCCAAAACUACGUGCCCCCGUAGGUUAUAAGUCCUUUUUGUGGGCAUCAAUUUAGUGAUCACGCCAAUCAUGCUUCUAUACCUCUAGCAGGGUAUAUUGGGUCCUCUCGAUGGGGUGUAUACAUCGGACUCUACAUUUAGCUCAUGUUGUUUUAUAUCGGUUAUUAGUAGCUCCCACAGUCAGAUUCUAUUACAUUGACCAUGUUAUCAGUUACAGUCAGAUUUCAUUCUCAGCAUGUUAUAAACUUGGUCAUUGCAUUCAGUUAGAUCAUGUUCAGCAUAUUUCGUAUAGUAUCUUGCUUAUCUCAUAUCAUUGCUCACUUAUAUGCUUUGUUCAGUUAUAUGUUUUAUUCAGCUUCAUUCUAUCAUGCAUGCUUAGUACAUUGCAAGUACUUACGCACACUUUGCGCUACAUCUUCUCGUGAUGUAGGUUCAGGUCCUCAGCUUCCAGAUCACGCAUAGAUCGGUUCCCGAUCUCUAGUUCAGCAGCAGCAGUUGUGAGCCCUCAUUUCUCGAGGACGACAAAAAUAUUCCUUUUGCCUUUAGUCUUUAGUUUCAGUAUUGCUAGAUUUAGCUGGGGCAUGUCCCAUCACUCUUCUAGUUAGUUAUAGGCUUAUUUCAAACAUAGAUACAUUUAGUUUUAGCUUUGGAGUUUUAUAUUUCAGUUGUCAUUAAACACAUAGUUCUUUUAUUCAGAUAUUAAUGGGUAUUCUCCAUCAUUUCAUUUAAUUAUAGUUUUAAGCUUCGACAUAAUAUAUUUUAUUCAGUAAUCAUUUAGUAUGCUUAUGAUAUGCCAACAGGGUUAGCUUCGAGUCACUCGUGAUCCUAGGUCCCGUGUUCGUGUCUUGGGGGUAGCUUCGGGGCGUGACACCUUUAUCCAUGCCACUUCUUUUAGUAUUUAGGGGUCACUCAACAAGAAUUAGGCAAUUCUCUUAGUUUUUCAUGUGUGUUAACCUUGUGAACUUUUGGUGUAAUGACUUCUAGGAACCUUUUUUUCCAGAUUCUUUUGCAUAACCAUCCAUAAGGACCUGAAGAACAAUUUCUCUAGCCCCACCAUGAUCCACGCCACAUUUUUUAGCAUGAAGGGGCCAAUCAACAUGAAUCGGGAGAUUUUCUCAAUUUUUCGUGUGUUUUAGCCCAUGCAUUGUUUGGUGAUAAGACUUUCACAAACUUUUUUCCAGAACCUUUAUAGAACCAUCUUUAACGAUAGAGAAACAAUUCUCAUAGUCUCACCAUGAUCCAUACCACUUUUUUAUCAUUUAGGGGCCACACAACAGACAUUAAACAAUUUUCUCAGCUUUUCAUGUGUGUUAGUGCAAUGAUUUUUUUGUGAUAUGACUUUUUGGACAUUUUUUUCCAGAACCUUUGCAGAACGAUUUAUAAGGACCUAGGGAACAAUUAAUAUAGCCUCACCAUGAUCCACACCACUUUUUUAGCAUAUAAAGGCCGCUCAACAGAAAUUAGGUGAUUUUCUCAAUUUUUCGUAUGUGUUAUCCAUGGAUAUUUUUGGUGAUAUGGUUCCCGAAUAUUUUUUUUUCAAAACCUUUACUGACCAUCAGUAAGGAACCGGGGAACAAUUGCUAUAGCCUAGCCAUGAUCCACACCACUUAUUUUUAGCAUUUAUGGUCACUCAACAGAAAUUAGUAAUUUUCUCAAUUUUACGUGUAUAUUAACCCAUGAAUUUUUUGGUGAGAUGUCUUCUGGGUACUUUUUUAACAUAACCCUCAGAGGACCACUCGUAAGGUCCUGAUAAACAAUUCCUAUAUCCUCAGCAUGAUCCACACCAUUUUUUCUGCAUUUAGGGGCCACUCAACAAAAAAUAUGUGAUAUUCUCAUUUUUUUGUGUUUGUCAGCCCAUGAAUUUUUCGAAGAUAUGGCUUUUGGAUACUUUUUUUCAAAAUCUUUACAGAAAUUUUUGUAAGUACCUGGGAAAAAAAUUGUUAUAGCCUCCCUAUGAUCCAAUCCACUUUUUUUUUAGCAUUUAGGGGCCACACAACAAGAAUUAGAAGGGUUUUCUUAGUGUUUUUUUUAUGCGUGUUAGCCCAUACAUUUUUGGGUGAUAUGGUUUUGGAGUACUUUUUUCCAAGUCCUUACAGAACCAUCUGUAAGGAUAUGGGGAACAAUUCCUAUAGUUUCAUGAACCCUUUGCAGGGAUUUGGGGAGAAGUAUGUGAAGCCUCACCAUUUUUUUGCACAUAUUUUUGGCAUUUAGGAGCCAUUUUAUAGAAAUUAGGCUAUAUUCUCAAUUUUUUUUAGUGUUAACCUAUAAAUAUUUUAGUGAUAUGGCUUCAGAAUGAUUUUAAAAAAAAAACUUUACGGAACCCUUUAUAAGGAGUUGGGGGAGAAGUACGUAAAGCCUCACCCUUUUUUGCACAUACAUUGGACAUUGAAGAGAUAUUUUAUGUAACACCUCGGACUUCGAAAAGGGCUAAAGAGGGGUUCGUACAAGCCACCCAACAGUUUCAAGUUUUGGAUCAAGUUAAAACGAUCAAAUCUCUUAGAACAUAAAGAAGUAGUUGACCCAUGACCUAUCAAAUUAAAUUUUUUUGAGUCCUCUUUCCAAUGCUGCCAAGUUUGCUUGAUUUCAAACUUGGAGUAAAAAGAUAUGCCCGUUUUAGUGAAGCCUUCUUUUUAAGGCACCUAAAUCAUUUUAGAGGGGUGGUUUGGUCUUUUCCCAUACCUUCUAAGACUAGCCACGUUUUUCUUCACCUAAUUAAGGGUCUAAUAAGCGUUACAACAUCUUUUCACGUUCUUUAACACUUACAGGAAUUAGAGUAAAGUUCUAAGAGGAUAAAAAAGCUAGGUUUCAAGCGUCUUCAAGUUUCCAUCGAUUUUUUCCAAGAACCUUUGUUCUUUCCAGAUAUGUAAGACUUCUCACAAUGUUAGAAUUGUUCGUCCUCACGCCCUACAUCUCAAUUUAGUCAAAAAUCAUCGCAUCAAAAGGAUCAAUUCGUAUUUCUUGAUAUUGAAUACAAUUUUUUAACCGUUGAGGUUUUGAUUCUUUUGUUUUGUGAAUCUUAUAGUGUUGUUGUCACGCCCCGAGCCUACACUCUGGACGCGACUAGCACUCGAGAACCAUUAAUGGCCCCAAGCGAACCCUUGGCCUGGCUUAACUCUUAGCGGAAGACUUACUCAAUAUUGAAUAUCUCAAAUGAAAACUUUAACUCAGAUAACUACUCAGAAUAUUUAAGGAAAAACAUUCACUAGCCAAAGUGGCAGCUUAAGUCUCAGGCAUCAAUAACCGAAAUGAACAAGACUAAUAAACUAUAAUUAUCUAUCUAUGAAGCCUCUAAUACUAUGAGGGAUGUCGGGACAAGACCCCCGAUCAUCCUAACAACUAAAAUAACGAAACAUGAUAAAAGGGAUCCUCUAGAAAGCAAGGAGGCUUACCAAAUGACUCUGAAGCUCAAUUGGAUCAACGAAGCGCUGGAUGCUGAUCCUGGUUACCUUUAUCUACAUCAUAAAAGAUGCAGGCCAAAUGGCGUAAGUACAUGGAAUGUACGAGCAUGUGAGGGGAAGUCUAAAACAAGACAUAAGCUUGAACAGGAACGGAAAGAAACACUUACCUCAUCUCAACUCUACUAAACUCAUCUCAGUAUAAAGUAAUACUAAAGAUGUAGUUUAUAUAAAGCAUUUAAGACAGUAAAUAACAACUCAAUGUAUUUAAAAUACAUUAAUAUCUCAAAUGUAUGUAAAAGUACAACUGUUUGUGAGAUUCUCUUAACUAACAACCAUCACUAUGAGCUAUGUGAUGAUACAUCAUCUCGCCCACGCUUCCAGAGCUGUCCUAACCUUGUCGGGAUAUAGAACUCCUCAACUAAGUGGAUCCACUAAGCUAUGCUUAAAAGAAAUAAGGAAUCAUCUAAAAAGUAUGACCCUUUCUACCCACAUUGGCUACAUGGUUUAUGGAGACUUUGAGUUAUCUGAACUCGUCCCCAUAUCGGUGCUCAAUACUACUCCCAAAAUGUAACUAGCUCAUAUGUUUAAAAAUAUAAGUCUUUCUGUGUUUUGAGAUUAUUACUUAAAAAGUCUUUCUCUUAAAAGAGAUGGCACUAAAACUACUCAUGAAAACUCUAUUAGAAAUCGGUGUUUCCUCUUAUCUUACAUGUGAAAACAUUUACUCUUGGGAAUACUUAGUCCCAUACAUCAUUUUAAAGAAAAUGAACUUCACUCUUACUCUUCAUCAACUCAAUGCUCAAGUCUUAAAACAAGUUUAAAACAAUUGUAAAAGACUUUUUGAAAAGACUUAACGAAAUCUCAAGACUUGACUCUUAGCUCUACCUUGAAUUUGAAUUUAUGGAUUCAAGGUUAUGAUCUCAUGUUAUGUACGAUCACUCGAUGUUUAGACGUAUCUUAGAGUGUAGGAAUCAACUAGAAAACAUAGGUACGAUUCGAGGGAACUUAAACAGAAAGAAGUAGGAAAGGGCAGAGGACCUGGCGACCCUGGCGUACUGAGUGGCGCAGGGAGCCAGACCUUGAACUACAACAGGUGCGUUGGGGUGCACUGAGUGGCGUGGCGCCCCAGGGCCCUACCUACAGACACUCUUCUCUGGCGCACUGAGUGGCACGGUGCACCAGCCCCCUGCCCAGAAAACCCGACGAAUUUUCCUGUUCAUUUUUCGACCCUAAUUCUUCUAGAUUCGAAUGGUUUCUUCCCCAAUCACUUAGAUUCAAAUACCCAACAAUAGUAUACAAGAAUCUACUCCAAAAACAACUUUAAAACUCACACAAUUAUCUCAAGAACUCAUCCAAACCUCAAAAUCAAGAUUUGAAGGAAACUUCAACAAAACUAAUCAAGAACUCGAAUCCUUUACUUUCAAGAACGAAAUUACGCUAAAAUAAUCAUGAUUAGCGCGUGGAUGAAUGAACCCAACACUAUGUGAACUCACAUACCUCUUACGUAUCAAACUAUUGGCGAAAUCCACAAUGAAAUCCUCAAGAACUUGACGAAUGCUUGACUUUUCUCCUUUUCUCCUCUUCUCGAACUUCUCUCAAAGCCCUAGCAUAUUUUAGGAUUUGUAAAACUGAACCAAAUCAGUUUAGACCCAUAAAUAUUAACAAAUUUCAUUUUAAGUUAAUUGGGUAAGGAAAAGACCAAAAUACUAGACAGCCCGACUUCAAAUGGGAAUAUCUCCCUCAUACGAGCUCAAAAAUUAGCAAACUCGGUGGUGUUGGAAAGAGGAUUCCAAUAUAUUUCAUAUGAUAUCUCAUGGACCACCUAAUUUAUCAUUAACUGAAAGUUAUGGUCAUCUGAAAUUGACCCAAAACUCAUACUUAGCAUAACUUGCCAAAAUUUCCAAUUUUGCUAUUUCCAAUUUAGUUUCUUUCUAAUUCUAGUUCAUUCAAAAACCGAGGUGUUACAGUCGUUCAUGCUUAGUAUCACAUGAACCCUAUUGAUGUAGUAAUGUUAUGUUUUUCAAAAGGAAUUGGAUGAAAAUUCUCAUGUAUUGGUUUUGGGUUUGAGAAACACGUAGAGUUUAGGAGAAAUUUCCCAAUUCUAAACUGAUUUGGGGCACUAAUUUUAACUUGAAAAUUCAUCGGGGAUGCUUGGAGGGACUGGGUCAGACGCCAGCAGUGCUCCUAGACCUGCCCCAGUACUUCAGGCCUGGGGCGGUGCGGCAGUAGUGUGCCCAAACUUAGCCCCAGUAGUUUGGGGCCUGGUGCCCCGUGCGAGAUGGUCGUUUGGACCGAUUUCUUCUUUGUUUCAUCCAGACACGUUCCUUUAAGUUAUGUCCAUGUUCCCCAUUCUCUAUAUUUGCUCCUAUAAGCUUCAUUUACCUUUGAAAAUCCCUAUAUAUCAUAAUCAAAAGUCUUGGUGUACCUUCAAAACUAAAUUGAGUUUAAAAGGAAAUUUCAAGAGUUUUAUGGAGUUAUUCUUGAGAGUUCUUUUAACCAUAAAUGAUCUUAAACUAAGUAUUCCCAAUUGUAAUACUUCAACAUUGAGAAAAGAGAAACUUUGAUUUCUAAAAAAAGUUUAUGAGUUCAAGAUAUUUUAGCGCAGUUGCCUCUUCAAAAUGAGUUAUUUUUUGUAAUUACCUCAAAACAGAGAAAGAGUAUUCCUACUUGAGCAUGAGUAUAUAUAUAUUUAUUCGGAGUAGUAUUGAUCCCGGUAUGAAGAUGAGUUCAAACAACUCACAUCCUUCAUAAACCAUGUAGCUAGGGUAAAUGAUUGUAUUUUUUAGACGUCUCCUUAUUGUUUUCGAGCAUAGCUUAGUGGAUCCACUUAGUUGAGGUGUUCUAUACCCUGGCAAGGUAUGACAACGUGGGCAAGACGUUGUAUCAUAACAUAAGUCAUAGUGAUGGUUGUCGGUUAGAGAAUCUCAUAAAUAAGAGAAAAGAGUAAUUUAUUGUAUUUUUAUAUACAUCCUUGAGUUAAUAUCCUUUAUUUAUGAAGCUUUAAACAUGUCAUCUCUUAUUAUUGCUUUUUAUUGAGCUGAGUUGAGGUGAGUAUUCUUCCAGUUUUAUUCGUUCAGUUAUCUAUGCAUUCAGUAUUUUCCAUACAUACUCAUUCAUUCAAUAUAUUGAAGUCAUUUGACCUUCAUCUUAUUAUGAUGCAAAUAUAGGUGUUCAGGGUCAUCAACAGGCGCUUCAUUGAGAUUUCUUGCACUCCAGUUAGCUUUGAUGAGCCUCCUUGCUUUCCGGAGGAUUUCAUGUUUGAUUUCUUUUUAUUGUUGAGUUGUCGUGGGUCUUGUCCCGACAUCUAUCCUAGUAUUAGAGGUUUCAUAGACAGUUAGAGUUGAUGAGUCUCUCAGUAUGUUCCUUCCUAUUUUGAGAUCUUGAGACUAUUACAUAUACCUUAUUAAGUAUUUCCAGACAUUUAAUUGAGUUGAGUUUAAUUGAGACUAUUGAGUAUAACUAUACAUUUAAAGUUCCCUAUUUGCUUGAGUAAGUCUUCUACUAAGCAGUCAUCUAGGUUAAGGGUUCGCUUAGGGACCAGUGAUGGUUCUUGAGUGCCGGCCACGUCCAGGGUGUAGACCCAGGGCAUGACAUUUUAUAAGAUUUAUGCAAUUUUCUCAGUUUUUCGUGUCUGUUUCCAUCAAUAUUUUGGUGAUAUGGCUUCUGAACUAUUCUUUUGCAAAAUCCUUACGGAACCCUCCUUAGGGAGUUGGUGGAGCAGCACAUGAAGCCUCACUAUUUUUUUCAUAUAUUUUGGACAUUUAGGAGCCAAUUUACAGAAAUUAGGACAUUUUUUUCCAGCUUUAUUUGUGUGUUAGCCAAUGAAUAUUUUGGUGAAAUGACUUCUAGAUAGUUUUUUUUUGUAAAACCUUUAUGGAACCAUCCGUAGGAAGUUGGGGGAGUAGUACGUGAAGCCUCACCCUUUUUUCACAUAUUUUGGCCAUUAGGAGCCAUUUUUACAGGAAUUAGGCAAUUUUCUCAAUUUUUCGUGUGUGUUAGCCCAUGAAUAUUUGGUGAUAUGGCUUUCGGAUAAUUUUUUACAAAUCCUUUAUGGAACCUUCCCUAGGGAGUUGGGGGAGCAGUACGUUAAGCCUCACCAUUUUUUGCAUAUAUUUUGGGCAUUUAGGAUCUAUUUUAUACGAAUUAAGCAAUUUUCUCAGUUUUCGUGUGUGUUAACCCAUGAAUAUGUAAUGGCAUAGCCCGUUAGUGAUAUUGUCCGCUUUAGGCCUAGACCUGCACCACUGUAAAAUGUGUUACUAGUUUGUAACGUCUGCUUACUUAUAUACCUAACAUCUCUCAUGUGUUUUACCGAUGUGGAACUUUUUAUCUUUAGAUUGGGUGUCACAUACACCCCCUUUAUGGACUCAGCCUCCUCGCAGAGAUUUGCCCCACCACAUGGGAUUUUUCUAGACUCGGGUCUGAGGUGUUUCCUGCCUUACCAGAAUUUGCCUAAACUUAGGGCCCGUUUGGCCAUGCGAUAUGGAAUCAUGAUAUGAUAUCAUAAUAUUGAAUUAUGAGAUGAAAUUGAAUUUUUGUUUGGACAUGCGAUAUGGAAUUUUGAUGUUGUAUAUUUUCUCAUAAACGUAAGAAUCCAUAAGUUGUAAAACUAUUAAAAUAGCCCCAAUUGUAUAUCCAAUCUUACCAAAUAAAUAAAAAUUUAUAAAAUCGCAUAAUAUAUUAUUACAUUGCUAUUUGUUCUCUACUUAAGUAACUAUUUCUUCUAACUUUAAUUCAUCAAACUUUAAUUCAAUAAAAAAAUUGAACAUAAAUUUUAGUACUAGUCUUUAAUAUUACUCAACAAUCAGUUGAUGUGAGUUAAAGUGACUAUAUGUUGGUGAGAAUAUAAUAAUAAAUUUUAUGUCGGUGAGAAUAAUUAAUUUUUAAAAAGUAAUGAUGUCAUUAUAAAUUUUAUUUGCAUAUGAAAUAAAUUGUUAGUAGAUAUAAAUGUGGGAUUGUUUUAACAAAAUAUAAACUUGUGGAUCAAUUUUUGUAUUAAACAUAUCUCAAAUCAUGAUAUGGUAUUUCCAUAUCAUGGUUUUUGGAGAAUAUGAAAUCACAUCUCAUGAUUUGGAAUCAUGAGAUGGAAUCAGCGUAAAAUCGCAUGUACAAAUGUUGAUUUCAUAUCACGAUACCAUAUCGUGAUAUGGUAUCGCAUGGCCAAACGCCUACUUAGUUGAACUCUGGUCCACAUCGACAAGGUUGACAAAAGAGUAGCUUUGAUACCAUUUGUAACGGUUCAACUCGUUAGUAGUAUUGUCCAUUUUGGGUCUAAACGCUUUGGGUUGGGGUAAAUUGGGCCUAAAAAUUUAAAGGCUUGGGCAAUUGGGCCUAAAUUUAAAGAGGGAUGAAGGGAAAUUCAGCCUAAACUAAAAGGGGUUUUGGGCUGCAAUUUAUUUCGGGUCCAUGGACAUCUGCUGAAUUAGUUUGGGUUGGGUUAUGAAAUUGUAAUUAUUUUGUGUCUUGUGGCUCAUUUAUGUAGUUUCCCAUAGAAAAAAAAUAUCUUUUGGGCCUAAUACAUUCAUAAAGGUUGUUAGCUAAAUAAGUCAGCCCAUUAGUUAACCUAAUAAAUGCCAUUACGGGGGUUGAAAAAACAACUCUAAAUCUCUUAGAGAACGGCGAGAGUUAUCUCUACAACUCUCAAUGAUUUUUUGGUUGUGGAACUAGGAAAUUUAUCCAGUCAAGUGAGGAUUCCUAACAACUAGUAAUUCAAGUCGUGAUUGCUGCAGACGAUCCACCUACACUAAGAAGAACUAUUGUAAGUCUCAAAACUAGUAUUUAAUCGUUAUAUUAGAAGUUUACAAUUGUUAAUUGAAGUAUGAGAGACAAGGUUUAAACUAUUCCGAUAUAGCAUAAAGAAAAUUAAAAGUUGAAGUAUUUAAAAGGAUAUUUUAUAAGUUGUAAAGAACAAGGAAAAUGUAAUUUUUCACCUUAGAUUAAAGCACAUGUUCUAUGUCUAAAUCUCCCUCUUACAUGUAGUUAUAAUAUAUGAUAAUAUAAAGGAGGUAAACAACAUUAGACAUCACAUAAUCAUUAUAUCUGAUGUACAUUAAGCAUAUGUUUAUUUGGUACUGCUACUUUGUCAUAAUUAAAUUCCCUACAUGAAAAAAGCAAUCGAGUAAUUCCAUCUCUUCUAAAUUUGAACCCUUUUGGAUGAUCUACAGUUGCCACUAUUACAUCAGAUUCAAUUAUAUCAAUUAUAUAAUGAUAUAUCACCAUACAUAUACUUCUAAAAGUUUCAUCCAAUGGUAUAAUUUAAGUUGUAUAUAUACGGAUAUUUUUCAAUUUUAAAAAUAUUUGUGAUAUUUAUUGCUUAUUCAUUCAAUAGUAUAAUUUAAGUUGUUUAUAUACUUUAGGGAUAUUUUUCAUUUUUCAUUAUUUAAGCCAAUUAUGACAAGUAAGACAAAAUAUAUAGUAUCGAGACGGAAACUUGUGAUUGGUAGAUAUAUGUAAAAAUUCUUUUAUUUAUAUUUUUAUUUCACCUUGUUAUCAAGGUAAUUUUAAAAAUAAUCAUUCCAUGACUCGCUUAUCACAAUUUUGAGUCACUAUAGAAAUUCAUAAACUUGAAAUCAUAGAUUCGCCUCAAUCUAAGAUUACCUGAUACACAUGUUGAUAAGAGGUUGCAUAUACUCAACGAAAAUAUUAAGUCGUAGACAAGUUGACCCAAACACAACCCGAAUAAGGUAAAACAAACAAGAAAAAGGAAAAGCCCAAAUCUUCUAUUAAUUUAAAGGUUGAAGUUUUCUUGUAUCAUUCAUGAUAUUAAAAGCCAUGGAAGAAAUAGUUGAGUUUUACUAUUAUUAUCAUCCAAUUUUGUCCAUCUAUUAUCAUUAUUUUUUAUAAUUCAAAUGACCUCUUCACACAUUAAUUAUUCAAAUUAUAACAGUCCAAAAAAUUCAAACUUCUUUAAAUUUUUGUUAGUUUCUUUCUUUGUUCCUUGUACAGACUAAAUCAAGAAUCAAGAAACCAAGGUACUUUUUUGUGUUAUUUUUUCUCUUGGUAUGAUUUUUUAAUAUUAUAUUGGUUGCAUGCAAAUAAUGGAAUAUAAUAUGUUUAUUAUUAAGGAAAAUAAUAUUUGAUUUUGGUUUCCUUUUUAUUAAUUUUUGUUUUUGCAAUGUAUAAAAGAAUAUGCCUGAUUUUGAUAAACAGCAACCUAGGAUGAAGAGUGUUUUAACAUGUGGAAUUUACAAAAAGCUAUGCAAAGAUGUCACAAUUAUUGAAGAAUGUUGUCAUAGAUGUGAGAAAAUUUAAAUCAUUUUAACUAACUUCAUUUUUGGGGGGUUUAUUUUUGAGGGAUGUUGAUAAAUUAUUUAUUCUUGUGAUUUCAUGAUCUUGGAGUUUAGAUUUUCUUUGUAAUGUUCUUUUCGAUGUUUAUUUUAUUGCUCAUCAAGGCGGAGUUAUCGAAACAAUCUUUCAAUCUCUGUCGUCUGCGGUCGGUAUCUUCAAACAUACUUUGUGAGACUGUUGAUGAAGGUGGUUGUUGUAAUUUUUGGGUUUCCUUUUUCUAAAAAAAAUCGGUGACUUUGAUAAAUAAUUUGUUCUUGUCAUUUCACAAUCUUGAAUUUUUUAUUUUUUUUCGUUCUCUCCAAUGCUUUUAAAAGAUUAAGUAGACUGAAACUUUCUGGGGGUUCAUUAUUAUUUUAGAUUAAACUGUUUAUUUAUUUGUUUAUUUCAUUCUUGUAUGAUCAAUUUAUUGCAUUUGGCCCUAGUCAUUAACAAUACUAUAUUUUUAUUUAUUAUUAAUUUGGGAUUUUAUGAUUAAAAUGUUAGGUUUUAAAGGUGUGAAUGGAAAAUGAAGAGUUGCGACGUUUAUGAAGAGUUGUGACUUUUAUGAAAAGUUGCGACUUUUAUGAAGAGUUGUGACUUUUAGAAAAGUUAUGACUUUUAUGAAAAGUUGUUACUUUUGUGAAAGGUUGUGGCAUUUUCGAAUGAUUGAGACUUUUCCAAAGGGUUGUGACCUUUCCGGUAAGGCACAAUAAGAACCUUUUCACACUACCCUUUAUUUUCUAUAAAUUGAGGGAUUUCCUCUCAUUUUAAAAGAACCAAUUUUCUGGGCUUUUUCUAUACUACUAAAUCUAGUAUUCUAAGUGUACUUACUGCCGUUGAGUGGUUCGCUGAUACCGUGGUUUUAGGUACCAAUACACCAGUGAGUAAGUUCAUUCUAUCCUGGGAGGAUAUAUUCCAUUAACCUCGGGUACUUGAGGGGAAUAAUUUCCUUAAGAGUUUAGUUUGUAGAAUGAGAGAUGCACAUUUUUAUUUGAUAAAAUAGUAUGUCAAAAUGAUAUAGUUGGAAUGCUAUUUGAAAAGAAAAGCAUUUCUAUGUGAUAAUCUAAGAAUAUGUUUUAUUCUUUUUGGAGAAAAAAAACUUUUGUAGUUUUGUACUCCUUGUGAAUUUGAUUGUGUCUGAUUAUUGUAGAGUAAAAACUUUUGUAGUUUUCUACUCUGGAUAAAUAAGAAUAUGCAAUUGGUUUGAGAAUAUGAAAACUUCAUCUAAUAAGUCAGUGUUGUACUUUUUGUUUUCUAUAAACUUCACUGUUAAAUAUAAAAAAAUGUACAAACAUUUUUGUCUUUAUUAAUAGUAUUCUAAAUAUUAAGUGGUAUGUCUAAUUGUGAUAGAAAAAAGACCAGUGGCUUAAAGUAUGUGAUUUUGUGUCUGCAAUAGGUGCCUCUAUGAAAUGAACUUUGACACUAUGUAAAGAUUUUCAAAGAGAAUUGAAGCACUAUAAUUCUUUCGUAUAAUAAUAUUUCCAAAAGAGGUUUCAUUCUACCAUUGAUAGUCUGAGAAAAUAUGUGGAAAAAUUAUUUUCAACUAUUUGAAAAAUAUUUUUGAGAUCAUAUUUAAAAUGUGGGGGUUCUUUGCUUAUGACAAAGAUAAAAUUAGACUUAGUGUCCAAUUUAAAUUUGGAGCACAAAAUAUGAAAUUCGAUGAUACUUUUGUAUUAUGUUAGACCCACAAAAUUCUUGGAAUAUAUUUGAUAUUGUGGUCAUUGAGUUUCUCUUUUACUAGUAUAUGGUAUGACUAGUAUGAAACAACCAAAUUAUAUGUAUACUUGUUCAAAAUGUUUGAGUUCUUUUAUGAAAAUGUGUCACUUAAAAUGUUGUGAUUUUUCAUGAAAAGAUAUGUCUAUUAAAUAUAACUAUUGUAUAGACAUGAAUAUUGGUGAAUAGUCAUUUGUCAUGUUUUGUAAAAGAAGCAUUUGGACUAUAUUGCCUUUAUUGGACCCGAUGAAACUUUGUUCAUGGGUAUAACAAUCAAAUUGAAAGUUAUGGAAAGGUCCUUCUGAAAAGGACAUUUGACAAGGUGAUGCUUCUAAACAAUGGUUGCAUCAAAAAGCUGUAAGAAAUAGGAACAGAUAUUUGUGAGAAAAAGCUACCUCGCACAGAACUUUUCAAACUCAAUAUUUUAUUUGUUCUUACUUGCUUGAGUCAAACUAUUUGUGUCAUGAACAAUUAAUGGGACAUGUCAAUUACAAAACCUUUUAAGGAAAACUGAUCAACUUAAAAGUUUUGUCUAACUUUGAGUGCAAUAAAUAAAAAUGGCAAGUUUGUGUGGAAUCUAAGUAUGUUGAGCAUUCUUAUAAAUCUAUUUAAAGGAAUUAUAAUCCCUUAGAGUUGAUUUACACUGACAUUUAUGAUAUGAAGUCAACACCAUCUCGUGGUGGGAAAAAGUAUCUCAUAAAUUUCAUUGACAAUUGCAUUAGAAACGACUAUAUCUAUUUGCUGAAUGGUAAGGAUGAAAGUAAUAGAAACGUCUAGACAAUAUAAUAUUGAUGUUGAAAAUCAGUUGGGAAAAAGAUAAAAAGUGAUAGGGAUGGAGAGUAUAAGUCUCCUUUUGCAUAAAUAUGUCUGGAAAUUUCCUAUUCACCUCAAUCUAUUGGAAUUGAAAAAUGAAAAAAAAUCAAACUUUGAAGGAAAUGAUGGCUACAUUACUUAUAAGUUUAGGUUUACCACAAAACUUAUGUGGAGAAGCUAUCCUUACAGCAAAAGGGUACAACAAAAAAAAGGUUUGUCUUUCCAGAAAGAAAGCAAUAAAAUUUUUGUUUGUUCAAGACACAAUCUAUUCCAUAUGAGAAAUUGUUGGAAGGAAAUCCAACUUGAAAUAUUUUAAAGUGUGGGGGUGUCUAGCCAAAGUCCAAGUUCUUAUUACUAAAAGGAUUACAAUAGGACCUAAGAUCUGUGGACUGUAAAAUUAGACUUGAGUAAUCUAAUGAGUGGUCUAAAAGACCUUGGAAAGAACAAAAGGAGAAUGUACUUAAUAAAGAGAUUCAGACGUGUAGUAAAUGUCAAAGGACAUCUACUACCUUCGGAUAUGAUUUUGUAACAUUUCCUAUGUCUUAUGUGGACUCAUCCUUUUGGAAAAAAUGGUGUCAAUAGUGAGAUUGGUUCAAUCUUGAGCAAUCCUAUUGGAAGUUGGUUGAUCUUCCUCCAGGAAAUAAACCUUUGGGUUCAAAGUGAAUCUUCAGAAGGAAAAUGAAAGUUGAUGGAACUGUUGACAAAUAUAAAGUAAGACUUUUUGUCAAAGGCUUUAGAUAAAAACAAGGUCUUGAUCUUUUCGACACAUACUCGCCAGUAACUAGAAUUACAUUCAUUUGGAUGUUAAUUGUGUUAGCUGUGGUAUAUUACCUCCAAAUUCAUCAAAUGAAUGUGAAAAUAACUUUCUUAAAUGGAGAAUUGAAGGAAUAAACUUACAUGAAACAACACGAGGGUUUUGUGGUUCCUGGUAAAGAAAAGAAAGUGUGUGAACUUGUUAAGUCACUUUAUGGACUAAAACAAGCACACAAACAAUGACAUAAGAAAUUUGACCAAACCAUGUUGGAAAAUGAAUUUAAGAAUGAUUAAAGUGAAAAAUGUGUUUACAUUAAAAUCAUAAGGUCAUUGUUUGUUUAUAUAUUGAUGACAUGUUGAUCAUCAGUAGAGACACUAAUGGCAUAAAUGGUACUAAACGUAGGUUAGAAAGCAAGUAUGAUAUGAAAGAUCUUGUUUGUUGAUGCGAUCUUAGGUAUAAGAAUCCUUAGAACACCAUAAUGUUUAGCAUUGUCACAGUCUCAUUGCAUUGAAAAGGUACUUGACUAGUUCAAAUAUUUGGAUUUCAAUAUUGUCAAGACUCCAAUAAAUGUGAGCUUUACAUUUCAAAAGAGUGAAGAUGAAAGUUACUAAAAAUUGGAUUGUGCUAGAGUAUUUGGAAUUAUAAUGUAUGUCACGAAGUGUGCGCGAUCAGAUAUAGCAUGUGCUAUUAAUGAACUGAGUCGGUUCACAAGUGAUCCCAAUCGAACUCAAUUGAUGACAAUGAAAAAAGUUUUGGGGUAUUUAAAACAAACUCAAAACUAUGCCUUGCAUUAUAACAAUAUCCAACAGUAUUAAAAGGAUAUAGUGAUGCAAAUUGGAUCACCGAGAUCAAAUGAAGUAAAAUCCACGAGUGGAUAUGUAUUUACUCUUGGUGGAGGGGUAGUCUCUUGUAAAUCUUCCAAAAUGAUAUGUAUUGCUAGCUCUACAAUGAUCUCUGAGUCAGGUGCUCUAGAUAAGGCCAGUGAAUAAGUUGAAAGACUCUGAAAUAUCUUGAUAGAUAUUCUUUUUUGGCCCAAACCUUUAGCAUCAGUAUGCAAACACUUUGAUAGACAAGAUGCAAUAGGUAGGGCAUGGAGCAUGAUAUAUAACGGAAAGUCUCGUCAUAAAAGACAUAAACAUAAUUCCAUUAGAAAACUACUCUCUAGUGGAAUUAUCACAACUGACUAUGUAAAGUCAAAGGAUAAUGUGUUGGAUCCACUUACAGAAAGGCCUAGAGAAAAAGUUGAAAGAUCAUCUAAGGGAAUGGGUUUACGGCAUAGGACAAGUCAUCAUGGCGGUAACUCUACCUAGCAGACUGGAGAUCCCAAGAGCUAGGUUCAUGGAGAAAAACAAAGUUGUGAUUGACGGUUUGACAUUGUCAACCAACUCAAUUCAUUCUCAUGAUGAAGACAAUGCUCAGGAACAAGGAUACAACAUUAAGGCUUGUUAAUGAGUUAAUAAAGCUUAAAGUUUUUAAUGAUUUGCUAAGUUUGGCAGAUCUGACCAAAUAGUGUACCUAUGCGAUAACACAGUUAGAAAUCACUUAUGUGAGUGUGAAGUGUAAGCCGUUUCAAAGAGGAUGAUUAUCAAAAGCCCAUCUCUCUAUACACUCAUGAAACGAGGAGGUGUUCAUGGCUGAAACGAACACAACCGUAAGAACCAUAAAUGAUAAAUGGUUGAUUGUGUGACAUAUGAUUAUCUAGGUAUACACCAAAGCUUGACGGUUCAAAGAUAUCAAAUCUACCGAUUGACCGAGUAUAUCCGACAUAUGUUCACUACGGAAAGUUCAAAGAGAAACCUACUUAUCUAGAUGCUAUUAAUUCUUUCUUGUAAAGUACACACUUGUCCAUUUCUUUGUCUUGGAGUCAUUCCCCAUUCAUGCGGGGUGGGUUUAAAAGGUGUGAAUGGAAAAUGAAGAGUUGCGACGUUUAUGAAGAGUUGCAACUUUUAUGAAGUGUUGUGACUUUUAUGAAAAGUUGUGACUUUUAUGAAAAAGAUGUGACUUUUAUGAAAGGUUGUGACAUUUCCGAAUGAUUGAGACUUUUUCAAAAGGUUGUGACCUUUCCGGUAAGGCACAAUAAGAACCUUUUCACACUACCCUUUGUUUUCUAUAAAUUGAGGGAUUUCCUCUCAUUUUAAAAGAACCAAUUUUCUAGACUUCUUCUACUUCUACUAAAUCUAGUAUUCUAAGUGUACUUUACUGCCGUUGAGUCGUUCGCUAACACCGUUGUUUUAGGUACCGAUACACCGGUGAGUAAGAUUGUUCUAUCAUGGGAGGAUAUAUUACAUUAACCUCGGGUAUUUGAGGGGAAUAGUUUCCUUAAGGGGACACUGUGCAUUCAGUGGGCUCGAUUUUCUUCUUUAAGAAAAAUAUUUUGUAUAUUGUUUCUAAUCUGGUUCUGAUUCUAUUUUCUCCACUAGUUUAAAUUUUCUAGUUUUGAAAAUACUCUUUAAACUUUGUUGUUUCUUAUCAAGUUCUUCAAAGUUUUUGUUCUAAUUAUCCUAGGAAUACAAGAUGAACAACAUAAAAGAAAUGAGUUUUGCAAUAUGGUUCAACAUUUUUCUCUUUUCUUUCUUUUCACUUUUUAUUUCUUAAUUCAUUAUAUAUCAUUUUUUGGUGAAAAAAAUAAUUAUUAUAAAUCAAUUUUUUUUAAUGGAAUUUGAUUAAUUUAUGUUUAAUAUAUUUUUUACAGUUUGCAAAAUUGCAUAAUGAGGAAGGUAAAAGAAGAGAAAUUGAAAGUUUGUCCAGAAUGCAAUACAGAUUUAGUGCUGCCCCCUCACAAAAAAUCAGGUAUAUCCUCUAAUUUUAAUUUUUUAUAGUCUUUUAAAUAUUUUGAAUUAUUAUAUAUUGUGAUUUAUAUCUUCUUCUUUUUUACUUCUAAUAAUUAAAUUUUAUUUGAAAAGGCAUGAAAAUUGUAUCAGAUAACGUGGAACAGAGAGAGUUAUAUAGUUCCUUCGUCCUAUUUUAUGUGAAGGUUUUAUUGUUUUUAUUGUUUAGAGAGUCAAACAAUUUUUUUCUUUGACUAUAGUUUUCACAAUUUUUUUUCAAAAAUAUUUUGAAAAAUUCUUUAUCUUGACCAACAAUAUUUUUCAAAUAUGUAAUUAUUUAAAAAAGGUUUGAAGAAUUUGUACCCGAAUCAAUAGUGAAAUUAAGUAUUUUGACUUUCUUAUGUUGACUAUAGGCUUAAAUUGUAAGAACAAAAUUACACUUCUAAUGCAACCCUAGAUUAUUCUUCUAAAUGUCUAUAUAUGGUGAUUAGAGUUUUCUUUAUUCUUGUGUUGAUGAAAAAUAACAUGUACUUCAUAAAACAAGUUAAGGUUGUAUCGAAACUGACCUAGACAUCACUCUUUUUCAAAAUGUAAAAACGACCAUUGUUGUUUGAUAUUGACUUUAUUUUUCCAUUUGGUUCAUGUUAUAUGGAUUCAUUAUUUAUACUCUGUUCAUCCUAUUAUAUGUUAAAGUAUUACUAUUUGAGGAGUCAAACAAUUUCUUUUAAAAAAUAUUUUGAUUCAUUCGCUAUGUUGAUUUGUAGCACUUUUUGUGUAUACAUUUUUAUUUUAAGAAAUUGAAGAAUAUAUACUCAAAUUCCUAGUCAAACUAAGAUGUUUUAAUCUUCGUACUCCAUACCUUUUCACAUAAUUUGAGAUAAAGGAAGUAAAUAUUAUAAGUAAAAUUUUCAAAUACAAAAACAAGAUUUUGUCUCUAUGUUUAUGUUGAAUAAGUAGACAAUAAUUGAUAUAACUUCAUAUAAUGCUUAAUUUUUAGGCCUGAUCACCAAGUGCAAGGGAUCAGAGACAUAGUGUCAAGUAAAAGAAGAGAAUUUAUUGAGCGUGGACUAAUAGAAAAAUCCAAAAAAGACAAACCCAAAAAGUUAGUUCGUGAGGAUAUUGAUAUCAAUAAAAGUCCUGAAAUGCUCAUUGAUAAUCCAUCAUCCUGCUCUUCCUGCUGUUGUUGCUGCUACAAGUUUAAGGAAAAUGGAGAAAUCAAUUUCUUCCAUCGUAAAUGCUACACUACUUGUUGAUGAUGAUCAAGUUUCGAAUAGCACAACAUAUCGAGUAGUAGUACUAGAAGGGGAAGAGGUAGAGAUAGAGGUAGAGGAAGAGUGUGUUGAUUCGAAACUUGAUCACCAACAAUAAGUGGUGUAGUAUUUACUAUGGACGAAAUUGAUUCCUUAUUUCUCCUUGAGCUUGUAGAAACAACAACAGGAGCAGGAGGAGGAGGGGAUGGUGGAUUAUCAAUGAGCAUGUCAGCACUAUAAUUAAGAUCAAUAUCCUCAUGAGCUAACUUUUUGGGUUCACUUUUAUUGGAUUUUUCGAUUAGUCCAAGCUCAAUUAAUUCUCUUCUUUUACUUGAGAAUAUGUCUAUGAUCCCUUACAUUUGGUGAUCAUGCAUUAAAAUUGAUUAUUAUAAGGUUAUAUCAAUACUUAUUUUUUCAAUAUAUAUAUAUAUAUGUAUGAACAGAAUUACAGUUCUUCUGCUGGUUCAACAUAGGCUUGAAACUAUGAAUUUGGAUAUAAAUUCAUUAAAUUUAUAAAAAUGAAAUGUGUAUAGAUUUAAAGACUACACGAAAAGUACUCCAAAUCAACAUAGCUAAUGAAUCAACAUAUGUUUUAUAAAAAAAUGUUGGACUCCUCAAACAGUAACACUUUAAUAUAAAAUAGGACGGAGGGAGUAUAAACAAUGUAUCCAUAAUAAGCUGAUUUUUUAUAUUUUUUUUUUAAGAAUUCAGAAUCCUUAAACUUAAAAUGAUAGCUCCGCCUCUACGGCCAUAGUGACAUGAGUGCUCUUGUCAAGGCCAUAUAAAAUUAGUUGUGUUACUGCUUCUUGCCACAUUAUGGUUUUAAUUAAUUCAUGUACAAAUCGUUGAAAUUUUUAAAAAUAAAAAUACAUAUUUGAAAAUUACACGAAAAAUAUUGCAAGUCAAUAUAGCGAAUGAUUUAAAAUAUUUGAUUUUUUUUUGAGAAAACUAUAGUCAAUGAAAAUACUCCCCAAAUAGUAACAAAUCCACUAUAAAAUGAGACGAAAGAAGUACAUAACUUUAUCCGUUCCACUUUAUGAAUCAUUUCAUGCUUUUUCAAUAAAACUUACUUACUUGAAGCUAAAAAAAAAAGAUAUACGUCACUAUAAUUAACAAUUCAAAAUAUUUUAAGUGGAGAAUAAUAUAUACCUGAUUUUCUGCAAGGGGGAAACACCUAAAUCCAUAUUGCAUUCUGGACAAACAUCUCAUUUUUCUUUUGAUAUCUUCCUCGUUAUGCACUUCUUGCAAACAGUUAAAAAAUAUUAAAUAUAAAUUAAUCAAAUCUUAUAGAAAAAAACCAUAAAAAAUAAAGAAAUUUUUCAUGUAAUGAAUUAAAAAUAAAAAGUGACAAAAUAGAAAAUAAAAGAAAAAUGUUGAACCAUAUUGAAACAAAUUGAUCACACAAGAAAGUUAAUAAAUAAAUAAAUAACUGUUUAAUCAAGAAACAUGAUAUAUACUAAGUUCAUGUAUAAAAGACAUGGAUCACAUAAACCUUGAAAAUGACACAAAUUAUAUUGGAAAAAUCAUUGGAAAGAACGAUAACAAAAAAAAAAAUUAAAAAAUCAAGAUCAUAAAUUCACAAGGGCAAAUGAUUUAUCAAAAUCACUAAUAUCAAAAAAGAAAUCCCCAAAAACAAAAGCUCAAAUUUUAAAUUAAAAUAAAAACAAUGAAAAGAAUAUUAAAAAAACUCACAAAUUCAAGAUCAUGAAAUCACAAAUACAAAUUAUUUAUCAACAUCACUCAAACAAAAAAUGAACCCCCAAAUAACUAGCUCUCGCCGUUCUCUGGACGAUUUAGAGUUGUUUUUCCAACUCUUGUAAUGACGUUUAUAUAGACUGAGUUAGGGUUUAGGAUUACAUUAACUAAUGAGCCAAGCUAGCACCCCUUAUGGUACAUUAGGCCCAAAAUAUAUUUUUUGAAAAACUUUAUCAGAUUUUGGUAUGUCCAAAUACAUAUAUCUCGGGAUAUAUACAUGAGGUCAAAGUGUGUGUGUGUAUAUAUAUAUAUAUAUAUAUAACAUAUCAAAAUCUGAUAAAGUUUUUCAAAAAAUAUCUAGAGAACGCCGAGAGCUAGUUAUUUGGGGGUUCAUUUUUUGUUUGAUUGAUGUUGAUAAAUAAUUUGUAUUUGUGAUUUGGGGUGCUAGCUAAAUGAGUUGGCCCAUUAGUUAAUGUAACCCUAAACCCUAACUCAGUCUAUAUAAACGUCAUUACAAGAGUUGGAAAAACAACUCUAAAUCGUCUAGAGAACACUUAGAGCUAGUUAUUUGGGGGUUCAUUUUUUGUUUGAUUUCAUGGCUACACUAAUAUAAAAGCGCAUAUACCUGGCCGCCAAUUUCUUCAUUCCUCCUACAACGCUAGGUUUUCACUUCACCCCUCUGCUUCACUCGUAAUUACCAUUCUACCAUUCUUCUAACAAUCCCCGCCGGUCACCGGAAAACCGAUACUCGCCACCACUCCGCUGCCGCCGCCGCUCUCGGUCUCCGUCUCCGAUUCAAGUAACAAAUCCAUUUGCAAGCAAUCAUGAUGCCAUCACCGAGAACUCACCGGCGAGGUAACGACGAGAAGAAUCGAAAGGAUAUGAGGUUAUCGGAGAAAUCCAAGUCGUUUCACGGCCAGAGCUCAGGGAGUAGUAAAACGGAGUUGCUGCGAAGGCCGAAGACGGUACCGGGUUGAUGAUCUUGAUUUUUUUAAAUUUUUUUUUGUUAUCGUUCUUUCCAAUGAUUUUUCCAAUAGAAUUGGUGUCAUUUUCAAGGUUUAUUAUGUGAUCCAUGUCUUUUAUACAUGAACUUAGUAUAUAUCGUGUUUCUUGAUUAAACAGUUUAUUUAUUUAUUUAUUAACUUUUUGUGUGAUCAAUUUGUUUCAAUAUGGUUCAACAUUUUUCUUUUCUUUUUUCUCUCUUGCCACUUUUUAUUUUUAAUUCAUUACAUGACAAAUUUCUUUAUUUUUAUGGUUUUUUUUUUUUAUGAAAUUUGAUUAAUUUAUGUUUAAUAUUUUUUUAACAGUUUACAAGAAGUGCAUAACGAGGAAGAUAUCCAAAGAAAAAUGGGAUAUUUGUCCAGAAUGAAAUAUGGAUUUAGGUGUUGCCCCCUUGCAAAAAAUCAGGUAUAUAUUAUUCUCCACUUAAAAUAUUUUGAAUUGUUAAUUAUACGUAUAUCUUUUUUUUUAGCUUCCAGUAAGUAAGUUUUAUUGAAAAAGCAUGAAAAUCGUAUUCAUAAAGUGGAAUGGAUAAAGUUAUAUACAUCUUUCGUCUCAUUUUAUUGUGGAUGUGUUACUAUUUAGGGAGUCAAAUAUAUUUUCUUUGACUAUAUUUUUCUCCAAAAAAAUCAAAAUAUUUUGAAUCAUUCGCUAUAUUGACUUGCAAUAUAUUUUGUGUAAUUUUCAAAUAUGUAUUUUUAUUUUUGAAAAUUUGAACGAUUUGUACCCGAGUUAAUUAAAAUCAUAAUGUGGCAAGAAGCAGUACAUAAACACAACUAGUUUUAUAUGGCCUUGACAAGAGCACUUAUGCCACUAUGGUGUUAGAGGCGGAGCUAUCAUUUUAUGUUUAAGGAUUCGGAAUUCUAAAAAUAAAACAAAUCAGCUUAUUAGGUUAUGGAUACAUUGUUUAUACUCCCUCCGUCCUAUUUUAUGUUAAAGUGUUACUGUUUGACGAGUCCAACAUUUUUUUAUAAAACAUAUGUGAUUCAUUAGCUAUGUUAAUUUGGAGUACUUUUCGUGUAGUUUUUAAAUCUAUACACAUUUCCUUUUUAUAAAUUUAAAGAAUUUAUAUUCAAAUUCAUAGUUUCAAGACUUAUAAUUUCACAUAUUAUAAGUAAAUUUUCAAAUACAAGUACAAAAUUUAGACUCUAGGCUAUGUCGAACAGUAGGAAGAACUGUAAUUCUGUUUCUUAUAUAUAUAUAUAUAUAUUGGAAAAAUAAGUAUUGAUAUAACCUUAUAAUAAUCAAUUUUAAUGCCUGAUCACCAAGUGUAAGGGAUCAUAGACAUAUUCUCAAGUAAAAGAAGAGAAUUAAUUGAACUUGGACUAAUCAAAAAAUUCAAUAAAGGCGAAACCAAAAAGUUAGCUCGUGAGGAUAUUGAUUUUAAUUAUAGUGUUGACAUACUCAUUGAUAAUCCACCAUCGCCGCCUCCUCCUCCUCCUCCUGUUGUUGUUGCUACAAGCUCAAGGAGAAAUGAGGAAUCAAUUUCUUUCACAGUAAAUACUACACCACUUGUUGUUGGUGAUCAAGUUUCGAAUCAACACACUCUUCCUCUACCUCUACCUCUACCUAUUCCCCUUCCAGUACUACUACUCGAUAUGUUGUGUUGAUUCGAAACUUGAUCAUCAUCAACAAGCAGUGUAGCAUUUACAAUGAAAGAAAUAUAUUUCUCCAUUCUCCUUAAACUUGUAGCAGCAACAACAUGAGUAGGAGGAGGUGAUGGUGGAGUAUCAAUGAGCAUGUCAGGACUUUUAUGGAUUUCAAUAUCCUCACAAGCUAACUUUUUGGGUUCGCCUUUUUUGGAUUUUUCUAUUAGUCCAUGCUCAAUAAAUUCUCUUCUUUUACUUGACACUAUGUCUCUCAUCCCUUGCACUUGGUGAUUAGGCCUAAAAAUUAAGCAUUGUAUGAAGUUAUAUCAAUUAUUUUUCACACACAUAUAUAUGUACAAUGAACGAAAUUACAGUUUUGUCUACUUAUUCGACAUAAACCUAGAGUCAAAAUCUUGUACUUGUGUUUGAAAAUUUUACUUAUAGUAUGUACUUCCUUUAUCUCAAAUUAUGUGAAAAGGUAUGGAGUAUGAAGAUUAAAACAUCUUAUUUUGAUUAGGAAUUUGGGUAUAAAUUCUUCAAUUUUUUAUAAUAAAAAUGUAUACAAAAAAAGUUCUACAAAUCAACAUAGCGAAUGAAUCAAAAUAUUUUUUAAAAGAAAUUGUUUGACUUCUCAAAUAGUAACACUUUAACAUAUAAUAGGAUGAAUAGAGUAUAAAUAAUGAGUCCAUAUAACAUGAAUCAAAUGGGAAAAUAAAGCCAAUAUCAAAAGACAGUGGCCGUUGUUACAUUUUGAAAAAGAGUGGUGUCUAGGUCAAUUCCCAUACAAUCUUAACUUGUUUUAUUAAGUACAUGUUAUUUUUCAUCGACACAAGAACAAAGAGAACUCUAAUUACCAUAGACAUUUAGAAGAAUAAUCUAGGGUUGCAUUAGAAGUGUAUUUUUGUUCUUACAAUUUAAACCUAUAGUCAACAUAAGAAAGUCAAAAUACUUAAUUUCACUAUUGAUUCGGGUACAAUGUCACGACCCAACCCACCGGGCCGUGCGGGCACCUACUCUAACACCUAAGUAGGAGAACCCUCAUAUCCCAAUAGUUAAGACAUGCGGAAAGUCUAAAGAAAAAUGGAGAUAAAUGAAAUAACAGGAUUUUAUAAAUAAGAACUUUUAAAACAAUUUCGGGUUAAGACAUGUAAAGUAAUUAACACCCCAGGGAUCUAGUCUAAACAGGUACAAGAGCUACUAAGAGUACAAAGUAAGACAUAAUAAUGAAAAUACACAACUUCCAUCGUGCGGAAGAAAAAAUAGAAGCAGCUGGAGAUUUGUCGUCGUCUUCACCUAUGAAACAUCGCUGAUCCUGCAACCAGAUUAUGCCAAAAAGGCAUAGCAAGAGUAGUAUCAGUACAACCACACGUACUAUAAGGCAUCAUCGGUCAACCUGAAUACCCACCGCAUAAAAUAAGAAAUCGACUAGCGAAACAUGCAAUAAGACUAAUCGCUCCUCCACCUUAUAUUUUGCCUGCCCUUACCAUUCCGGAUAUUAAUAUCACACUAAUUCACUUGCCUCUGACCCUUUACUUACUUCGUUUCAUGAUUACACCUAAUCAAUUAAUCCCUUAAGGAAGUUCCGGAUAUACCACUACCAACCUGACCAACCACUCACAAUACACCCUUACGUUUUCCUCAUCUCUACUCAACUUAUGACCCCACCUUAUGCCUGUCGAGGCUUACUAUCCGUUUAUAUUACCGUCCCCUAAUCUCAACAAUAAUACCCACAACCUCAUUCUAAUAACAAAGAUAGCACCGGGACCUGUAGUUCCCCCUUACCAUACUACAACUAAAUCGGGACUCUAUCAUUCACUAUUUAUUACACAACCCGACAUCUCCCAUCAACAAUCAACAUCAUAACCCCCACCUAUAAGAACAUAAUGUACAAUUUCACAAUUCAUUUUAGGAACACGCCCAAUUCCACAUUAUCAAUAAUGCCAGCAAUUACACACAUAAUACAAGUCAAAGGCCCUCUCAUGGGACCUAUAUCCAAAUUGUUAGCGUACUGGAACGUGGUACCCGAUACAAUGCAAGUUAGCGUGUUGGAACGUAGCACCCGAUUCAAUAAUUAUGCCGGUACGUGGCAACCGAUCCAAUGCAAGUUAGCGUGUCGAUACGUGACACUCGAUCCAAUGCAAGUUAGCAUGUCGGUACGUGACACCCGAUCCAUUCAACAAGCCACAAUCACAAUCACAAAGUACAUAUUCAUAAUCAUACAAUCAAGCCAUGAUUCAUGGCAUUCAAUUAUCCGUCUAUCCUCAUUUACAUUUAAUGUGAUCAACAAUGCAACAUUUGCAUACAUACAUGUGUCAUAGUGAAGUAAGAACAAACAUAUAUCACCCAACAUGAAAUCACAACCAUCACCUCAACCCUAUUCCACAAACUAGGGCUUUCUCCUACGGGAUACGACUAAUGUCACACUUACGAAUAUACGCCUAACCAAUCCUUUCUCGGUGCACAAAAAGCCUAUGCAUGUAUUCUACCGCCAAUUUUAACAUACUACACAGUGAAUAAUAGAUUUGAAACUACUCAAUUAAAUAAACCUAGCCUACCUGGGCGCCAAGCUACUACACGAAAUUAUAGCUUCAAUUCAAGUUUUUGGGUGACAAGACGGUGAAUUUGGCCAAGAAUCCGCAAGUCAUCGAUCUCCUUACACUAGAACUCUCUUCCUCCUUCUUUCCCAAGCCUAGAGAAGCUUUUGGAGGGUUUCUUGGGUGAUUUUUGUCUAAAUUAGGUGUUUUUGGAAGAAGGAGGAAAUAAGGUUUCGCGUUAUUUACAUUCAGCCUUGCCUAUCCCGCUCUGCGACUACUUACCACACCGUGGCGUCGCCGCCCUAGCGGCAUCUGGCCUGCCCUGACGGGACAGUGGCACAAUAUUUUUCUAAAGUUUUUGCUUUGCCUAAAUAACGACGGUUCGAUUCGUUACAAUAGAUACCAAUUUACCCCUCAUUCAUCCCCAAACGAUUAGUGAAUGGAUCAUUACGUGUCCUAUUUCGGAGUAUUUUCAACUAAUGAGCUGGCCCAUUAUGGAACCACGGUGGAUGUUGACAUUUCAAAAUUUAAAACACGAACGGUGCUAUACUCAAAGGGUCGGUUAGGAAUUUAAGGUAAUACACGAAGAAACAAACGCUUCCUACCUACACAACCUGAUCCCGCUAGGGCGGCAACCCUUCCGCUGUUGCGGGGAUACUCCCGCUAUAGCAGGAGAUCGGGAGAUAGUACAUAAGGGGAAAAGAUCAUUUUCCUCCGUUUUUUCCUAAACUCUCCCAAAAUAAAACACUCUCAAUCACUUCACUCCGAACGUCAAUUCUAAGGUAAUGUUCAUGCACCUUACUCUAUUUACUUCCAUACUUAACUAACAACUAUUGCAUGACACUAAUCGAUUGUGUAUAAUUGGUUUUCGGGGGUAGUUUUCGAAAAUGAUCAACAUAGGUUGCUUGUUUGAUAGAAAAACAUAGCAUGGGCAUUUCCCUUACGUCCCCAACGUCUCCAUAACGUCAUGUGCGUAAGGAUUUCAUAAAAAUAUGGUCGAAUUGGUACCAAAAUGGGUGAGGAAUUUGGAAGGUGUCUUGGUGUAAAACUCGAAUUUGGGCACUGUUUAGGGUUUAUUUUAUGAAAAUAGUUGCAUAUUUAAGUUCUAGGGUACUUAAUAGGUUCUGAUCUGCUGAAAUUCUAUUGAAAAUGGGGGUUUUGGGACGAAGAGACGCCAUGAUCGGGCAUGGUGUUCGUCGUAGAUGAAGGCCGCUCUAGCGGCCUCAAUCCCGUUGUGGCGGCCUCCAUUAUCCCGUUCUGGGGGGAGUUUGGCCGUUGCUGCGAAAAUAGUGGCCUGGUCCACUUAAGGCUAAGAAAUUCCUUUUUUCGUUACCCCAAACAUUAUCUAACAUUAUCGAGUUCUACCGUGCUUAUUAACUUUUUGCAGGCUUCUCUAAAUGGCUUGUAUCAACGAGGAAAAUUUCCCCUUCAUCCAGUUUCCUGAAGCUAGUCGGGAAUGGUACCAUGACCAAUGGAACACUAAAUUCUGUUAUGAGCGGGGUUUCCACUUGCUGAAUUUGGAGGAGAAGGCACCUACCUUUCAUGCUCGGCUUAUGGAGUUUGGCUGGGCCCCACUGACUGAGGCUCCCACUACUCCUCGUUCCACCUAGGUAAGGGAGUUCUACACCAUCCUACCUAUUGUUCGCUGGGAUGAUCCUCACCCUACUAUUUGCAUUCGAGGAGUGGACAUCCCCUUGAAUACUCCCUCCAUAAAUGACGUACUCGAGGUGCCCGAGGUCCCCAACACAGAGUACGAGGCUAAGUUGCAGGAGAUGAACUUUUGCUAGUUGUGGGAUACGCUGGUGGAGCCUACGCACAGGGACAUGGUUUACUAGGCUACUACAAAAGGCAUUACUAGCACCGAAUGGUCACCAGAUGCUAAGAGGUGGCUACACUAGGUUACCAGGAGGAUCCGCCCGUCAGGCAACCGCACCGACGUGACAUUUCCUCGGGCAUUGGUAGUGGUGUGCGCGAUGCAGGGCAUAGUACUGAACGUGGGCGCACAUGUCAUUUCAGAAUGGAAGGUGUUCUAUCGAGGUAAUAAAAAAAUGUUCUUCCUGCCUAGACUGGUGACUGCGGUGUGCAAACGGGCGGGAGUGCCACUCCUAGACACUGAUGAGGUAUUUCCUAUGGAUCCCCCCAUUCUACCCUCAUUAUUUUAGGCACGGUUCUACCUCUAGGAGCAAGAGGAGGAGGACAGGUCGGGCCAACAACAGCCAGGCGGAUGCGGAGGCAGAGGAUGAGAGAGGAGACGAGGUUGUAGGUAACGACACUCUUCCCACCCAGUCCCAUACCCCACUUUUCAAUGCUUGCGUGGAUGAGGACUUGGCGGCCGUCCAGCAAACAUUUUGGGUCCCCUGGGCUAGUACCUCGACUGUAGUUCCACCCGCCACUGCCCUUGAAUUGGAGAUGCUCCGCCGCUAGCUGUGAUGGGAGAAAAAGAAGAACUUGGAGAGAGAUUGUCUACUGGGCCGGAUGUGGAAGACUCUUAAGGUCAUUUUCUCCUGCGUCGCCCUCAGUAGAAGCUUCCCACGCUUGAGCCGAAAAACUUUCCGGAGUUUUCUUGGUUGAGUGACGCUUGGGCUGGCGAGACAACACUAGAGGACAUGGGGUCCGAUAGCGACACCUCGCAUUCCCAGGGUUAUUGAUCGGGUUUCUUCCCCUCUUGGGCAUAUAUUGAACAAUGCUUUAUUUCCUUUUUGUUUUCCUUAUGUUUUUGUAGCACAUGGAUGCUGGUUUUAUGUUGUUUUUCACAACUCAUAAUUAAUUGCUAGGUUUUUAUCUAUGGUUUUUCGGUUGCUGAGCACUGAUUGAAUUGUCGGGAUUAGUUCGGAUACAAUUUGGGGUCUGUAUUUGUGUCUAGGAAAAACAGGAAAGACAGGGCUGAGAUUCUGUCUCGCCAUGUCCUGCUCUGGCAGGAGGAAUCCCGCACUGGCGGCAUUGCCUUGGCGAGAAAAAUCCCGCCCCAGCAGCCUUAACGGAAACAGAACCCCGCCAACAAUUUUCUGGGGUUCUUCCCUUUUUCUAAUUCCCCAUAGAUUCAUAACUAUAACCUAGGCAUUUUUAGAGUAGUCCCCUUUGUACACAGGGGCAAUGUCUACUCCGGUUUACACAACGAUACACCUCCCAAACUCACUCUCAUUAAUUUGACUUCGUCACCCACACAUUCCCAGGAUACGCCCAGACACUCCCACUACUAUAACUUGCAUAAUUUCGACGAUAGGCCAACAUAUUGCACCUAUCAAAGUUUAGACACCCAUAUGUGCACAUAAUCGUAUCAUCACAUCAGUUAAUUCAAAUAACAAGAAGCACACAUUCACAAUUUCCAAGAUACAAUCCACAGACAAGUCCAAAUUAUUAGUUAGUUCGCUCCAUGGAUGACCAUUUCGAGUCAUCCAUGCAUUUACGCAACCCUUAGGUCCAGAUACCAAUUGGAACCUUCUCAGUUCCAAUUUACCUUGCUUGUGUUCCUUCAGUUGUGAACAUGAUGUCCGGUUCACUUUGGUGAGAUACCAAUUGGACCCAACUCAUACCACAAGCAACACUCGCACGAAAGGAGAGAAAAAAAGGUGGACUACUUCCUAGAAUGCUUCCUAGCUUCCUGAAGAUUAGAUGUGGAUGUUAACACACCAAUCCGCAGGAGUCUAGUCCACAUUUUGCUCUUGUAUUGGGAGACCGGUAACCUAGGCUCUGAUACCAAUUUGUCAUGACCCAACCCACCAGGCAGUGCGGGCACCUACUCUAACACCUAAGUAGGAGAACCCUCAUAUCCCAAUAGUUAAAACAUGCAGAAAAUCUAAAGAAAAAUGGAGAUAAAUGAAAUAACAAGAUUUUAUAAAUAAAAACUUUUAAAACAAUUUCGGGUUAAGACUUGUAAAGUAAUUAACACCCCAAAGAUCUAGUCUAAACAGGUACAAGAGCUACUAAGAGUACAAAUUAAGACACAAUAAUGAAAAGACAGAUCUUCCAUCGUGCGGAAGGAAAAAUAGAAGUUGUUGGAGAUUUGCCGGCAUCUUCACCUAUGAAACAUCGUUGAUCCUGCAACCAGACUAUGCCAAAAAGGCAUAGCAAGAGUAGUAUCAAUACAACCACUCGUACUGGUAGGCAUCAUCGAUCAACCUGAAUACCCACCGCAUAAUAUCAUAAAUCAACUAGCUAAACAUGCAAUAGGACUAAUCGCUCCUCCACCUUAUAUUUUGCCUGCCCUUACCAUUCUGGAUAUUAAUAUCACGCUAAUUCACUUGCCUCUAACCCUUUACUUACUACGUUUCGUGAUUAUACCUAAUCAAUUAAUCCCUUAAGGAAGUUCCAGAUAUACCACUACCAACCCGGUCAAUCACUCACGAUACACCCUUACGUUUUCCUCAUCUCUACUCAACUUAUGACCCCAUCUUACGCCUAUCGAGGCUUACUAUCCGUUUAUAUUACCAUCCCCUAAUCUCAACAAUAAUACCAAUGACCUCAUUCUAAUAACAAAGAUAGCACCGGGACCUUUAGUUCCCCCUUACCAUACUACAACCAAAUUGGGACUUUACCAUUCACUAUUUAUUACACAACCCAACAUCUCCCAUCAACUUUUCAAAUCAUAACCCCCACCUAUAAGAACAUAAUGUACAAUUUCACAUUUCAUUUUAGGAACACGCCCAAUUCCACAUUAUCAAUAAUGGCAACAAUUGCACGUAUAAUACAAGUCAAUGGCCCUCUCAUGGGACCUAUACCUAAACUGUUAGCGUACCAGAACGUGGUACCCGAUCCAAUGCAAGUUAGCAUGUCGGAACGUAGCACCCGAUCCAAUAAUCAUGGUGGUACGUGGCACCCGACCCAAUGCAAGUUAGCGUGUCGGUACGUGACACCCGAUCCAAUGCAAGUUAGCGUGUCGGUACAUGACACCCGAUCCAUUCAACAAGCCACAAUCACAAUCAAAAAGUACAUACUCAUAAUCAUACAAUCAAGUCAUGAUUCAUGGCAUUCAAUUAUCCGUCUAUCCUCAUUUACAUUUAGUGUGAUCAACAAUGCAACAUUCGCAUACAUACAUGUAUCAUAAUGAAGCAAGAACAAACAUAUAUCAUCCAAUAUGAAAUCACAACCACCACCUCAACCCUAUUCCACGAACUAGGGCUUUCUCAUACGACCUACGAAUAAUGUCACACUUACGAAUAUACGCCUAAUCAAUCCUUUUUCGGUGCACAAAAAGCUUACGAUGCAUUCUACCGUCAAUUUCAACAUACUACGCAGUGAAUAACAGAUUUGAAACUACUCAAUUAAAUAAACCUAUCCUACUUCAAUUCGGGUUUCCAGGCGACAAGAUGGUGAAUUUGGCCAAGAAUCCACAAGUCAUCGAUCUCCUUUCUCUAGAACUCUCUUCCUCCUUCUUUCCCAAGCCUAGAGCAACUUUUGGAGGAUUUCUGGGGUGAUUUACAUCUAAAUUAUGUGUUUUUGGAAGAAGGAGGAAAUAAGGUUUCACGUUAUUUACAUUCGUUCUCACCUAUCCCGCUUUGGCGACUACUUACCCCGCCGUGGCGCCACCUCCCUAGCGGCAUCUGGCCCGCCCUGGCGGGACAGUUGCCUAGUAUUUUCCCAAAGUUUUUGCUUUGCCUAAAUAACGACGGUUCAGGUCGUUACAUACAAAUUCUUCAAACCUUUUUUAAAUAAUUACAUAUUUGAAAAAUAUUGUAAGUCAAGAUAAAGAAUUAUUCAAAAUAUUUUUUGAAAAAUAUUUGUGAAAACCAUAGUCAAUGAAAUUUUGUUCUGACUCUCUAAACAAUAACAUCUUCACAUAAAAUAGGACGAAGGAACUAUAUAAUUCUCUCUGUUCCACGUUAUCUGAUACAAUUUUCAUGCCUUUUCAAAUAAAAUUUACUUAUUAGAAGUAAAAAAAAGAAGAAGAUAUAAAUCACAAUAUAUAAUAAUUUAAAAUAUUUAAAAGAUAAUAUAAAUAAAUCGAACUUAGAGGAUAUACCUAAUUUUUUGUGAGGGGGCAACACCUAAAUCUUUAUUGCAUUCUGGACAAACUUUCAAUUUCUCUUCUUUUACCUUCCUCAUUGUGCAACUCUUGCAAACUGUAAAAAAAAUAUUAAACAUAAAUGAAUCAAAAUCCAUUAAAAAUGAUAUAUAAUAAUUAUUUUUUCACCAAAAAUGAUAUAUAAUGAACUAAGAAAUAAAAAGUGAAAAGAAAAAAAAAGAGAAUUGAACAUAUUGCAAAACUCACCUCUUUUAAUCAUAAAAUCCCAAAUAAUAAUACAUAAAAAUAUAGUAGUGUUAAUGACUAGGGCUAAAUGCAAUAAAUUGAUCAUACACGAAUGAAAUAAACAGUUUAAUCUAAAAUAAUAAUGAACCCUCAAAAAGUUACAUUCUCAUCAAUCUUUUAAAAAACAUUGGAAAGAACGAAAAAAAUAAAAAAAUAAAAAACUCAAGAUCGUUAAAUGACAAGAAAAUUAUUUGUCAAAAUCACCGAUUUUAUUUUUUAGAAAAAGGAAACCCAAAAAUUACAACAACCACCUUCAUCAGUAGUCUCACAAAGUAGGUUUGAAGAUACCUACCGCAGAUGAUACAGAUUGAAAGAUUGUUUCGAUAACUCCGACUUGAUGAGCAAUAAAAAAAAAAUCGAAAAGAACGUAACAAGUGGUGUAGUAUAUAUAUAUAUAUAUAUAUAUAUAUAUAGAGAGAGAGAGAGAGAGAGACAGAGAGAGAGAGAGAGAGACUUUUUGGAGAUUUGCUUACCAGGUACUUUUUUUUUCCAAAACCUUUGAAGAACCAUCCAUAAAGAUGUGGGAACAAUUCCUAUAGUCUCACCAUGAUUCAUGCCAUUUUUUUAGCAUUUAGGUGCCACUCAACAAGAAUUAGGUAAUUUUUUUCAAUUUUUUUUGUGUGUGUUAACCCAUGAAUUUUUUGGUGAUAUGACUUUUGGACAGUUUUUUUUCAAAUCAUUUACCAAACAAUCCAUAAGGACUAGAGGAACAAUUUUAUAAAGUCUCACCAUGAUUCACACCACUUUCUUUUUAGCAUUUUGGGGCCACUCAACGAGAAUUAGGCGAUUUUCUUAGUUUUUCGUGUGUUAGCCCAUGAAUUUAUUGAUGAUAUGACUUCUAGGCAUUUUUUUCAAACAUUUACAAUAUCAUCUGUAAGGACCUAGGGAACAAUUCUUGUAGCCUCACCAUGAUCCACACCACUUUUUUUUCUCAUUUAGGGGCCACUCGACAUGCAUAAGAUGAUUUUUUGAAAUUUUCGCGUGUGUUGUCCCAUAAAUUUCUUGGUGAUAUGGCUUCCGGAAUACUUUUUUUCAAAAUGUGUAUAGAGCCAUCCAUAAGCACCUCAGGAAUACUUCCUACAUCCUCACCAUAAUCCACGCCAUUUUGUUAGCAUUUAGGGGCCACUUAACAGGAACUAGAAAAUUUUCUCAGUUUUUCAUGUGUGUUAGCCCAUGAAGUUUUUGGUGAUAUGACUUUCAUACACUUUUUUCCAAAUCCUUCAUAGAACCAUGCGUAACGACUUGAGACAAUUUAUAAAGCCUCACCAUGAUCCACACCACAUUUUUUUUUAGCAUUGAAGGGCCAUAUAUUAUAUAGGAAUUAGAUGAUUUUCUUUGAUUUUAGUAUGUUUUAGCCCAUUCAUUUUGUAGUGAUAUGUGUUUUGGGAACUUUUCUUCCAGAACCUUAAUGGAACCAUCUGUAAGGACCUGGGGAACAAAUCAUAUAGCCUCACUAUGAUCCACGUCAUUUUUGUAGCAUUUAGGGUCACUCAAAAGGAAUUAAGCAAUUUUCUUAGUUGUACGUGUGUGUUAGCCCAUAGAUUUUUUGGUGAUAUGACUUCCGGUCACUUUUUUACAGAACCUUUACAGAACCAUCCAUAUGGACCUGGGGAACAUUUCCUAUAGCCUCGCCAUGAUCUACACCAUUAUUUUAGUACUAGAUUCACCGCACGUGCGUUGCAUGUGGUUGCCUAGUCUUGUGAUGCGUUCAAUUGUGAAGCAGUAAAGCAUGAAUACUCGCUUUGUUCAAUAUAUGGAAUAUGUCUUUAAAGAAUUUGUCGGUAUGGAUGUUUCUGAGUUACUAAAUAUUAGUUCAUGCCUACAAUUGUGAAGCAGUAAAGCAUGCACACUCUCUUUGUUCAAUAUAUAGCAUAUGUCUUAAGGGAUUUGUUUGUACGGAUGUUUCUUAGUUACCAAAUAUUUGUUUAUAAAUAAUACUCCAUUUAGUCCGACAAAUUGUCUUGAAUUAGAUGCAUUUAAUGGUGCGAAAGCUCAAAAUAAUAAGCGGAUAUGUAAUAUUGCUCGAAGCUACAUUUGGUUAUGGUUAUGACAUUGUUCCAAAAUAGCGGAUACAUUCCAGGAGUUUGAAGUCAUUCGUAUCCUAAUUAUAAAUAUCAAAGUUUUCACAAUAGCUGUAUUUCCUUCAAAAGUUGCAUUCUGAUGGUUAGCUCGUCUCUUUUCAACCGGACCUAUAAAUAUGACCAAAGACAUUUUGAUUAGUUUCAUGUAAUAUGUUAGUUUUGUUCCAACUUGAUUAUGCUAAUGAAGAUUGAAAGUGUCACUAACCUAAUACUUCCUUGCGUUGCACGUGGUUACCAAUUUCAAAAAUAUACAUUAUGGUAAAUAGAAUUUCUUAUUUAAGCGAAGAUUUGAAUAAUAAUCUUAGCAAAAAAUAAUAUUGCAGAUUCUUUGUGAAUGUUCAAUGUGUAUCCUCAUAUAUAACUCUUAUUCAUGCAAACCUAUGAAGAUGGUCAAAUGGAAAAUUUUAUUAGUUAAAUGCAAUUAUGUAUAUAUUUAUUUCAAUUUUGAUUAGGUUUCAAUCAUGUAAUUAGUCUUAUCUUCACUAAUAUUACCUUAUAGACAAUUUUUGUUUUGUAUUUUUCUUGCCAUCUAACCAGAUAUGCUUUGCAUGUGUAUUCUACGUUAAAUUGUUUAGAUGUCAUAUGAACAUGUGAAGAAAACAACUACAUUUUAUAAUUUUCACAUUUAUUGUGAGUUUUUUUAAAAAAAAAAAAGAACUCGAACAUUUUAAAAUAAUAUAUUUUCAAGUUAGAAGAUCUCGUUAACUUGAUAAUACAUUUGUGACAUAUAUAAUACUUUAAUUUAAAUAAAAAUACCUAUCCAAAUUUAAAUAUAUAUUUGCAUUAAUGAAAAUAUUUAUCUCAUAAAAUUAGCUAUUAAAUAAAUAAUAAAAAUUAAACUAAUACAAACUUCAAUUGACAUUAAUACAUGUCAUAUUAACUUUUCUUCAUCUAAUAUACUGAAAUAUUAAGAAAUAGUAAAUAAGUAAAAUAAAAGGGAAAUGCUUAUAUAGUAAUAACUAUUUUGAAGAAAACUUCCUGGGAGUCUAAAUCAUUGUAACAUCUCGCAACUAGAAAGAACUAGAAGGAAGUUUAAAAUCUGGAAAUAGUUAUUUUUGAGAAGAAUUUUAAAAAAUCUGGAAAUUUGGUAAAGGUAUCAAAGUGAGCUUUUGGUCAACUUCAAACGGCCAUAAAUCCUAGCUCAGGAUGACUUAUGUGUGAUUCCAGAUAUGAUUGGAAAUCCCUUGGAAUGAUCUUUCUAACGCCGCCAAGUUUGCGUGAUUCUGAGUUCGUAUGAGUAAGUUAUGCCCUUUGGAAGUUGAGUUGUUCACAUGAGGAAAAGUCCAAUCCGGAUUUUUAAAGGGUGUUUUGGUCUUUUCCUUGCCCUAUUAUUUUAAUGCAUUUUUAGGAGUUUAAUAUGGGUCAAAUCAGAUUUAGUCAGUUUUAGAAAAUUGGAAUUUACGCUUAGGGCUUGGAGAAAAGAGAAAGGAGAAGGGGAAGCAAGAACGUUCAAGAUUAAGUUCAAGAUUCGUCGAGAUUAGCUUGUGGUUUUCGUCGGGGGUAAUCCCUACAAGGUAUGUGAGAUCACAUAGCAUUGGGUUAGUUCACCACGCGCCAAACAUGUUUAAUUCAGCGUAUUUUUCGUCCUAAAAAGAUUGAGAAAUUGAUGUUCUUGAAUUGAUUUCGUUCUUGAAUAUGAGUUAGGAUUAAGGACUUUUCUUAAUGAUUAAGUGUUGUUUCCUUGAGUUGUUUGGGUUAGAUUUUGUGUAUAUGAUUUGGGUACAUGAAUCUAAAGUGAAUUUGGGAAAAAAGAAUCAGAUUAAAAUGAUUUAGGAUCGGAAAACGAAUUGAAAAAUUCAUCAUACUCACUUGGGGAGGGCCAGGCGUGGCGCACCCCAUCUGCGCCAGAGGGUCUGGGGUGGCGCGUCUACAGUGCGCCCAAAGUGAGCCCCAGUAAGUUGGGGCCUGGCGCGGCGCGCCCCGAACGCGCCCGAAUCGGCGUUUUUCACCCAGUUUUUGUCAUUCAAUCCGUUUAAGCGUUUCUAAAGUGUAUUAACACUUCCUAUUGAUUCUAACUACUCUAAAUGACUUCUAAACAUCUAGAAAUUAUCUAGAAACAUGAUUUAUAACCUUUAAUCCAUAAAUUGAAAUUCAAGGAAAGUCAAGAGCCAAGUCUAGGAAGUUCUUAGAGUCUUUUCAAGAAGUCUUUUGCAAAUGCUUUUAACUUUGUUUUAAGACUUAAGUUUCAAGUUAAACAAAGAGUAAAGUUUGAAGUUCAUGUCUUCAAAAGAGUAUAUCGGGACUAUGUAUUCCCAAAGAGUAAAAUGUUUUCACAUUUAAAGAAGAAAGGAAACCUUGAUUUCCAAAAGAGCCUUUGAGCUACUCUUUAGUUAAAGAGUAAAUGUUUUCACAUUUGAGCAAGAAAGGAAACUGAGAUUCCAAGAGAGCUUUUAAGCUAAGUUUUGAGUAAUUAUCUCAAACCAAAGAAAGAAGUUGUUUUAAAAACAUAUGAGCUAAAUAUAUUUUUGGGAGUAGUAUUGAGCACCGAUAUGGGGAUGCGAGCGAGUUCAUAUUAACUCAAGUCUCCAUAAAUCAUGUAGCCAUCAUGGGUAUUAAUGGGUCAUACUUUUUAGAUGAUCACACAAUUUAAGCUAGUGGAUCCACUAAUUUAAGCGUUCUAUAUGACGGCAAAGUAUAAGACAGUUCUGGCAGCGUGGGCAAGACGAUGUAUCACCACUUAGGCUCAUAGUGGUGGUUGUCGGUUAGAGAAACUCCCACAGAAACUAUAUUACUUUCUUAUAUGAGUAAAGUUGAGUUUGUUAUUGCAUUUUCUUUAACUAACUAAGAUGUUUUCAACUAUUUUUAUAAGUUUUAUAUAUUGCAUGUGCUUUAUUGCUUUAUAUUUGAGUUAAGUUAUUAAGAAGUUGAGAAGAGCCAGGUAAGUGUUUCUUUCAGAAUCUUUUCAAGCCUAUAUCUUGUUUUAGCAUUCCAACUCACAUACUCGUACAUUCAAUGUACUGAUGUCAGUUGGCCUGUAUCGUUUUAUGAUGCAGGCGCAAGUAACCAAGAUCAGCAUCCAGCGCCUCGUUGAUCCAUCUUGAGCAUUCAGAGUCUGUUGGUGAGCCUCUUUGCAUUCUGGAGGACUCCUUUAUUUGCUUUCUAGUAUUUCAGAUGUUAGGAUGAUCGGGGGUCCUGUCCCGACAUCCCUCUUUGUUUUAGAGGCUUUAUAGACAGUUAGUAGUCAAAUGUCUUUACAUUAUCAUUUCAUAUGUUGAGACUUGAGUUGCCACUUUGGCCAAGUUGAAUGUUGACUAUUAAACAUUCUGAGUUAUUUCACUAAAAUUAUUUGAGUAAGUUCACAUUGAUCAUAGUAAGCUUGUUUAAAGUCUUCCGCUGAGUCAGUAAGCCAGGCCAAGGGUUCGCUUGAUGCCAGCAAUGGUCUUCGAGUGCCAGUCCCGCCCAGAGUGUAGGCUCGGGGAGGGACAAUCACAUAAGUAAUAUUGAUAAAUAAAGUCAUUCUUUUGUCUUGAGCAUAAAAAACAAAUCGUGACAAUUCUCUAAAUUUUGGAAAAACAUAUUCAGAAGCAUAUAUCUACAUCACAAGAGAAAUUGUUAACAAAAACAAAUGACUCUAGACUACAUCAUGUUAACUUCAUGUAUUGGAACAUGACAUACUAAUGUGUAUAUCAAGCAAAAAAUAAUUAUAAUAUCAUCAAAAUUAUAUUAUUUUCCUCAUGUAUUCAAGGUUAUGGAAUAUGCCCUCUUAGGAUAGAACGACUUACUUCAUCAGAAUAGUGGUACCUCAUAUUCCGCUAAACUUCAAACUCAUUCAAACGACAAUAAAUUACACAAGGAAUUUUAAAAUGCAAGAAGAAGAAGAGUAGAAGAUUAGAAAAAAAUAUGGUUGGAAAAUGAGAGGAAGUCCCUCUAUUUAUAGUCAACAAAAGGUGGUAUGAACAAAUGUAUUUUGUGUCUUAUCUGAAAGAUCAUGACCUUUCCGAGAAUUCAUAAUAGUUUGGAAAAGUCACAAGUCUUUGGAAAAGUCACAUCUUUGGAAAAGUCGCAACUCUUUGGAAAACUCACAACUUAUUGAAAAAGUCACAACUCUUUGGAAAAGUCACAACUCAUCAAAAAAUCACAACCCUUUGAAAAAAGUCACAACUUAUCGGAAAAGUCACAACUCAUCGAAAAAAUCACAACCAAAGUUAGGGAUAUAAUAGUAAUUUAACAUUCAAGUUAGGAGUUCAUGCUUCUCUUAUUCACGCAAACAUAUGAAGAUGGUCAAUGAUAAAAAUUAUUAGUUAAGUGAUUAUGUAUAUAUUUAUUUCAAUUUGAUUAAGUUCAAUCAUGUAAUUAAUCUUAUAUCACUAAUAUUACCUUAUAGACAAUAUUUGUUUUGUAAUUUUCUUGUCAUCUAACCAGAUGUGCUUUGCAUGUGUAUUCUAUGUUAAAUUGUUAAAUAAUAUAUUUUUAAGUUAAAAGAUCUCGUUAACUUGAUAAUACAUUUGUGACAUAUAUAAUACUUUAAUUUAAAUACAAAUACCUACCAAAAUAUAAAUAUAUAUUUGCAUUAAUGAAAAUAUUUAUCUCAUAAAAUUGGCUAUUAAAUAAAUAAUAAAAUUUAAACUAAUACAAACUUCAAUUGGCGUUAUUACAAGUCAUAUGAACUUUUCUUCGUCUAAAAUCCUAAAAUAUUAAGAAAUAGUAAAUAAGUAAACCAAAAGGGAAAUGUUUAUAUAGUAAUAACUAAUUUGAAGCAAACUUUGUGGGAGUCUAAAUCACAUAAGUAACAUUGAUUAAUAAAGCCAUUCUUUUGUCUUGAGCAUUAAAAACAAAUCGUGACAAUUCUCUAAUUUUUGGAAAAAUAUAUUCAUAAGCAUAUAUCUACAUCAGAAGAGAAAUUGUUAACAAAAACAAAUGACUUUAGACUACAUCAUGUAAAUUUCAUAUAUUGGAACAUUACAUACUAAUGAGUAUAUUAAACAAUUUUUUUUAUUAUAUCAUCAAAAUUAUAUUAUUUUCCUCAAGUACUCAAGGUUAUAGAAUAUACCCUCUUAGGAUAGAACGACUUACUUCAUCAGAAUAGUGGUACCUCAUAUUCCGCUUAACUUCGAACUCACUCAAACGACAAUAAAUUACACAAGAAAUUUUAAAAUGCAAGAAGAAGAAGAGUAGAACAUUAGAAAAAAUUGUGGUUGGAAAAUGAGAGGAAGUUCGUUUAUUUAUAGUCAACAAAGGGUAGUAUGAACAUAUGCUUUUUGUGUCUUAUUUGAAAGAUCAUGACCUUUCCGAGAAGUCACAACACUUUGGAAAAGUCACAACUCUUUGGAAAAGUCACAACUCAUCGAAAAAGUCAAAACUCAACAAAAAAUUACAACCCUUUGAAAAAAGUCCCAACUUAUUGGAAAAUUCACAACUCAUCGAAAAAGUAACAACCUAAGUUAGGGAUAUAAUAGUAAUUUAACAUUCAAGUUAGGAGUUCAUUCUUUUAAGGUAAUAUAGAUUUAGGGGCCACUCAAUAGGAAUUAGGCGAUUCUCUCGGUUUUACAUGUGUGUAAGUGUAACGACUUGUUCCCGUCAUUAUAGAAAAACCAACGGGGGAAAAUUUAGGGCCGGAAUUUUUUUCCCGUAGUAUUUGGAUUUUCCCAACCUUGUCCAGAUUUGGAAAAAAUCGGAGUCUUUGAGGUGUAGGGAUAUCUAGUAACAAUCGGGUGAAGUAUUUGUGUUUUUGAUUUCAUGAGGGUAUAGAUAACUCGUUAAGGAAUCCGUAUGACUUUACGAAACUAAAUUCAGGAGAGUAGAACUCCAAUAAUCGAUCUUAGCGUAAAGAGUAUUUUCUAAGUGUCGUGGGUUAGAGGUGUGUUGUGAAAUGGGGAUUUUGGAAUUCUUUAAUUAGCUCACUGUCUCGCGUAACCUACUUUGGCGCUGGGGUUCGCCGCUCUAGCGGUACCGCUGUAGCAGGGUGGUGGCCGUUGUGGCAGGCUCGACGCGACUUAGGGUCGUUAAUAAACUCCUAAGCGACCUUAUUUGGCACUUUUCAAUUUUUUAGAGCUAAGGAAUGAACUCCAGGUGACUCAUACUCGGUUUUCACUAUUCUUGAGGCUAAAGGUAAGCUUUACACUCCCCGAAUCCAUUUUUCGAUCCGUAAAACGUAAUAUAAUGGGUGAAUAUUGAUGGGGGAGGGUUUUUUUUAUAGAUUCUAUGGUGGAAACAACCCUAAUUUGGAUAAUUGGGAUCAUGGGUUUAAUCUAGGGUUCAUAGAAUUGUUAGUAAUUUGGGUAAUUAGUGAUUGUUUAUUGAUUCCCCGUAUUAUAUUGAUUGUUUGUAGACCAAGAACAAGCGGAACGAAUCCGGAAGGCAAGGAUCAAGUUUCAUAGGGUUUCAAGCUUGUUUCGAGGUAGGUGAUGGUUGUGAUUCUAUGAUUGUGUGAUGUAUGUUUGUUCUUGCUUCAUUAUGAUACUUGUAUAUGUAUGAAUGUUUCAAUGUUGAUCACUCUUGUUGUAAAUGAGAUAGAUGAAUGAUGAUUGCCAUGAAAUCAUGACUUAAAGGUAUGAUGUUGAUGAUAUACUUGUGAUUGUGAUUGUGGUGUGUUGAAUGGAUUGGUUGCCACGUUCCGACAUAACUAACUUGGAUCGGUUGCCACGUUCCAACAUAACUAUGGGAUCGGUUGCCACGUUCCGGCAUAAUUAUGGAAUCGGAUACCACGUUGUAGUAUGCUAACUCUUUGGGUUUGGGUUCGGGUUCCAUGAGAGGACCAAUGAUUUGAUAUAAAAUGUGAAGUUCUUCGUUGUUCGUAAAUCUUGAUAAUAUUGUAUAUGUUGAUAUAUAUGCAUGUGAUUAUAUUGUUGUCUUAACUUGCUUAUGUUGCACUUAGUGGGAUAGCCACGUGAUCCUACCAGUACAAUGUGGUUGUGUACUAAUACUGCACUUGUUCUUAUUUUAUUGAGUACAGGGCAUCUUCAAGCGGCUACUAACAGACCUCGCUUAGAAGAUCAGUGAUCGUUUGAAUUCAAGGGUGAGCCAAUUCUUUCGGGCUGCCAUUGGUUAUCUUUCGUCUAUGUCCACCAUUUUCGGACUUAGACUAUGUUCUAGUUAGUUGAUUAGUUCUUUAGAUUGGGGUUGUAUCCCUUCUUGUUUAGACUUGUUGAACUUUAGAUGUUUUGGUACAUUGACUUCCAGGUUCUACGUUAUUUCAUCCGCAUUGUUUAGUUCAUGUUAGACUUUUGUUGGAGUUUAUGGGAACUCCCUAUUUAUUUCCUUAGUAUCUAACUUACUUACGUAACUUAAAUGCCUUAGUUUUGGUUUAGUUGCUUGGUUUGAGUUGUAGUAGUGGUUCUCCUACCGGAGAGUUAGUGUGGGUGCCAAUCACGACGGUCUGGGUCGUGACAGUAAUCCCAUGGAUUUUUUGGUGAUAUGGCUUCUGACCCUUAGAACAAUUCAUUUAGCCUCACCAUGAUCCACGCGACAUAUUUUAGCAUGAAGGGGACACUCAACAUGAAUUAGGUGAUUUUUCUUAGUUUUUCGUGUGUGUUAACCCAUGCAUUAUUUGGUGAUAGGUCUUCCUGGAACUUUUUUCCAGAACCUUCAUAGAACCAUCUGUAAGGACAUGUGAAACAAUUAUUAUAGUAUCACAAUGAUCCAUGCCACUUUUUUUAGGAUUUAGGGGCCACUCAAUCGACAUUAAACAAUUUUCUCAUCUUUUCAUAUGUGUUAAUGCAUGGAUUUUAUGUGAUAUAACUUUCGGGCACUUCGUUCCAGAACCUUUGCAGAACCAUUUGUAACGACCUUGGGAACAAUUAAUAUAUCUUCACUAUGAUCCACACCACUUUUUAGCAUAUAAGGGCCGCUCAACAAAAUUUAGGUCAUUUUCUUAGUUUUUCGUGUGUGUUAGCACAUGGAUAUUUUAGGUGAUAUGGUUUUCGAACACUUAUUUUUCAGAAACUUUACAGAACCAUUUGCAAGGAGCCGGGGGAAAAUUCUUCUAGCCUCACCCUAAUCCGCGCCACUUAUUUUUAGCAUUUAUGGGUCACUCAACAGAAAUUAGAUAAAUUUCUCAAUUUUACUCGUGUAUUAACCCAUAAAAUUUUUGGUGAUAUGUCGUCUGGGUACUUUUUUUCCAGAACCUUUAUAGGACCACUCAUAAGGACCUAGGUGUUGGAUAUAUACUAUUAACCAUAUGUUUAGAUGUAAUAUUUAUUAUAGAAUAAAUAUUUUUUCAGUUUUAAUAGAUCAUAUAUCCGUUUAUGGUGUCUAUUUACUUAUAUAGUAGAUGAUUUAGUGUAUAGAGUUUUAGCUUAUACACAGAGGAUUAAAUCGUCGGUUCUUAUAAGUAUAAGUUUUUUUGUUGACAAUCUAGGAUGGAAAUUGGGCAUGCCAUCGGUACGAUUGUUGCACAAUAUUAUAUAUAAUUUAUCUUGAUUAUGGAAACUGUAUAGUUCCAACUUCUUGUGCUAGUGCAUUUUGUAUGUAUUGAACGGGACCGAGUAGAGAUAGUUGUUUUAGACUGACUAACAAAAGCAUAUUCUCUAAACUAUUAAAUGUACUUAUAUUCUUAUUCCUGAUAUAACUAUUAUUAUCUGUAUAUAUUAAUUAUCAUUUUGAUUUAUUAAAAAGGUGAGAUUCUGAGAUGGGUCAAUAUGCCUGGUAGAUUGGAUGAUAAUAAUAUAUAUAUCUAUAUUGGUGAAAUAAUAAGUUAGUUGAUGAAAUNNNNNNNNNNNNNNNNNNNNNNNNNNNNNNNNNNNNNNNNNNNCAUGUCUUGUUAUAGAGAUUGAUUGAUAUGCCUUUUUGAGAAACUUAUAAGUUUUCAUCGUGUCAAACCUUGCAAGUGGAUUUAUGAUCUGACACAUGAAAUAAGUUAAGUAGUGCUCUAAAGGAAAUUAAUCAUUAAAUUAAAUUCGUCAGUAAUUUAAUUCAUUGAUUAGUGUCUGUAAUCUUAACAUGGGGAAUUACAUAAGUAUUUAAUGGGGAAUUUUCGAAAUAUAAAUAGAGGAGUGCAAUUACGAAUUUCUAGUGGAAUGAUUUGUAAUUUAUUAUGGUAAUAAUAAUUCAAAUUAAUUAUUUGGAAUUAUUUCCAUAAUAGGAAGCCUCAGUAAUUAAUUAUGUGGUCCCUACAAUGCCCAUAUUUAACUAGAACUCAGAAUCUUAUUUCUAAGGAAAAGAGGGAAGAAUAACGUGUGAUUUAAUUUUUCAAGAAUUAACGUUGGUUUUUCUUGGUUUCAAGAAAAACUAGGUUUUCUUCUCCUUUUUGGAUUGGGAAGUAAUCUCUAUAAAUAGGGAUUCUCCUAACCUAGAAAAGAGAGAUGAGUUUUCUAUACUAUUCUUGUCCACCCAAGUAUUGAGAGAGUUCAAAUGUGAACUUGGGAUCACUGUAGAAGACAAUAACUGCUGUCUAUCUUGUGGAUUCUCUUGAAGGUCUGUCUAACUUGAGGAUUUGCUUGAAGGUAUCUGCUCACGCUUUAAGAGGUAAUUCUUGAAUUAAAUUUUAGCAAGUUUAUGUGUUCUAGCAUAUGAUUAUAUGUGUUCUAGCAUAAACGAUUUGGUAAUCUAUUAUUCAUGUAAGCAGUAAGAUUCUAAUAUGCUUCCGCUUAUGAACAUAAAUAUGUUGUAAUAUUUAGUCGACGUUGUACAAAAAACAAAAGGGAUACCGUUAAUAUAUUAUUCAAGAUGCAUGGAUAUCUAUAAGUGUGUUUUGAAUUUUAAUAUUCAAUGUAUACAUAAAUAUGCUGUGUUUUUUUUUUUUGGAAAAUAGUAUUCAAAUAAAGUAAAUAGUUUUUAGAAUUUUGUUUUUUGUUCUUGAUUUGUAUAUCUAUUUCACAAAUGAUGAUAUGUGUUAUGUGAUAAGAAUUUUCGAAUAGAAAAAAAUUAAAUUCUAUUUUGACCGUAUAACAUUUUCAACCAAAUUGAUCAUAGUUUUGGAAUUUGAAAAAAAAGGAGGACUCUGAUUGAUCUGAAAUUUGGUAGAUUCAUAAAAACGACCUGGUAAGAAUUUUUUUGGAUCAUUAUAUGAGUUUUUGGUCAUAUUUGGUUCUAGGGGUCCCUUCCUUGAUUACCAAGAUUGAAUACUAGUGAAGCAUUAGUUUUAUGUGUUGGCUUAGACCUUCCUCCCUAUCGGAUGAAAUUAAUACAAGUCACUAUGUAUUUAAUCGUCUAGUUUUGAUAAUCUGUACUAACUCUCCUAAACUGAGUAAUAUAUGAUUGGAUCAAUGUAACUAGAGGAUUUUCACUUGACUUAAACUAACAGUUGACUCUUCAUCUGAGUUAGGUCUAUAUAAGUUUAUGGAGUGAAUAAUUGGUCAUUGUAUAUGUAUAUUGCAUGGGUAGUUCUCCAAUCCCAUCGAUUGGCUAUUCGAGAUGCAUGAAUAUAUAUGUAUAAAUGAGCCCAAAAUUUUGUUAUUUAGGAUUAUUCGAAAUAUUAUGAUCUAUUUAAUGUAUUAUAUCUCAUAUUCUCAAUAGACUUUACGCACCCACUUAGUACUACUUAAGUUUUUAUUUUGGUAGAGAUAAGAUAUUAAUUCAAAGAAUGCAUUGUACAUGUACCUUAUGUUAGAAGGAAUUAUUUUCAGUUUCUAACUAGAUAAGAGAUGAGUAUUUAAUAUAUUUGUUUGUAACUCUCCUAUCAUUAAGUUUGAUGAAUAUUUUAUUUUUUGUGGUAUAUUGAUGGGUGAUUUUUUUAUUAGUAUUAUCUCUCAUGUAUUGAAUUAUAUAAAUCUGUCUCUGUAGACACAUAAAUUUUAUUGGAUUAAAAUUCAUACAAAAUUUAAAUUAAAUCCAUGCUCAUUUGGGCUGAAUGAUUAAUUUGAGUUUUACAAAUAAAUAAAGUCAUUUUAUUAAAAUCAAAUCCAAGGUCCAUUUCACCUUGAAGCCCAAACUCAUGCCACGUGUUACAGUGACUAGGCAUCCAAGAUCAACAAGUGACACCACAUAUCCAAAUGAGGUGGUAGUCCCAGUCAAAUGCAAGAACCAAUCACAAUCUGCCAAGUGUCAAAAUGACAUCCUUUGGCCAAUCACAAACAACCUUGUUCACUCCCUGCAAUUAUAAAUAGGGGAUAGACAUGACAUUCAAGAUGAUCAAGAAAACUCUUCAACAAGAAUUCGGAAAUUGGAGAAAGCUACAACAUCAACUACAUAGCUCUUCGAAGGAGUGGUCUACAGAGUUCUUUCUGGAGAUCAAAUUGAAACGACGAAGCACUUUUCAACGUUCACGGAGAUCAAGAACAUCUCAAGGAGGUCUACAUCAUCCAACAAUUCGAGAAGCACGCUUUUGAAGGCCUUCGAAUCUUGGAGAAACUUAUGAGAGAAGAAUCAAGAGAACAACAUAAUUGUACUCACAACGAUUCAUCAAUAAAAAAUACAUUUUUUAUUUAUUUAUUUUUCUUGCAGUCAAUUUUCAGCGCUUAAGGAAAUUUGUUGUGAAAAAAUUUGGUACGCACAGUGGGACCGAUUAUGCUCUUCAUCUCUUUUUCUUGCAAACCAGAAACUACAAAGUCAACUACUGCAAUGGCCUUCAGAAAGAGGUGAUUUUUCAUACAAAGACUCUACUAUGUCAUUUCUGCUGAUCUCAGUCAUGUCGGUCCAAUUACUCGGCAUAAGUUCAAGAGCAGUGGGCUAGAUGGAUCUGAAACUUCACUUCUUUGGAGACGUUGAAAAACAACAACUCUCAUACGAUGGUCGUAACUGCGACACCUAGGGGCAAUCUUACAUCUCUGUUCUUUGUAAAAAUUUCUUAAAUUGGCUACAACUUUUAUUAAUGAGAAGAUUCAAUGGAUUCUCCAACUUCAAUGAAUGUCAAUGCUUUGAUGGCUGACUCAACUGACAUGGACGAGAAGUUUGCAACGCUAGAGCUAACCAUUCAAGCCUUGAAGAAAUCUGUUGAUGACAAAAAACUUCAUAUUGCUCAACUUAUGAACAAGUAAGAGGCAUUCACACCUGGAGAGUCAAGUCAUGUCCCAACUUGUCCACCUGGUUUUGAUCAACGAAACAAGGACGUUGAGGAAUCUCUAAUGAAGUCAAAAUUUCAAAAAGAGAAACUGUAACACCCUAGAAUUUUUUUUGAGCUAAGACUCGAACCAUCCUUCGUUGUGAGUAGGAUUUUACCGAGGAAUUUAAAAAAAUUUAAUUAUUAAGAUCACUAGACCUAUCACUUUAAGUUCCAAAUAUUAGAACUAAAGAGAGUUCAUUCAAGUCAGUCCUAAGUUCUUCCAAGUUUUGGGAUGAGUUAGGUGGUCCACAAGAUAUAAAAUCAACUUUCUUUGAAUUAUCUUUCCAACGCCACCGAGUUUGCUAAGUUUUGAUGUCGGAUGAGUGAGAUAUACAUGUUUGAAGUCGGGCUGUCCAAAUAAGGAAAGUUACCUAAAAAUAGUAAGGGGUAUUUUGGUAUUCUCCUUACCCAAUCAGAUUUAAUUCGUGUUUAGUAAGGUUUUAGGGGUCUAAUCUGAUUAGGUUCAAUUUUAUAAUCCUAAUAUACGCCUAGGGUUUUAGUUGAGAGUUCAAGAAGAGAAAAGAAGAAAGGAUCAAGGCGUUCGUCGAGGUUCUUGAGUUUUGUUGCGGAUUUUCUCCAUCGAUGCGGAUUUUUGCCAUGGGUUUGAUCCCUAAGAGGUAGGUAAGUUUCCAUAGUAUUGGGUUCGUUCACCCACACUCCAAACAUGAUUUUCAUAUUCGAAUUCUCCCAUAAAGAUUGCAAGAUUUAUGUUCUUGAUAAGUGUUCUUGAAGUUUCAUUCUAAAUCUUGUUUUGUGGGGGUUUUGAUGAAUUCUUGAGAUGAAAGUGAGUGCUUUGAGGGCUGUAUUGAGUAGAUUAGAGUGUAAUUAUGUUGAUAAAUCGAAUCCAAGUGAUCGGGGAAGAAACGAUUCGAUUCUAGUCAAAUGAAGGUCAGAAAAUGAGUAGAAAAAUUCGUCGGAAAUGUUUGGGGGAACGGUGGCGCGAUGUGCCACGGAUGCGCCAGCAGUGCGCCAAUAAGCAUAAAUUUAAGGGGAUGGAGCCCCACUCCAGGAAUGUGCCAAGGUCGCCUGCCCCAACUCCUUUUCUGUCGGUUGUCCCAUUUGAAUCCCUUUAAAGUAUACCUUCACUCCCUUUUGAUUCUAACUACUCUAAACUAUUUCUAAACACCUAGAAAUCAUUCAUAAAAUGAAUCACAACCUUGAAUUCAUAAUUUAAAUUCAAGGUAGAUUUAAGAGUUAAGUUUUGAGAGUUCUUCUGAACAUUUUGAGAAGGUCCCUUUGAGUCUUUUUGAGGAAUCUUACAACUUCUAAUAACUUGUUUCAAGACUGGAGCAAGUGAGUAUGAGAAUUAGGAGAAUGUAAUCAUGAGUCUACUUUAUCAUCAUGAGAUCAUUCAUAUCAUGAACCAUAACUCUUGAAUUCAUAAUUCACAUCUUGAAUUCGUAAUUCAAGUUCAAGAGAGAGUUAAGAGUAGAGUUCAAGAAAGUCUUUGAGUCCAAUUGUGAAUCCUUUGAGAUCAACUAUCGAUUUGAGCUAAGUUUUGAGGAAGUAAGUAUAAGAAUGAGAAGAGUCGGAUACAUGAGUNNNNNNNNNNNNNNNNNNNNNNNNNNNNNNNNNNNNNNNNNNNNNNNNNNNNNNNNNNNNNNNNNNNNNNNNNNNNNNNNNNNNNNNNNNNNNNNNNNNNNNNNNNNNNNNNNNNNNNNNNNNNNNNNNNNNNNNNNNNNNNNAAAACAUGAUUAGUAUGACAAUCGAGUAUGCCAUCAAUGUAUGACCAAUAUGCUAUUUAGAUAUACCAUCAAUAUUUAUGCAGUAGGAAUUCCCGAGUCAUCAAUAAUCAUAUUAUAAUAUAAUUUUGAAAUGUUUUUGAGAAAGAGAAGAGUUGAGUUCAUUUUCUCUAAAAUGAUAUAUGGGAACUAAGUAUGCCCAAGAGUAAAUGUUUUCACAUUUAAGAAGAGAGGAAACUGAGAUUUUCAAAAGAGUUUUGAGCAGUUUGAGUACCAUCUCUUUUAAGAGAGAUUUUUGAGUAAUAAUCAUAAACCACAGAAAAAUUUAUGUUUUAAAAUAUAUGAGCUAGUUAAAUUUUGGGAGUAGUAUUGAGCACCAAUAUGCGGCGAGUUCAGAUAACUCAAAGUCUCCAUAAACCGUGUAGCCAACAUGGGGUAAAAAGGGUCAUACUUUUUAGAUGAUUCCUUAAUGAUUUUAGUCAUAGACUAGUGGAUCCAUUUAGUAGUAGGUUCUAUACCCCCGGCAAAGUAUAGGACGACCCUGGCAGCGUGAGGCAAGACGUCGUAUCAUCACAUAGCUCAUAAUGAUGGUUGUCGGUUAGAGAAACUCCCACAUAGAUAUUUUGUAUUUUUGUAUACAGAUAGUUUACUUUAUAUUUUCAUAUACAAGCAGAGUUUAUCUUGUAUCCUUGCAUACAAACUGAGUUGUUUUCUACUGCUUAAAAGCUUUCCAUAUAUUGCAUAUGUAUUGUUGCUUUAUAUUGAGUUGAGUAGCCCAGAGUCAAGUAUCUUAUUAUCGAGUUGAGCCUUAUUUCACUGAGUUGAAUAUCUUAUCAUUGAGUUGAACUAUGUUUCUUUGAGUCGAGUUGAGUUGAGUAAGUUGAGAAGAGGUAAGUAUUUUUCCAUUCCACCAAUUCAAGCUUAUGUUUAUGCUUUAGAAUUCCCCUUACAUGCUCGUACAUUCCAUGUACUUAGCCAUUUGGCCUGCAUUGUUUCAUGAUGCAGAUGCAGGUAUUCAAGAUCAUCAAUAUGAGUAUUAUAGUAAACGCUUCAUAGAUAGACAAUAGAGUUUCAGAAGUCUGUUCAUUUAUUUUUUUUCAAUGUUUUAAAGACUUAAGUUGUCUAUUUAUGACGAGUUGAAUAUAUUAUUUUUAUUAAGAGUUAUCUAUCCAGUAUUGUUCAGAUUAUUUUAAAGUUGAGUAUUUGAAUUGAAUUCAGUUUUUAAGCUUUUGCAUAGUUGAGUUAGUCUUCCGCUUGUAGUCAGCCAGGAUGAGGGUUCGCUUAGGGACCAGCAAUGGUUCUCGAGUGUCAGCCACGUCGAGGGUGUAGACUCGGGUCGUGAAAGAAAUAAUCUUCUUCAGUUGCAGCAUUAUUUGUCCAAUAGUUGCAAGAGAUGAUAAUGAACACUAUCAGGGCUCAAUAUGGCGGAACACCAUAAAGUUCCUUGUAUUACUCCAAGCCAUAUACCAGAUAGAUUGAUUGUCUAUCAAUGCCAACAAACUAUCAACCACCAAAGCUACAAAAAUUUGAUGGCAAGGGGAACCUAAGGCAACAUAUCGCUCACUUUGUUGAAACUUGUAGCAAUGCUAGAACACAUGGUGACCUUUUGGUAAAACAGUUUGUUCGUUCACUGAAAGGGAAUGCACUCGACUGGUAUAUCGACCUGGAACACAAGUCCAUCGAUAGUUGGGAGCAACUCGAGAAGGAAUUCCUCAAUCGUUUUUACAAUACCCGUCGAACCGUAAGCAUGAUAGAGUUGACUGGCACUAAGCAAAGAAAGGACGAGCCGAUGGUGGAUUACAUCAUUUAUUGAAGAUCACUGAGUUUGGACUGCAAAGAUCAUCUUUCUGAAAUAUUUGUUGUGGAAAUGUGCAUUCACGGUAUGCAUUGGGGACUUCUAUACAUACUACAAGGAAUCAAACCGCGAACUUUUGAGGAACUUGCUACACGAUCGCAUGACAUGGAGUUGACCAUCACAAAUCAUUGGAAGGCAUCUCCUUUUGCUGAUCUGACAAAAGAAAAGAAGGAGUUCAGAAAAGGUAUGACCUCAAACAUCCAAACUAAGGAGUCUAUGGUGGUGAAAGCAGCUUUUGUAAAGGCCACCACCAAGAGUAAACUAAAACAGGAGGAAGCCCCAAGUCAAUAUCCAAAGGAGGAGAGGCGACAUCCAACCUUGAAGGAGUUGAGGCAAAAGUCUACCCAUUUCCAGAUUCAGAUGUACCUAUGAUUCUUGAUGAAUUGCUAGCUAAGAAAGUUAUUGAUCUUCCUGAAUCAAAGAGGCCUGAAGAAAUCAAUAAGGUUGGUGAUCCUAGUUACUGCAAGUUCUAUCGCGUCCUUGGCCACCCGACAAGUAAAUGUUUUAUCUUGAAGGAGAAAAUCAUGAUGUUAGUAAGUGAAGGAAAAAUAAUCAUUGACAUGGUGAAACAACAUAGGCGAAUCAUGCUAGUGUAGCGUCCAAUCAAAAGAAGUGUUCAAAGUCCCAAAUUAUGCCAAACACCAUUUCCUUGCAACUCGAAAGUUUCACACCUGUUGAAGUUGACUUUCCAAGGAAAACCUCUGAAGGUUCACUAGAGAUAGACGACAAUGAAGUUGAUGGUUGGACUCUAGUUACUCAUAAGAAGCGGAGACAUCAAGAAGUUCUUGGGAUACGACUUUUUAAGACAGGAGCAACAAGGAGUGAUGUGAAUCAACUACAACCAUCAAAAACGUCAAAGCCUUGUACUAGCCAAAAGAUCAAUGGUUCUUUAUCGCAGAAGGUUCGAGUGCCCAUUACGUUGUUCCUGAAAAAUUCUUUUGGGGUAGUCAAAUAGGUGCAACACAUGUUGUUUCCAUCACAGACAAAACGAAGGAAAGCAAAGGCAAGCAUAACGCAGCAAUAACACAAGAACAUCAAGCUAAUGAAAAAGUUGCCCCAUGUUGUGGUACAAUUACCUUCACAGAUGAGGACUUGUUCUUAGGGUCUAAGCUACAUAAUAGGCCCUUGUUUGUUGUAGGAUCUAUUCGAUAACAACAUCUCAAUCGCAUUCUAAUCCAUGGUGGUUUGGCAAUCAAUAUUAUGCCAAAAGUUGUUUUGAAAAAACUUGGGAUCUCUGUUGAUGAAUUGUCCAAAAGUAACCUAACGAUCCAAGGUUUCAAUCAAGGAGGACAACGAACCAUAGGGAAGAUUCAUAUAGGAUUAUCCAUUGGCGACGUGAAAUCAAACACUUUGAUUCAUGUCAUAGAUGCCACUAAAACAUCACACAACUUGUUGCUCGGGCGUCCUUGGGUUCAUGAAAAUGGAGUGGUGCCAUGUACUUUGCAUUAAUGCAUGAAGUAUAUGAAAGAUAGUGAAGUAGUUAAAAUAGAUGCAGACAUGAAUCAUAUGUUGCAGAUACAAAAUUCUAUUUAGUUUCUGGAAGAUCAAAUAUGGAGGAACAUGUAGAAGACGACUCAAUUGAUUUCGAAGAUAGUAAAGUACAAUGGGACGUUAUCAAGAUGUCUAAGAAGAGAACGGAAGAGGUUACCAUUAAGCUUUCACCAUCUAAAGGAUAUAUGCAAACCAAUAUUCAUAAUGAGCAACUACUUUUUCGCUACAUUCCACCUGAGCGUCGAAAAAAGGGACAACCACUCAUAGAAGAAUAUACUCAACAAGUCCACCCACCAAGUAAGGAAUUCAGUCACAUAACAUUCCAAGAUUUGAAGGAGAAAAUAAUUGUCCCAGUUGCUCAGUUUGGAGCCCUCCAAAGGCAAUACCCAAGUUGGUAAGAUAAAAGGGAACUUUGAUCAAAAGGUCUUCACAUUGUUUAAAAAAUCAUGUUACGACUUCAAAUCCAGCGAAGUUAGGAGAACUCACGGAUGAAGUCACUGGUGAAAAGAUACACGAGCUUACAAAGUCUCAAAUGCAGUUGAGAAAACAAGGAUAUCAUGUCGCUACUCCUAGGUUUGGGUUAGGAUUUAACUUGUCGAAGCCUCUUCAGAUUUCAUAAGAAGGGAAAGGAAAUAGCUUCAUCCCACCACACUUCUAUAGAAAAAACAAGGGAAUUUAAGGAAGGUAAAACACCAUGAUGGACUUUGGUGUUUGAACGCAUUGGAAGAUUGACACCCCGUGUCUCUGCAUUUGAAAGAUUAGGUCGCAAGGAUGAAAGGGAAUCCUCUAAACAACUGGACGAAUAUGCCACAACCUCAAAGACCUCUGUAUUUCAUCGCUUGGGAACCAAAAGGAAGUCAUAAUCAGAAAAGAGGUUGUUGGAGCAGGAAAAUCAAGAUUUUUGUGAUGUAACCGACGACAAAGAGAUCCAUAGUGUUUUCCCAUAACGUAUGAAGAGAAAGGAUAUAUUAUCAAUUAGCACCGAUGGUUCAUUGAAGGUAAAAAGAAGCACAAUUGUUCUCACCAACCAGUUUCAUGGAGAAACUAAGAAGGAGGAAGGUGAAGCCAUCACAGUCUUCGUAGGAAGUCAGAGGCAAGAUUCAAACUUGAUACAAUCAUCUUAUCACAUAAUAAUGGAAGAAGGUCCACACAUUGAUGAUACAGAUGAUGACGUUCAAGAGGCUCCCCAUCAACUGGAGGAUGGCGUACAAUCAACCAUAGACGACCUCAAGGAACUAAAUCUAGGCACUUUGGAAGAUCCACGCCCAACCUUCAUUAGUGCACUUCUUACACCAUAAGAAGAGAGAAAAUACUUCAAGUUAUUGGUUGAGUUCAAAGACGUUUUUUCUUGGUAGUAUAGAGAAAUGACGGGCCUUAGUCCCAGGAUAAAUAUUCAUCAUUUGGGGAUAAAAAAGGGAACACUUCCUAUAAAGCAUUCACAACGAGUGUUUCCCCCUGAGUUGGUAACAGAAAUUGAAGCGGAGGUCAACAAGCUCAUCAAAGCUAGAUUUAUCCGAGAAGUGAAGUACCUAUUGUGGAUCUCAAAUUUUUUACCUGUUAAGAAGAAGAAUGGUCAAAUACGUGUCUGCGUUGAUUUUCAAUAUUUGAACAAGGCAUGUCCAAAAUAUGAUUUCCCUCUGCCAAUCAUUGAGCUCAUGGUUGGUGCUACAACUGGGCAUGAAGCUAUGUCAUUUAUGGAUGGUUCUUUUGGAUAUAAUCAAAUCAGAAUGUCUUCAAAAGAUGAAUAAUACACUACUUUCCUAACUCCAAAACGUAUUUAUUAUCACAAAGUGAUGCCCUUUGGUCUAAAGAAUGUUGGUUCCACCUACCAACGUGCAAUGAAAAACAUAUUUGAUGACAUUCUUCAUAAGAUGGUAGAAUGUUACGUUGAUGACUUGCUGGUCAAAAUGACACAAAGGGAACACUAUCUUGAAGACCUUCGAAUUGUUCUUGAGAGGUUAAGGAAAUUUGACUUGAAGAUGAAUCCACUCAAAUGUGCAUUUGGGGUUACCUCAGGAAAGUUUUUUGGCUUCAUUGUGCGUUACCAUGGAAUCGAAGUCGAUCCCGCAAAGAUUGAUUCCAUUCAAAAAAUACAUGAGCCAAAGAACUUAAGAGACCUCUGCAGUUUACAAGGAAAUUUGGCAUUCAUUCAGAGAUUCAUUUCUAACCUGGCUGGACGAUGUCAACCCUUUAACCAUUUAAUAAAGAAAGAUGCUUUUGAAAGCAUCAAAAGAUACUUGUUGAAUUCACCUGUAUUAGGGGCACCAACUCUUGGAAAGCCAUUGAUACUAUACAUUGCAUCGCAAGAGCGAUCACUUAGGGCACUUCUUGCUCAAGAGAACGAAGCUAAAAAGGAACAAGCAUUGUAUUAUCUGAGUCGGACCUUGAUAGAAGUUGGGUUGAAUUAUACGCUCAUUGAGAAGAUGUGCUUAGCAUUUCUUUAUGCGAUAAAAAAUUGAGGCAUUAUUUUGAAGCGUACAUUUCUUGGGCAGAUCCCGUAAAGUUCGUAAUGACUCGAUCAGUUCUGUCAGGACGUUUAGCAAGAUGGUCUAUAUUGUUUAAUCAAUAUGAGAUCAUAUACACACCUCAAAAGGCUGUGCAGGGGCAAGCACUUGCUGAUUUCCUUGUUGAUCACCCUCUUCUGGGAAAUGGGAAACUUCAGAUGAGUUUCCUGAUGAAGAUUCAUUCUUUACUGAAGAACUCCCGGCAUGGACAAUGUUCUUUGAUGGAUCUGCACAUCGAGAUGGUGUAGAGGCGGGAGUCGUGUUGAUAUCUCCAGAACGACUAAUCUUACCAUUUUCAUUUGUUCUAGGUGAAACAUGUUCCAACAAUGUCGCGGAGUACCAAGCUUUUAUUGUGGGACUUGAAAUGAUAUAAUAUAUGAAUAUUCCUUAAUUGGAUAUCUACGGUGACUCUCAAUUGAUCAUCAAUCAACUCUUGGGGAAUUACGAGGUAAAGAAGGAAGAUAUUUUGUCAUAUCACUAAUAUGCUAUUAUCUUACUUGAAAGGUUUGAUCAAGUGUUCUUGAGUCACCUACCAAGAGAAGAAAAUCGCAUGGCAAAUGCUUUGUCUAACUUGGACACAAUAAUGGCACUCGAAGAAAAUGAGACAAUAAAGGUGCGCGUAUGCCAUCGAUGGGUUAUUCCUGGUUGUUUUGAUCUUUAAUCAAUGAAAGUCACCAUAUAUAUGUUCGAGUGGUUGAAAAAGAAGAUUGGAGAAAACCAUUGAUUGAGUAUAUUUAACAUGGAAGGCUGCUUGAGGAUCCACGAGUAAGAGUAGACAUUAAGAGAAGGGCACCGCGAUUCAUCUUUCACGAGGAAAUACUAUUUUGUCUUUCUUAUGAUGGACUAUUCUUGCGGUGUUUUGACAAAGAUGAAGCUCAACAAACAAUGGAGGAGGGACAUUCUGACACAUGUGGAGCACACCAAUCAGGGCCUAAACUUCAUUUUUGCAUCAAAAGGAUGGGCUACUAUUGGCCAACAAUGGUAAUGGACUACUUAGAGCAUGCCAAGAAGUGUCAAGCGUGUCAAUUCCAUGCUAAAUGCAUCCAUCAAUCUUCAGAGGCUCUGUAUCCAACUGUAGCCUUGUGGCCUUUCGAUGCAUGGGGACUUGAUGUUGUUGGACCUCUUCCAAAGUCAUCAAAAGGACAAAUGUAUAUCUUGGCUGCCACUAACUAUUUCUCUAGAUGGGCUGAGGUUGUGCCAUUAGAAGAGGUGAAGCAGGAAAAUGUUUUUGAUUUUAUCAAAUCAAACAUAAUUUUUACAUAUGGCAUACCAAGAUGUAUAGUUACUGAUAAUGGAACACCCUUCAACAAUAAACUCAUGAGUAGUUUGUGUGAGAAGUUCAGUUUUAAGCAACAUAAGUCUUCAAUGUACAAUGAACUUGCCAAUGGUCUUCCUAAAGCUUUUAACAAGACAUUUGGUAACCUAUUGAAGAAAGUAGUUGCAAAGAAUAAAAGGGACUGGCAUGAGAGAAUUGGUGAAGCUUUGUGGGCAUAUCAUACAACCUUUAGAACGGCAACGCAAGCGACUCCAUUUUCAUUGGUGUAUGGCGUAGAAGCAGUCCUUCCAUUGGAGAAGAAAAUUUCAUCAUUGCGAAUACAAAUCCAAGAGGGACUUACAACUGAAAGUAACACUCAACUUCGUCUAGCAGAGUUGGAAGCAUUGGAUGAGAAGAGAUUGGAAGCACAACAAAGUUUGGAGUGUUAUCAAGCUCGACUUGCGAGAGCAUUCAACAAGAAGGUGCGACCUCAAUCAUUUCAAGUGGGAGACUUGGUCUUAGCAGUCCGGAGACCCAUAAUCUUUAACAAAUGCAUCGGUGACAAGUUUACAUCAAAAUGGGAUGGGGGAUAUGUUGUGAAGGGAGCAUAUUCAAGUGGUGCUUGUAAAAUUGUAGACCAAGACGGUGUAAGAGUUGGUCCAAUCAACGCCAAGUCUAUGAAGUAAUAUUUCCCAUGAAGGUUGCCUAUGCUCCUUAAGGUAUGAGCAUAAACUGCAUGUUACUCCUGGCCCACAAGAGCAUAAACUGUGUACGGCCCAAAAAAAACUGAAAUAAAAUAAAUAAAACUCAUCAUCUUGAACUACGAUAUGACUUGAUCCUCUUCACCGAGGUACAUAGGAACUUGGAGUAAUCACUCUAAGAUCAGUCAAAUGAGUAAAAAAAAAAGGGGGGGGGGGAUUUGGUGGCAUUGUGUGAUCAUCACACUAGCUCUUUAAAAUUAUGUAGCUAGCACAUGAGUUCAAAUGUGUCACAGAUGAGCAACGGAUAAAAGUUAAGCAAGGCAUCUUAGCUGACUUCAAAGGCGCAUUUGUAAAAAUUCAUGGAGGUUUUGACCAUGAUUUUUACAUAUAUUGCAGUUCUUGAAGCCCUCUCCGCAACAAAACAAGAAGCUGGUAAUACAUAAACUCCUACAUCGAGUCAUGGAUCUUCAACUAUGAUCGUUCAAAGUUGCAUAUCAAACAUGCUAGACUUGGAAGUCAACUUCGGGUAUUAAUUCAAUUCAAAAGGUAUUUCGAUUUGAAUUUUUGAUAUGCGGCAGGCAGAUGAAUUCCAUUGGUGUUGGAUCAAGCGACUUGCGAUUCAACUUGAGUUUUUUUUGCUUGUGGUAGAGAUAAUUUGGUGUAAUUCAUUGAUGCUUAGUAAGUUACUGAAAAUUAGGGGCAUCUUUACCUACAACAUCAAAUCGGGAUACCCUUCCGAUCAAAGUACUACUUAUGCUGAAAUGGUGUAUCCGCAAAGAUCAUGAUGUGAACGCUCCAAGGUCAAGAGACAAUUUUUUUUGUUGUCAAGAGCAAACAAAGUUGAGGAAUUGGCAUUCUAGGCGUACAGUCAGCUUGAAAAAUUUAUUCUCAUCAAUUUGGAAUGAAUUUUGUUGUAACUUCUGUAAAUUGGGUUGUUCUUGAUGUCCUCGUCACAAUGAAAUAAGAAACUCAUAGUUUCAUCACUCUUACAUCGAAUUUUGGACUUCACACCAAAGACGUGUUCCUCACAUUGAAACAAGAAUUUCAUAGUUUCAGAAUUUGAGCUAACUUUUGAAAUGUAUCUGUAUUAAUUUGGAAAGCUUUUGACUGUGAUUUUUACGUAUGUUGUACAUCUAUGAGUUAUGCUUCCAACGGAACAAGAAUUACAUCAUUUCAAGGCUCCUACGCCGAGUUAUUGAUUUUCUCCCAAAAUUGCUCAAAGCUACAGAGUUGAGCGAGAUAGAAUUUGAGCUAACUUUAAAAAUACAUCUAUACUAAUCUGGAAAGCUUUUGGCUGUGAUUUUUACAUAUGUUGUAUUUAUAUGAGUUAUUCUUCCAAUGAAAGAAGAAUCAUGUUAUUUCGAUGCUCCCACAUCGAGUUACUGGUUUUCUACUGCAGGUGCUCAAAGCUGAAAAGUCGAUCAAGACAGCAUUUGAGAUAACUUUGGAAUAAUAGUCGUACUAACCUGGAAAUCUUUCGGUCAUGGGUUUCACAUAUAUUGUAUUUGUGUGAGUUAUCUUUCCAAUGAAAUGACACACUCGUUACUUGAAUGUUCCUACUACGAGUUACUGAAUUUCAAACAUAAGAGCUCAAAGCUGAAAUCUUGGGGAAAGUUGUCCGGCAUGUAGAGCAAGUUAAAAAUUACACGACAAGCAUUUGAAAUAGAGAGUUAAAAGAAAAUAUUUGAGAAGAAAAAAACCAACACUUUUAUUCAUUCAAGAAGGAUUGUCAGUACAUCAGAACAAUGUUUCAGAAAACAAACAAGACAAAAAAAAAAGUACACAAUAGAACAAGAAAAUGAAAGAGAAUGUCCUUAUGCAGGAUAGAGACUAAGGAAAAAGCUUAUGACUAAGGAUUUGGUGACGACUUGUCUCAGCAUCCUUCUUUAGCUUAGCUAGUUCUUUUAUUUCUGUUUCCGACAAGGGAAUGAUUUUCUCGAUGGCAUGAAUUUCAUCUUUACGGUUAGUGAUAGUCUCUUGAUUUUCAGACAACUUCUUUUGAUGAUCCUCAAUAAGUGAGAUGGUUUUCUUCUUCUUCGGAGUCCACACUUUUAGCUCUUUUUCAGCUCUUAUAAGGACUUUUUGAAGCUCUUCCAACUAUUUGUCUAUAUUGAUUCUCUCCUCAUUUGCGGUAUCAAGACAUUGUUGUGCAGCAGAAAGAAACUCUUGAUGAGAAUCCCUUGUUAUCUUUUGAGAAGUGGACAGCCCUGCAACAUGGAUUAUCUCUAUGAUUCUUGAAAGAAUCUUCAAGAAGAACCUCCAAAGGAGAAAGGUUGACGAUGUUAACUUCUCGAAGCACUUUAAGAAUCAAAGCAACACCUGCCUCCAACUCUUUGAGGUUUUCCGUAGAUUCAACAGAGAAUUCAGUAAUACACUCACAUAACGAACGCCACAUUCCAGAAAUGUAAGAUAAUUUGAACCUUGAAAUAGUCUUUUGUGGUUCAACAUUCGAGGCAAUCCCCAGCAAAGGGCGGAUCAAAUCCUUGGAGACAUAUGAACAUCCAAUUUGAUGUGCUACAACCCCCACAUCAGUAGUUGAGAUAUCUUGAGAAGUUUCAACCUUUUUAGAAAAAGGGACCGCCACAUUGUCAGUUGAAUAUCAUUUGCAGCUUGACUCUUAACUUCAGCAAGUGGAAGGUGAGAACUUUUCGCCACAUUGAGGGAGUUUGAACUUGUGAUAGAAUCUUCAAAUACAUCUACAUCGCUAGGGAUGUCCCCAAGACCCAACUCGAUAAUUAAAAAAAUAUAUAGAACUAAUAUCCAAUGGAAAAGAAAAGAAGAGGCAAGUUUAGAGAAAUAUUCAAGAGGGGACUUUUACCUGAUGUGCCAAUUUUUUAAAGGGCAUUGUGAUUAACGUUUCAAACAGACCUCAUCCAAUUCUAGGUGCAAACGAUCGUUAAGCAGUAUAAAACCUAACAAAUGAGUUGGGGUCGAACCCACAGGGAGCGGUACGUGUUCAAAUUCAAUUAAGAAGUACAAACGUUAUCUAACUAUCUAUAGGAAUAGAAAUUAUCGAAAAGGACAUGAAACAAAUAAAAAAGAGGUGACACGAAUGUCAGAUGGGGGAAUUUUGUUUGCAAUUAUCAGCUACAAAGCAAUCACACAAAACUAAAAAAACAAUACGGAGAGAAAUUCUCAGGAUGUGAUCGAUUAUAGGGAAAUUUCACUAUCUGGGUAAUUGUAGCUACUAAUACAUAGCUAAAUAUCAGUGGGUAGGCUAGACUAUGAGUGAAAUAACUUUCUCUCGAACAACUAUCCCGCUUCAAGCGAUUUCUUUCGAACAUCAACAAGCAUAUCAAUUAAGAACAACCCACACAUUAAUUCAUCCACUUUUUCAAGCUAGAUGGGUAGGAUUGAAUUUAGGAUUCACUCUCUCAAGCUGAACCCAUAUCAACCCAAUACCUACAAACCAUUAAUCAAAAACCUUGGUUCCUAAACUUCUCUCUUGAGCAAGCAAAGAACACAAAAUUAGAACUACAUUUGCAACUACAAUUCAUAAAUUAAACCUCAGCUAAUGAUUAAACCCACUUCAAUACAACAUUUAAACUAAUAAUUCACAAUACUCAUAAGCUAAUUCAACCCAUAAUCACAUGAUCACACCCCAAGAAUUGGGGUUUUAGCCAAAGAUCAUAAAAACGUAAAAACAGUUACCAAAUUGAUUAGCCAUCAACUGGGUAGGAGCAUUCAAACCUUUACAAUGUUCCAAAUUGAAGAAAAUUAAUAACCCACUUGCAAAAUCUCCGAAUUGAGUCUCAAAAAGCAUUCAAGUCUACUAGGAAACUCUCAAACUUUAAACAAAACUAUUCUAAAUUGUAGCAAGCUACUCAAUCUACAGUUCAAAAUUCAAUUUAAAGUUGCCAAAAAUUAGCCACAAAAGUCCAUUAGGCAAGGUAAGUCGGGUUCGCCGAGUGGUUCGACGAACCGCCCUUUGCUCUCUUCUAUCACCGUUAUGCAUUGGUUCUCAGCAUCCUCAAGUCCUGUAUUUUUGGGCGAUCCAUCUUGUCAUCGCGGAACUGCUUGGUUUCUUCCCUCAGGGUUGGCAUACUGGAACUUUAGGAGGACUGAAGAGCCACUCGGUGAGUUGCCGAGUGGUCUUGGCUAUCACUAGGUUCGCUUUUCUCCACUUCUUCAGCUUGUUUUGUUCCUUUUUGCCUGUUAGUGUCCUUGCUUUGCUCCUUAAUUCAGAUAUCUGAAAAUCAAGGUUUUAACACCUGUUUAUAGCAUAAAUUAGGCAUUUGAGGACACUAAAACUAUCAAAACUAAGCCUCUAAUGAGUCCAAAUCUCAGACUCAUCAACACCCCCAACUUAAAUUUUGCUUGUCCUCAAGUAAAACUCAAGAUCAACAGUUCAAUAAGGAUGUCUCAAAUAGUGUUGCAUAAGACUCAACAUGAAUGCACACAACAAAGUUCAAAUUACUCAUACAAUGAUUAUUUGUGCACUCAAAUAUUCAAAUUGUGACUCACCAUUAUCAAAGAUGCUCAAUGUUACAAUACUUGCUUCAAAUGCAAAUUGAAGCUCAACAAAGGUACUCAAAUGACCUCACAACGAAGAUGAUUCCAUAUUCACACAAAAUUAUUCAACAAUUUACAAUUUCAAAAUCACAUACAACUCUCACACUCACAAAGAUGAACACAUGCAUGACUUCACCCAUAUGUUUGCCCUUAUUUUCCAAUAAACAUUCGUUUCAGCUCACCCAAGAUCACAAAGGUAUUUGUAAGGCUUGUAACGGGGCUGAGUGUAAAGGUAUGGUCAUUUUAGCCUUAGUGGCUUCUACCUUCAUGAAGUAUGGUCUGAACAUCACUUUCCUCCUUUUAUUUAACAUUCCAAACAUGCUCAUAAUCCACCCCAUUAUUCGACUUCAUAUGAACUACCGGAUACCUUAUUUCUUUUGCAAUUUCCACUACUUUAUUUCACAACUUUUUCGGUCUCUUUCUUUUCUUUCUUCUUUUUCAUUUCUUUUAUCUUUUCUCUUUUUUUUUAUAUGGAGGGGUUCCAUAUUUUUUUUUCAAAACCAUCACUUAAGGGGGAUUUCUCACACUUCUUGACUUUCCUUCUCCUUUCACCACACCCCGACUUAGGCUUUUGUCCUAAGUUGGCCAUUCAAACAAACCAUACUUCAUGAAAGUUAUGGAUAGAUGGAUAAAGAGAGGUCAUAAUUGCUCAAGUUUCUUCCAAGAAAAGAGUAAGGCUCAAAAGGGGUGAAGCAGGGUUCACACAUCUCAUAAGCUUGGCCACAAAAGAGGUAUAUUGUCAAAUUGUUUCACUCUUCAAAAUUGUUGCCUAAGAUCAUAUCAAGUGCUUGAAUCACUCAAUCAACCGGACCAAUAUGGCAAAUUAUAGGUGUCAUCACACACAAUGUUCAAAGUAAUCUCAUCACACAAGGCAUUGGUACAAAUAUCGAGCAAGACUCCACAAUUUCUAGCUAGUGUGCAAUGUUCAUCACAAGAGACUCAUUCGACAACUGUCUAGUCACAACGAGAUGCUAAUAAUUCACAUAUUGUCUAUACAACUUCGUUUACCUCAUCGUAGCCGCACAUUCAUUUCAUUCAAUUAAGAGCACUAUUCAAGUCAUCGAUAUUGAUCAAAACCGACACUCAAAUUCGCACACGAUCAUCCACACUCACACAAAAGAGGUGGCAAAAUUUAAAAAUUCGGUUCAAAACCAUUUAUUUCAAAACAAUGGGCCACAAACUAAAACAUCCACAAGAUCAAGAUAUAUAAAUGAACCACAAUAUUCACAGCCCAAUAUUCACAAAAAAAAUCAAAAUCACAAGAGGUAGGUAUGGAAAUACCUCACCCCACCCAACAAAAAGAAGCAGUUGUCCUCAAAUGCAUUUAAAACAGAAACAAAGUAUCACAAAAUAACAGAGAGGGAGGGGAAAAAUUAUCCUACCAUGCUAAGCCUGGGUGACGUCUACAUCUCAGUCGCUCCGUCUGUCUGGGAAUCAGUGCCCGGGAUCACACUCUGAGGUUGGGCAUUAGUGCCCAGUGUCUCAUUAGCUUUAGCUCCACUGGAACCUGCCAUGGAAGUAUCCCUCAAGGAGGCCUGUCUAGCAGUCUCAAACAUGGCACCCUCUAAGUCAGCCAAGUCCUCAUACACAGCCGCAUCUCGCACCUUAAGUUGCUCCUCAUCUAUCUUGGCCUCAGACUCAAUAGCAGCAACAACAUCCAUAGUAUCAUCUCCGAUGGUAGCCAGAGGCAUCUCAACACAUGUUGGAACAUUUGCACUCGGGUCAUUUGGAAUCUCCACCAACCCAAAUAGUGAAGUGAAGUCUGUGGACUUCAGAUGGUCCACAUCCGUUCGUAGCUCAGAAAUAUCGGCUUUCAAAGCCAUCACAUCAUCAGUAACACCCUUCCCUCUCUCACACACAUCUACUCUCGCUGUGAGAGCAUCAAUGGAAGCCCUGAGAGGUGUCAGUGUUAUAGUAAUAGCUCUCUCAAUCAUCCAGGGAACCUUGGCCUCUAGCUGAGAAGCCCGCACAUCGAUUGAAUGGGCUAGGUGACCCAUCUUGAGGAGCAUGGCCUGGGUGAUCGAAGGCCUGGAGGCAGUAGAACAGCAGUAGAUCUAGGUUGUGGGGGAGCAGCAGAAGAACUCAGGGCCUCAGAAGGAGUGGAACUAGAAGUACCGAAAGUCCCGAAGGUCGGAGUAGGCAAGGUUGCCUCUACAGAUAAUGUAUCGAUAUCAACCUCCGGGGAUGUAUCCAUCGGAGCUGCUCUCCUCCUAUCAGCCUCGUCCCGUGUGUACUCGGCCUCUAUGCGCCUGAUGCUAGUAGAAGAUGUGGGUGUAACCUCAACAUUCCUCUUCUCAUCACAAGGAACUCCAGCCCAAUGACACAACUCUGUGAUUAGUACCAAAAAUGGAAGGGACGUCUGGUGAUGUUUGGCCCUCAUGGCCAUUUCUUGCUUGAUAAUCAAUCCCAAAUUCAGCCGCUUCCUGGCUAUGAUAGACUCGAGACAGGCCGCAUUUGGGUGGCGGAGAAUGGACUUGUUCUACGACAGCAUGAAUGUGUUGCUGAUGAAUCCAAACCAGUAUCGAGAUGCUAUGUUUAAGUCCUUCUCGAUAGGUUCUUCGGCCUCAAUCCAUCUCGGGGUAGUGUCAGAAAUAAGGGGAUCUAGCCAAUCCUUCGGAUCAUCCAGAGUUUUUGCAGUAGUCAUACUGUGGAACUUGUAUACAAAAUCUGUAGUCCUCUCAAACACAGUGUUGAUAUCACCAUUGUUACAUCUAACCUUCCUCCCUCGGGCCAUCACAGACUCAACUGGCCUGAAGGCACUAGCCUUUUUCUUCCCCUGAGGUACUAGAUCACCAUAGGCUGAGUAGAAUUCCCGGACCUAGGUGGGAAUGUAUGGGCCACGGGGCCUGGUGAAGAUCUCGAAUCGAUGGAACCAGAGAGUGUCCCACACAACUCUAUGCAUGUCCACUACACAAUUUGUGGACAAUCUCUUCUCUUCCAAGAUGGGCCUCAAUUCCUAGGCCUUUAACCAUUUGAGUAACCGGGGAGGAGGACCCUGAACUGGUGGUGCUAGAACCACCAUCUGUGCUGGAGCUGGCACCGAAUCUGAAAUAGGAGGGGUUAGCUCCGGAAUCCUAGAUGGAUCAUGACGAGCUUUGGAAUGAAGCUUUACUCGUCGGGCCUAUAAUAACUAGUUAUCCUCAAGCUCAGAGAAUGUAGACUGAAAAUCAAAUUACUCUCCCUCACUGCUGGAGGUGUACUCUGGUGUCUCAGCUAUGGGCGAUAUGCCCUUUCCCUUGCCUCCUUUCGGAGGUAACUUCUACCCUUUGCACUGGAAGCAGUUGCUUCCUCAUUUAUCACGAUCCCUCGUGUCCGCUUUCGGGAUGGCAUUCCACUGUCAUCCAAGUUUGUUCUAGCAAUUCCUACAAAACACAGAAAAAUGUUAGAAAAAGUUCUAGAAAAAUGCAAAACUUUAGUGGCAGAGUCGGCGACUCGCCGAGUCACUUAGGCAAGCCAGAUCGGGCUCACCGAAAGUACCAGCGCAAAAAAAUUCUAGAAUCAAGACAGGUCGGCAAUGUUCAGGGCCAUUCGGUGAAUCGCCGACACCAAUCGGAGAGCUAGGAGUAGCCCGCUGAAAGUUACAGUGUAUUUUAAAGGUUAGAGGCGCAGAAAGGGUGAUCAUGAAGACCUUUCGCCGACCUCAGGCAUCUCGCCAAAAGUUACAAAACAAACACAACAAAUAUUUGAAAUUAAGGGCGAUCUAAGGGGGACUUUGGUGAACCGCCGAACCACUCGGCGAGCUCGACGUAGCUUGCCAAACAGCCCAACGCGGUAGUUUUCAACCCCAAGCUUCCAAAUAAAGCCCGAAGCCCCCGAAUUCAAAAUCAAAAACCAACACCAUUCAAUUAAAGUCAGACCCAUACGACCCAUUCCCUCGGAGUACUCAGACUUCCCUUGAUUUGGCCGAAAUUGGCCAUUUGACGACUUUUACCCUUAAGAAUGACGUCAAAUGCUCCAUCAUCGGACAAAUUACGUCAUUUGGCACAAUUCGGGAUUACUUAGACUUCACCCCCACUAGACCCAUUACAAUUACACCACAACCCAACAAUUUAAACUUAAUUUUACAAGCAAAAACACGGGAAUCAAUCACUUUAACGCACUUCGGCACACAUUUCAAUUCAAUACGGGUAAAACAACACUUAAACAAGAUUAUAACAAUUAUCCAACACACAACAACUACCAUUUUACCUAUUGCAUUUGAUUUCAACCACAAUAUUAAAGAAUAGGGUUUGGAAAACCAACCGUUAUGCCGAAUUUCGAGUUUGAAUAGCUAGGAAACAAAGUUCCACAAUUCCGAAGGUUGGUUUCACACAAAAAGCGGGUAAAACAAUAAAAUAUGCAAGAUUUAAAGUUUGGGUGAGAAGGUACGAGAGUUAGAAAUGAGAAAAGAUAAAGGAUUUUGAAAAUUAAAUCAUUUGGCCUUUAAAACCUUUCAGUUUGCAGCACCUUCGGUGGAGUAAGUCGUGCUCGCCAAACCACUCGGCGAUGCGCCAAGUGGUAAUUUCCUCACCGAGUUUUACAAGACUUCAGCAAUUUUGGGGGUUCAAAUGGUGAACAAAGUCAGGCUCGCCGACCUGUUUGGCGAGUCACCGAUUAAACAUUUAGCCCGCCGAGGUUUACAGAAUUCCCCUUAAGGCUUAAUGGUUCCAACGGCGGUCCAAGUCGGGGCUCGCUGACCUGUUCGGCGUGUCGUCGACUAUACUUUGACUCGCCAAACUACCCAUUUUUCAACGAUCUUCACUUUACAACCUGCACAAUCAACACUCCUUAUUUAAAAUCAAAACUAAAGCAUCAAAAACUUGGGUUGCCUCCCAAGAAGCGCCUUAGUUAACGUUGUGGCACGACGAGGAUACCAAAUCAAGCUUUAUUUUUGGGGUUUGCCAUUGUGUCAAUAGGCAACCCCCCUUGUUGUCCUGGAUUCAAAUGAGAAGAAAUUUGACCUAUUUAGGUCUCCAGCUGCUUAAUAGAGACUUAGUGAGAGGUCACCGUCUGAUUUAGAGUUGAGACAUCCUCUUUCAUCUCUUUCAACACUUUGUCUGACCCUUCAACUUUGUUGAGAAUGUGUGAGAGAAUAUCUUCUGUAUAGCCACCUUUCAGAUUCCUUGGGAAUUUGAUGCUCAUGGGGAGGGACGUACAUGUCAUUGUCUCUCUCUCUCUCCUUCCAAGUGGCGUUACGAUCAUGCCAAUCUCUGUCACGGUCUCUCCAUCCCUCAUCUCUAUUCCAACCUUGAUUUUCACCCGAUCUUGGGUAGUUUGCACGAUAACCUCCUCCUUGAUUGGCUAGGAAGUUCACUUCCUUAUUGUACAGCACUUCGAGUUGCACUUCAUCGGGGUUUACUCCACCAACACCCACAACAUUAACACUCUUUGUACCAACACCCAUGACAUUUUUAGCCAAGAUAUCCAACUGGGUCAUCAUUUUGGCCAUGUUUUGGUCUCUCUCUUGAUCCUUUUCGAUCUGCUCUUUUAUCAUUCUAAAAGUGAGAGGAGAGACUUGGUAUUCAUGAGUGUACCAAGCCCUAUUGAUCUUGGUCAUGCAAUCUAGGAGUUGAGACGCUACUUAAUAGGGUUGUUGCAUUAUACCACCAGGAACAAGUUGAUCAACAACUCAUUUGUUCACCGAGUCGAGGCUCCUAUAGAAGUAUUGCAGCAACACCUCAUUUGGAACUCCAUGAGUUGGGCAUUGCAACAUCAAUUUCUUAAACCUCAGCCACGUCUCGUGGAUUGGCUCACCUUCCAAGCGUCUAAAACCUUGGAUGCUAACUCUGAGUGUCAUCAUCUUCGAUGGGGGAAGAAUCUCACUUGGAAUACUGUGAUCAGCUCAUCCCAAGAGGCGAUGGAGUCCCUUGGUAACUCAGAUAACCAUUUGGUGGCUUUACCCAUCAAAGAGAAUGGGAACAACCUGAGACGGAUUGAUUCUUGUGAUAUGUUCUUAAAUGAGAACGGACCACAAAUGUCCACAAAGUUACGAAUAUGCUCAUGGGGAUCCUCAUAAGCCAACCCCCCAAAUAAUUCUUUCAAUUGUAGGAGCUGAAGCAUUGUGCUAGUGAUGUGAAAAACAACGUUUCCUUCAGUUAAAGGUAGACAUAUUGCACCCACACCACCCAAUGGGAUUGGGUUAUUCACAUUUGGGUCAUUUACAUCAUUGAGGUUCCCAAUAUCAUCUUGGUGGCCCACUUGGCUACCAUUACUCUUGUUUACGCUCAUCUCCUCCUCUGUUCAACACAAGCAACACAAAACCAAAAACUAGAGUAAGUAGAUUGAACUACAACCAAAGAGAUCACAAUUUAACUUCACUAAAAGAAUUUUAACCAUUCCCCGGCAGCGGCGCCAUUUUUUAUUAACGUUUCAAACACACCUCAUCCAAUUCUACGUGCAAACAAUCGUUAAGUAGUGUAAAUCCCAACAAAUGAGUUGGGGUUGAACCCACAGGGAGCGGUACAUGUUUAAAUUAAAUUAAGAAGUACAAACGUGAUCCAACUAGCUAUAUGAAUAGAAAUUAUUGAAAAAGAGAUGAAACAAAUCAAAAGGGAUGACACGAAUGUCAGAUGGGGGAAUUUUCUUUGCAAUUAUCAGCUACAAAGUAAUCACAUAAAAUUGAAUCAACAAUACGGAGAGAAAUUCUCGGGAUGUGAUCAAUUAUAGGCAAAUUUCACUAUAUGGGUAAUUGUAACUACUAAUACAUAGAUAAAUGUCAGUGGGUAGGCUAGACUAUGAGUGAAACAUCUUUCUCUCGAACAACUAUCCCGCUUCAAGCGAUUUCUUUCGAACAUCAACAAGCAUAGCAAUUAAAAACUGCCCACACCUUAAUUCAUCCACUUUCUCAAGCUAGAUGGCUAGGAUUAGGUUUAGGAUCCACUCUCUCGAGCUGGACCCAUAUCAAACCAAUACCUACAAACCAUUUUUCAAAAACCUUGGUUCCUAAACUUCUCUCUCGAGCAAGCUAAGAACACAAAAUUAGAACUGCAUUUGCAACUACAAUUCAUAAAUUAAACCUCAACUAAUGAUUAAACCCACUUCAAUAUAGCAUUUAAACUAGUAAUUCACAAUACCCAUAAACUAAUUCAACAUAUAAUUACAUUAUCACACCUCAAGAAUUGGGGUUUUAGACAAAUAUCAUAAAAAGGUAAAUACAGUUACCAAAUCAAUUAGCCAUCAACUGGGUAAGAGUAUUCAAGCCUUUACAAUGUUCCAAAUUGAAUAAAAUUAGUAAUACACUUGCAAAAUCUCUGAAUUGAGUCUCAAAAAGCCUUCAAGUCUACUACGAAGCUCUCAAACUGUAAGGAAAAUUAUUCUGAAUGGUAGCAAGCUACUCAAUUUACAUUUCAAAAUUCAAUUUAUAGUUGCCAAAAAUUAGCCACAAAAGGCCAUUAAGCGAGGUAACUCAGGUUCAUCGAGUGGUUCGGCGAACCGCCCUUUGCUCUAUUCUAUCGCUGUUAUGCAUUGGUUCUCAGCAUUUUCAAGUCAUGUAACUUUGGGCAAUCUAUCUUGUCAUCGCGGAACUGAUCGGUGACUUUCUGACUACCCUUUUCCUGUCACCGACUUGUGAUCGGUGACUUUCUGACUACCCCUUUCCUGUCACCAACUUGGGCAAUCUAUCUUGUCAUCGCGGAACUGAUCGGUGACUUUCUGACUACCCCUUUCCUGUCACCGACUUGUGAUCGGUGACUGUCUGACUAUCCCUUUCCUGUCACCGACUUGGUUUCUUCCCUCAAGGAUGGCACACUGGAACUUUAGGCGGACUGAAGAGCCACUUGGCGAGUUGAUGAGUGGUCUUGGCGAUCACCAGGCUCACCUUUCUCCACUUCUUCAGCUUGUUUUGUUCCUUUUUGCCUGUUAGUGUCCUUGAUUUGCUCCUUAAUCCACAUACCUAAAAAUCAAGGUUUUAACAUCAGUUUAUAGCAUAAAUUAGGCAUUUGAGAACACUAAAACUAUCAAAAUUAAGCCCCAAAUGAGUCCAAGUCCAAAUCUUGGACUCAUCACAUUGUAGAACUAACAACACCAUCUUCAAAGAUUGCAGUAUCAAUACUAAUCGAGUCCAAUUCAGCAAACUCGCAUUGUUGAUUGUUCAAGUCCUUAGGCUUUUUCUUCAAACGCUUCCAAUGAAGCUCUUGGUUAACAUUGCUCUCACUGGAGCUAGAGGUUGCACUAGAACUGAUGCCAAUCUCAUGGAGUAAAAUAGAUGUUUUUGACGUGUUGCUACAAGAUGGUGCAAUGCCAAGUGACUUUUCAACACUUUUACCCGAUGAGCUCGAAGGUUUCUUCCUCUUGAGAGUUACAUCGAUCACCUUGUUAUCAGUGAUGUUGGAAGCCUUGGGAGUUUGUAAAGGACCCUUAACUCCAUUAUCCACAUGUGUAGCCUUCCCCUUCAAAUUUUUAGACUUGGAAAUAACUUUGACAGAUUGCGGAGGGAUAUUUGGUGUCACCUUGGACUUUAAAGAGUGAGAAAGCUUUUCUUGAAGUUGUUCUCCUUUAGUUGGUAAAGAAGCACCAUACUUUUUUGGACCUCUCAAAAUUAUGUGGGUACUUCGUCUCAGCAGAAUCUCUCGAUGGGAUGGCCACCAGUUUGAAUACUCCCGAGUCAUUAAAGACCCCUUAUUGGAUGGACGCAUUAGUAUGAUGAUCUUCGAAAAGCUUCCAAGAUGAACACAUGAAUCCCUUAGUUUCACCAAAUCUAGCAGUGAACCCAUCGUAAUGGUGCUCUAUGAGUACCAGGAACAUCUUGGCAAUACCCAAAUUCUCGACUAAAUCGGUGAGGGCUAUAAGGCUCCACAAUCAGUUCAUCAUCCAGCCUGAAAGUGACAAAACUUGAACAGAGGCCUAUAAGGAAAUCGCUCUGGGAAAUGGACAAUUUUCCACUAUCAUCAAUAUGCAAUUCUUUUCCUUGUAGCAUGGCCAGAUUGUGGAGGUUAUGCACAUUCACUUGUUGAAAUAACUUGCGAGCGUCAACAAGGUCAAAAUGUUUUUCCAUCUUUUUUCCAGAAAUCUUCCACAUUCGCACACCUCGUUGGGGUUGGGUAACACGGUAGUAGGUCUCAAAAUACCAACCUAUCCAUCCAUAAACAUAAUGAAUGGGAAGUAGUAUGUCGCAAGAACCCAAGUUUGAAGAAGUGUAUAUAUCCCUGAGGCCGCGAUAGAUGCUUGCAAGGACCGGAACCGCCAAAGAAAAUAUUUCUCCAUGAGACAUCUAUCUUGAAACUUUGAGGACACUAGCACGAAUACAAUCAGCUUUCUUGUUAGGAAGAACAAACUUGCAAAACCAACAUGCAAGAAAAGUCGCAAGAUAAGUCUCAUCUCUGAAUGAUUCUACUACGCCUAGCUUGGCAAAAGGAGCAUUCUCUUCUUCGGUUCGAGGUAAAGAACUCAUGUCAAUAUUUCUAGAAGGAUCAUGAUUCAUCCUUGGCUUCGUAAGAUUCUUAGACGUCGUUGGUGAAGGCUCGACAUAUUUUCUCGGUCCCCUAAACCAAAACUUUGUCCAUUCUUGAAAGGAGACUUCGUCAAUGGCACCUUUGCUAAGUCGGUAGAAUGCCAAAAACAAGAAGGAGCAGCUUCUUGGGAAAAAAGACUUCCCUUGAUCAUCUACAUGUGUCAACUUUUUAGCCGAUAGUAUAACUUCAUCAUAAAAGAAACCAUGAACAGUAAUACCUCCAAUGGUUCUCAAAUCCCAUAAAUAAAUAGAUAACUCUCUGACGAAGGUAGAGACCGUAUUGGUGGAUGGACUCCAAUUAUCAAAAAAAGCCCGGAGAACAUUUUCCUUAUGGUCAUAUGUGAAAAUUGAAGCAAAGAUAGCAUCAUAAGUCUUGAUGUUAUCCAAAGUCUCCUUGCAGCGAGCAAGCACAUCUUAUACCCACUCUCAAUAGUCAGACGUAUAACAAACCUCCCCAAAUCCGGAAGAAGAAACACGCCAACUGCUAAGAUUUUCAUCACGACGAGGAGGGAUGGCAACAACAACAUUUUGAUGAGUGGAAGACUUCAAGAGGAGAACUUUUUCAGUUGUGACAUUACCGGAAAAAUUGUCCGUGACAUCCUUCCUUUCUGUUGACAACCACUCUGGGAGAUGAUGAGAAAUGUCCAACAUCUUUCUAACAAGUAGGAAGGCACCGAUUACGGGAGGAUGAACUUUCGAGGUGAGAAAUUUGGCGCUCGAAUGUUGCUUAUUCUCCAUGAUCUCAAGGAAAGGCUAUGGUACAUCUCGGUCACUAAAGUCCAUUAUCACUGCCGGAAAUAAAGAUUGCACAAUGUAACUAUAACAGCCCGACUUUCCAAAACAUCUAAAUUAACUCAUAUCUUCGUGGAAAGACAAGGAGGGUGAGUAAUAAUUUAAAAAUGAUGUGGUACGUCAUAUUUUAAGUGUUCAAGGGUUGUAUCUCAAGUUUUGCAGUAAAGUAAGUGGCAAAAUAAAAAGUUGGCGAAAGUUAUCGCAAGUUCCUUUUAAAGAUUUGUCUAAAAUUUGGGUCAAAUGUCUUGGAUGUUUUCUCCCAAUAUAUAAAGAGUUAGAAGGCCUAUCACCCAUUAAAUAGAAGGCCUACGAGUCUAGUUUGCAACGCACAAAACCCUGUAUCAAGCCGACAUCAGAGCAAAAGGUUAUGAGAAUUUUACUAGGGACUGUCGAGGCAAAAUCCGGGUCGGAUCCAGGUCGGGUCAAAAAUAUGGUAUGUCGGCUUAUUUAACGUUUUAAGCCAUGAAAACAUUCCAUUUCAGUUCUAAACCAGAGAGAAAGCUUAAGAGAGAGUUCCUGUGGAGUUCUAGCAUGAUGAAGGUUAGUUUUUGACGAUUUCUACCAUUAAACAUUGCCCCCGUGCCUAGAAAUGUAAUCCCUACACGUGGCAAUCAUUUUUCCCUUCUAUUAGAUGCGUUUGGAGCUGGUUUUCGAAGAUAUAAAUUUGUAGUUAUUGGUGUUUCUUCAAGGUUUACACUUGGUUAACUAAGGUAAUCAUUUCGGGACCCUUUUAUGGUUGUUUUUAUAAAUUUCUACGGACAUUUCGACAAGUUGGGGCAAUAUGGAAAAUCUGCCGAUUUAAGAUUAAUUAUGAACUGUUUAUAGGUGCGUACCAGCACUGUAUAUAUAGUAUUUGCGAAGCUUAAGACAUAAGGAAAUAUUUUCGUGAAGGAACUACAGUCUUUCGAGAGUUCAUUGGAAAGGUAUGUUAAGGCUAUUCCUUACUUACAACAUGUUUCCUUAAAGCUUAGGAGCAAUGUAAUUGGGUUGUUAUCCUUGUUACACUUGUAGCCAUUAUUGUUGAUUGUUGGCUGCUCGAGUUGAUAUAAUCCUCCCUUAUCGAGAUUCUUAUUCAGUUAGUAGNNNNNNNNNNNNNNNNNNNNNNNNNNNNNNNNNNNNNNNNNNNNNNNNNNNNNNNNNNNNNNNNNNNNNNNNNNNNNNNNNNNNNNNNNNNNNNNNNNNNNNNNNNNNNNNNNNNNNNNNNNNNNNNNNNNNNNNNNNNNNNNNNNNNNNNNNNNNNNNNNNNNNNNNNNNNNNNNNNNNNNNNNNNNNNNNNNNNNNNNNNNNNNNNNNNNNNNNNNNNNNNNNNNNNNNNNNNNNNNNNNNNNNNNNNNNNNNNNNNNNNNNNNNNNNNNNNNNNNNNNNNNNNNNNNNNNNNNNNNNNNNNNNNNNNNNNNNNNNNNNNNNNNNNNNNNNNNNNNNNNNNNNNNNNNNNNNNNNNNNNNNNNNNNNNNNNNNNNNNNNNNNNNNNNNNNNNNNNNNNNNNNNNNNNNNNNNNNNNNNNNNNNNNNNNNNNNNNNNNNNNNNNNNNNNNNNNNNNNNNNNNNNNNNNNNNNNNNNNNNNNNNNNNNNNNNNNNNNNNNNNNNNNNNNNNNNNNNNNNNNNNNNNNNNNNNNNNNNNNNNNNNNNNNNNNNNNNNNNNNNNNNNNNNNNNNNNNNNNNNNNNUAUUUUUGAUAAGUUUAGAUUUAGGAGCAGGUCAGUACACUUAUCUUAUCCUUGAUUUAUUUAUCAUAUUAUUCCAGUAAAUCAGGAUACCUCCUCAUAGUCUAUUGCCUUUCAUACUCUGUACAUUAUUUUGUACUGACGCCCCAUUGCCUUGGGGGUUCUGCAUUCAUGCAUGCAGACCUCCUCAGCAGCAGAAUUGACUUUUAUCCGGUUGGCUAGCCCUUUCCUUCGGAGCUGCCAGAGUUGGGAGGUUUGUUACCUUUUGUUGUAUAUAUCUUUAUGGGUAGGCUGGGGCCUGUCCCACUAAUCUUUACUACUCUUAGAGGCUUGCAGACUAGUGUGUGGGGUGUAUACCUACGUUAUGGCCAUACUGGCCUAUGUUGUUGGUUUGCUGAAGCUUGUGAGUUGUUUGAUGUAUUGUAAUGAUAUAUACCUGCUUUUAGUUUUGGUAUAGAUAUCUUGGUGGCCUUGACGGCCCAAUCAGGACUUCUGUGCUAGUUGGCUAUUUAUUUAUAUGAUCUCCUGGGAGUAGGUGUUUCUUUUAUAGAUCAGUUGACAGGGGCCUUGCCAGCCGAGGGCUUAGUUUUAAGCCGAGAUAUACUUGUUUGUUUUCUUGAUUGUGUGUGGCUGCCAUGCGCUAGUAGCAAAUGGUUCAGCAGGAUCGGCUCGGGCCUGAGUUUUGGCAUUAGGAGCCAGUUGCGCCCCUCGAGUUUGGGGCAUGACAGUAGCUCUGGAAAAAAAAGGGUUACAUUGGCGAAAACACAACUGGAAUAAUCAAAAGACAAAAAGAUCUGACCAUCAUAAAUGAGUUCAACCUUGAAAAUUAAAACUAUAGCAAUUGAAGAGGAAUUUGGCUACAAAUAUUUUAUAUAUCGUAGUUCCAUGUUUUUAGUUUCGUAAAAUCAAACGGCUUGCAAUUUCAAUUUUUCUACAAUUAAAAAUGAAUUUUACACUACGGACGCGCAAAUUUGUCAAGCAAAAGCGGGUUCAACCUUGAAGAUCAAAAAUGUAGCAGUUGAAGAGGAAUUUGGCUACAAAUAUUUUAUAUAUCAUAGUUCCAUGUUUUUAGUUUUGGAAAGAUCAAACGGCUUGCAAUUUCAAUUUUUCUACAAUUAAAAAUGAAUUUUACACUACGGACGCGCAAAUUUGUCAAGCAAAAGCGGGUUCAACCUUGAAGAUCAAAAAUGUAGCAGUUGAAGAGGAAUUUGGCUACAAAUAUUUUAUAUAUCAUAGUUCCAUGUUUUUAGUUUUGGAAAGAUCAAACGGCUUGCAAUUUCAAUUUUUCUACAAUUAAAAAUGAAUUUUACACUACGGACGCGCAAAUUUGUCAAGCAAAAGCGGGUUCAACCUUGAAGAUAAAAAAUGUAGCAGUUGAAGAGGAAUUUGGCUACAAAUAUUUUAAAUGUCGUAGUAACAUGUUUCUAGUUUCAGAAAAAACAAACAGCUUUCGAUUUCGAUUUUUCUAUAAUUAGAAAUGAAUUUUAAUCUACGGACGCGCAAAUCUGUCAAUCAGAAGCAGGUUCAACGUUGAAGAUAAAAACUGUAGCAAUGGAAUAGCAUUUUGGCUGCGAUUUUUUUUCUAUGUUAUAGCCCCGUGUUUCUAGUUUUGUAAAAAUCAAAUGGCUUCCAUUUUUUAUUUUUCUAUAAUUAAAUAUGAAUUUUACAAUACAGGCGCGCAAAGCUGAACCAUCAAAACGGGUUACUGCUAAACAAGAUUCUAAGUUACCUGAGAAAUUAGUAAGAGUACUUUGCUUGAAGUUUCUUUUGAGAUAUGAUGGAGGCUACGUCUCUAGAUUUGAUUAAAAAUAAACAAGCGACGUCGUACCUGAACAGUUAAAUACACUCGGAUAACUUGUUUUUUGCAGUAUCUAAAAUUUGUGUGAUGAAAUUCUUUAUGUAUUGGAGAGGAUUAUAUAGGGAUUCUUGCGAAAGAUUUCUAAUCCUUCCACAAGGCAUAAUAAGGUGAAUUUGGAAGAACAAAAUUCGAUUUGGGUUGAGAUAUUCAGUGUCCAUUUUGAAGCCACACCAAUAUGGAAGGAUGAACCAAAGAGUUAAGGAAAGAAGAAUAUCUUCAUUGACUUGGAUACCAAAGGAAAGUUAAUAUUCUUUUUUAUUUGAUUCAAAAAUCCAAUCAAUCUUCUUGUUUUAUUCACACCUUGCAAGGAAGAUCACACGGAAAAAUUAUGUUACUACUCACUAGACCCGACUAUUUGCAAUCAAUAUAGAGGUUCCACGUGAUUGUCGAGCAAGAAUGUUUAGAAAAAAUUGAGAUCACUACAAAGAAAUCAUUUGUAGUGACCUAGUUAGAUUGCGACGACAAGAAACAAAUACUCUUGAAGUCUCAACAAUGCAUUCAUGAAAACUUCAACUCUCGUCGUCAAAUUCGGCAAGCCUACACAUUGACAAGUCUAAAAAAAAAUGAAAACACAUUCAUGAGUACUUCAAGUCUCGUUGCCAAAUAUCUUCUAAAUUAAAUGAAACUUUUCUCUACAUUAGCCUCUAAGUCAUUUAUUAUGAAUAGAAUUUCGACCACUUAGACUUUUAACCAUCACGAUUGUUAUGAUGUACUAUGUAGCACCCCGUAUUCUAGACAGACCAGAAAUGCAGAUUUCAGAAGUUGCAGGGGCCACCAACAUGGCCACCUACGGACUAUAGGGUGACCCACGGAUCGUAGGUGGGGCCCGUGUUUUGCCACCUGCAGCCCUCCCCAGAAAUCCAGGAAAAAAUCUCUACUAAGGGUCGACCCACGGACCGUAGGUGCGACCACGGUCCGUGGUCUAGGGCCGUGGUUCAAACCCCAUAUUUCAGCUUUCUCAAGCCGAAUGACGGUUGACCAGGAUGGACCGUCGAUCCAUCCAUGGUCUAUCGAUCAGGCCCGUCGGCUGGCCCCGACAGCUUUUAAGUCAGGGGUCAUUUGGUCUUUUCCCUAGGCGUUGGGAACCUAAACUACGUCGUUUAAACCCUAAACUACGUCGUUUUGGUCAGUUUUAGCCUAGUAACUUAAUCAGAAUCUACCUUAAGCGAUUCAUUCACCAAAAUUUAGCAAACUCAAAGAAAAAGAUGAGAAAGAGUCGACCAAACCCCUCUCCAAGAACGCAGCAGAUUUUCAUCAGUUCAAGCCCCGAAAUUGAAAGAUUUCUCUGUGGAAUUCAUCACCGGGUAUGUGGGAUUUCACUGGUGGAUUCCUUUCAUCCACUAGGUCCCUAGAUUUCAGUCAGAAUCUUGAUUCACUAAAUAUUGCUUAGACCUAGGGUUUCUAGAACUUCAUAUAAGUGUUGUGAUUUAGCUGUAACAAUACUUCAAAUUAGAUUAUCAUGAUUUCGUAACAUUGUGGGUUAAUUUCUUGCAUGAAAUUCAGAACCCUAGAUGUGCUAAUUCAUUUAGUUCAUGAAUUACACUUGCUAGGCCAGUUUUAUACAUAUAUACAUGCAUCAGUUUUCAAAUGUUUCAUUAUAAGCACAUUAAUUGGAUUCAUUUUGUUUUAGCCUGAGACUUCUAAACUAUAGGCGUAAAGCAGUGACUCUCUGUGCCUAUGUGUGAAAACGAGUAAGUGAACAGCUUUAUGUGUUCUAUAUCAAAGUCAAAGAGGGUCUUGACAUGUUGCAUUUUCAGUUAGCAUGUCAGGAUUUCGAGCUAUCCAGUUAUUUCAAAUUGUUGCAUUUUCAUACAUUCUAGUUAAGAGUAGGCUUAAUACCGAGUUGGACUGUGGUCUGUCACCCUCAUAGUCCUAGAACUAUGUGCCCCCGUAGAUAAAUCCCCUAUGUAGGCAUUAUACUUAGUGAUCACGCCAAUCAUGCUUUUAUACCCCUGGCAAGGUAUAUUGGGUCCUCUCGAUGGGGAGUAUACAUCGGACUCCACAUUUAGCUCACAUGGUUUUAUGUCGGUUAUUAUUAGCUCCCACAGUCAGAUUCUAGUGCAUUGACCAGGUUACCAGUUAUAUGCUCGUUAUUCAGUUUCAAUAUGUUAUGAACCUGGUCAUUGCAUUCAGUCUAGUUCAUAUUCAGCAUAUUUAGUAUAUUAUUCACGUUCAUCUUAUAUCAUUGAUCAGUAUGCUUUAUUUCAUUUAUUUAUAUGGUGUUCAGCUUUAUCCUAUCUUGCAUGCUCAGUACGUUUCAAAUACUGACGCAUACUAUGUGCUACAUCUUCUCGUGAUGUAGGUUCAGGUCCUCAGCAUUCAGAUCACGGAUAGAUCGGUUCUCGAUCCAUAGUUCAGCAAUAUCAGUGGUGAGUCCUCAUUAUUCGGAGAUGAUAGACAUGUUUCUUUUUACUUUGUCUUUUAGUUUCAGUUUUGCUAGAGUUAGCUGGGGGAUGUCCCAGCAUCUCUAGUCAGUUAGAGGUUAUAUUUAGACAUAGUUAGAUUCAGUUUUAGUUUUGAGUUUGAUCUUUCAGUUGUUUUAAACUAGUAGUCUUAUAUAUUCAGACAGUAUUGGGUAUUCCCCAUAAUUUCAAUAAAUUAUGGUUGUAAGCAUCCGCACAAUAUUUCUCACUUUAGUUUAUCUUAGUAUGCUCAUGAUAUGCCAGCACAGUUAGCUUGGGUCACUCGUGAUCCUAAGUCCCGUGUUUACAUUAAGGGCUACCCUCGGGGCGUGAAAAAACUUGGUAUCAAAGCACUAGUUUUAAGAGUCCUAGGAUGUCUGAAAAUCCGCACUAAGUAGAGUCCAUUUCAUGAGUGUGAAGUGCACCAUACUUAUGAGGGGGAAGCUACGAAGUGUUUUAGGAAAAACUUCACUUUCUUGAUAUUUUUAUCGUGCGUGGGUAUGAUCUCCUUUCUAACUCGACGCUAUGCAUUUUCAGAUCAUGCCUCCUCAUAGAGCUUAUGCCAGGAAUGCUAAUGCCCGCAACACUAAUGCAGCUCCUCUAGUCCCAGACCAUGAGAUUUCGAACGCAGAGUUUUGGAAUGCCAUUCAACUCUUGGUCAAGAGUGUAGCCAACCAGAACAAUCAGCAAGUUCCAAUUCCUGCAAAUACUAGUGGUGGCUCAGUGUCAUAUAGGGUCCAUGAUUUUGUUAGGAUGAAUCCACCUGAGUUUCUAGGGUCUCAAGUUGGUGAGGAUCCCCAGAAUUUUAUUGAUAAGGCCAAGAAGAUCCUUGGAGUGAUGCAAGUGACUGGAAAUGAUAGGGUAGAGUUGGCGUCCUACCAGCUCAAGGAUGUAGCUCACAUUUGGAUCACUAAAUGGAAGGAAAACAGGGGUGAGAAUGCAACUCCUGUGACUUGGGAGUGUUUUACCGGAGCUUUUCUGGACUGGUUCUUUCCAAGAGAGUUGAGAGAGGCUAAGGCUCAAGAAUUCAUGAAUUUAAGACAAGGUACUAUGUCAGUCCAAGAGUACGGACUUAAGUUCACCUAGUUCUCUAGGUAUGCUCCAGAUAUGGUUGUCGAUCCCAGGGAACAAAUGAGUAAGUUUCUUUUUGGGGUAUUUGACUUAGUGAAGACAGAGUGCAGAAAUGUUAUGUUGUUGGAGGAUAUGAGUAUCUCUAGGAUCAUGACUCAUGCUCACCAGGUUGAGGGAGACAAACUUAGAGAACUAGCUAAGGACAACAAGAAGGCUAGAACAGGGAAUUAUGAGUACUCUCAUCAAAAAUCAGAUGGUGGAAAUCGUUCGCAGUUUCAGCAAAAGUCUUUGGCUUCAUCAGCUAAUGCUCCAUCCCCCAGGUUUCGACAGGAUCAAAAAGGUAGGGCAUCAGGCUCUAAGUCUCCGGGGAGUGUUUCAGGUACUAGGACCUACCCAACUUGUCCAAAGUGUGGUAAGAACCAUCCGAGCGAGUGUCUUACAGGAAAGGAUGGAUGUUUUGGGUGUGGUCAGUCUGGUCACAGGUUGAGGGAUUUCCCUUCUUCUAAACAGGGACAAUGAGGUAAUAAUAGUAUGGCCCAGUCUACAGCUUCAGCAGCACCAGUAGGUCACAAAACUCAACAGGGUACUUCAUCUAGUACAAGUGGAUGUCAACGCCAGAACAGGUUGUAUGCUCUCCAGGCUCGCCAGGAUCAGGAAGAUUCUCCUGAUAUGGUCACUGGUACGUUACGAGUCUUUCACUUAGAUGUUUAUGCUUUUUUAGAUAUAGGGGCUACUCUUUCCUUUAUAACUCCAUAUAUAGCAUUAAACUUUUAUGUCAGUCCAGAAACUCUUUCAGAACCCUUCUCAGUCUCUAUUCCAGUCAGUGACCAAGUUAUAGCUAGACGGGUAUACAGAAAUUUCCCUGUCACAGUCUCUCAGAAAGUCACCUUAGAAGAUCUUGUAGAGUUAGAAAUGGAAGACUUUGAUAUCAUUCUAGGCAUAGAUUGGUCACAUUCAUGUUAUGUCUCAGUCGAUUGUAGAACUAGGAUCGUUCGUUUCCAGUUUCCAGACGAUCCAGUCUUAGAAUGGAAGGGUAGUAGUUCAGUGCUUAUAGGUCGAUUCAUUUCUUACCUUAAGGCCAGAAAGAUGAUCUCUAAGGGGUAUCUCUAUCAUCUAGUUUGGGUUAAAGAUUCAAUCUCCGAAACCCCAACUCUUGAGUCAGUUUCAGUACCUAAUAAGUUUCCAGAAGAUCUUUCCGGAGUUCCUCUCGAAAGGGAAAUCGACUUUGGAAUUGAUCUCCUUCCAGGUAGCUAGCCUAUUUCGAUUCCUCCUUAUAGAAUGGCUCCAACUUUAAGGAAUUGAAAGAGCAGUUGAAAGACCUUCUAGAUUAGGGCUUCAUCAGACCUAGUAUUUCCCUAUGGGAUGCAUCAGGCUGUCAAAAGAGUAGUUUUGAUACCAUUUGUAACGGCGCUACUCGCUAGUGAUAUUGUCCGUUUUGGGCCGAAAUGCUUUGGAUUGGGGAAAAUUGAGCCUAAAAUUUUGAAAGGCGGGGUAAAGUUAGGUCUAAAUUUAAAUAGGGAUGAAGGGAAAUUUGGCCUAAAUUAAAGAAGGGUAUGGGCUGUAAUUUAUUUUGGGUCAAUGGGUAUUUGUUGAAUUAGUUUGGAUUGGGCUAUGAAAUUAUAAUUAUUUUGUGUUUCUUGGCUUAUUUAUGUAGUUUCCCGUAGAAAAAAUAUAUUUUCGGCCUAAUACAUUCUUAAAGGAUGCUAGCUAAAUGAUUCGGCCCAUUAGUUAACCUAAUCCUAAACCCUAACCCUAUCUAUAUAAACGCCCAUUACAGAAGUUGAAAAAAUAACUCUUAAUCGUCCUGAGAACGGCGAGAUUUAUCUCUACAACACUCAAUGAUUUUUUGGUUGUGGAAUUAGGAAUUCAUCCGGUCAAGUGAGGAUUCCUGACAACUAGUGAUUCAAGUCGUAAUUGUUGCAGACAUUUCACCUAUUGUAAGUCUCAAAAUUAGCAUUUAAUCGUUAUAUUACAAGUUUAUAAUUGUUAAUUGAAGUAUGAGAGAUAAGGUUUUAACUAUUCCAAUGCGGUAUAAAGAAAAUUUAAAAACUUGAGUAUUUAAAAGGAUAUUUUAUAAAUUGUAAAGAACAAGGAAAAUGUAAUUUUUUACCUUAGAUUAAAGCACGUGUUCUAUGCCUAAAUCCCCUUCUUAAAUGAAGUUAUAAUAUAACAAUAUAAAAGAAGUAAAAAAAAUAUGUAUAAUUUACAUAAAUCACAUAGUGUUAAAGGCUAAUUACAUUAUUUCCCUAUUUUUUUCCAAAUUACAAAAAUUCCUUAAAAUUUAUGAAUUUUGGAUACAUAAGCAGACAUACGAAUACAUAGGUGAGAGAUGAAUCCGAGAGGAGAGAGAUGUAUCCGAGAGGGGAUAGGACAUCCAGAUACAUUACUGGACUUUCGGAUGCAUCAGUAGACAUCCGGAUACAUAGGUGAGAGAUGUAGCAGAGAGGGGAGAGAUGUAUCCGAGAGGGGAUAGAGAUGUAUUAGUGAGAGGAGAGUGAUGUAUAUGAGAGGGAAUUUUUGAAUUUUUUUUAAAUGGCAGGGAAUUUUAGAAUUAUGAUAAAAUAAGAUGUGUAUUUAGAUAAUUGUUUCAAAAAACAUUUGACACCACACUAUCAUUAUUUUAGACCCGAUCCAUAGUAACCCACUUUUUAAAAUUUAUCUCUUAGAUUACUUCAUCAAAUAUAUCUGUUCUACAUUAAGUAUAUAUUUAUUUGGUACUACUUUAUCAGCAUAUGGUACAAUAAAUUCAACUUUGUCAUAAUCAAAUUCCCUGAUUAAAAAAAGCAAUCCAAUAAUUCCAUUUUUUCUAAAUUUGAACUCUUUUGGAUGAUCUACGGUUGCCACUAUUACGCCAGAUUCAAUUAUAUCAAUUAUAUAAUGGGAUAUCACCAUACAUAUCAAUUAUGAAGUUCUCUAGUUGAAGAUUCAAUUCAUCAAAUUUCAUUAUGAUACGUUUAAAAUUGAUGUGAAUCAUUACAAAAUCUUUUUAACUGAUAAUGAAUGUGACAAUAAGAACUAACAAUUUUCACUUGGUAGACACUCCACUUUAAGGUAGACAAUUAUCAUCAAAAUAUUAUAUUUUUUGUUUGUAACGAAAAGGUAGUACAUGCAAAUUUAAUAACUUUUUUGUUGACUUGAAGAAGAAUGAUAUUUAGAAAAAAAUGUUGGAAAAUUGUGACAGGUAAGACACAAAAUAGUAUUGAGAUGGAAAAUUGUGAUUGGUAGACAUAUGUAAAAAUUCUUUUAUUUAUAUUUUUAUUUCACCUUGUUAUCAAGAUAAUUUUAAAAAUAAUCACUUCAUGACUCGCUUAUCACAAUUUUGAGAUCAUUGCAGAAUCUAUAAACUUCAAAUCAUAUAUCUGUCUCAAUUUAGGAUUACUCAAUACACGUGUGGAUAAGAAUUAGCAUAUAUUAAUGAAAAAAUUAAGUCGUAGGCAAGUUGACCUCAACACAACCCAACAAAAGGAAUAAGGUAAAACAAUCCAGAAAAAGGAACCCCAUAGUAUACAUGGAUCUUCUAUGAAUUUAAAAGGGUGAAAUUUUCUUGUAUUAUUCAGGGUAUUAAAAGCUAUGGAAUUAGAAAUAGUUGAGCUUCACUAUUAUUAUCAUCCACAUAAAACCAAUUUUGUCCAUAUAUUAUCAUUACUCUUUGUAAUUCAAAAGAAACCUCUUCACACAUAUUAAUUGUUCAAAUAACAAUCCAAAAAAUUCAAUCUUCUUUAAUUUUUUGUUACUUUCUUUCUUUGUUCCUUUAUAUACACACUGAAUCAAGAAAACAAGGUACUUUUUUGUGUUAUUUUUUCUCUUUGUAUGAUUUUUUUAACAUAUGGUUUACAUGCAAAUAAUGGAAUGUAUAUGUUUAUAAUUAAGGAAAAAAAUAUUUGAUUUGGUUUCCUUUUUUUUUUUUUUUGCAAUGCAUGAAGGAAGAUGGAUGAUUUUGAUAAACGGUAAGCUGGGAUGAAGAGUGUAUUGACAUGUGGAAUUUGCAAAAAGCUAUGCAAAGAUGUCUCAAUUAUUGAAGAAUGUUGUCACAGAUGUAAGAAAAAUUUUAUCUUUUUAAUUAAUUUAAUUUUUGGGGAUUUAUUUUUUUUAUUUGAGUGAUGUUGAUAAAUUAUUUUUUCUUGUGAUUUCAUGAUGUUGAUAAAAAAAAAUCGGUGAUUUUGAUAAAUAACUUGUUGUUAUCAUUCCACAAUCUUGAAUUUUCGAUAUUUUUUUUGUUCUAUCCAAUGUUUUUUUAAAAAGGUUAAUUUAGGUGUAAUAUUUUUUUUGGGGGGAGGGGGAUCAUUUAUUAUAUUUGAUUGAUGUUUGAUAAAUCAUCUGUACAUGUGAUUUCAAGAUCUUGAAUUUUUUUAGUUUUUAGUUCUUUCCAUUUAUUUAUUUUUACAAAUAAAAUAAAUUUUGAUUUUUCUGAUUUUGGGGUUUCGUUUUUGAAUUUACUGAUUUUGAUAAAUCAUUUGUUCUUGUGAAUUGAGUUGAAUUUAUCAUGUUGCUUAAUUAAACAGUUUAUUUCUUUAUUUAUUAACUUUCUUGUAUGAUCAGUUUGUUGCAUUUGGCCCUAGUCAUUAACACUAUUGUAUUUUUAUGUAUUAUGGUUCAAUAUUUUAUUUUUCUUUCUUAUCACUUUUUAUUUCUUAAUUCAUCAUAUAUUAUUUUUUAAUGGAAUUUGAUUAAUUUGUGUUUAAUAUUUUUUACAGUUUGCAAGAAUUGCAUAAUGAGAAAGGUAAAAGAAGAGAAAUUGAAAGUUUGUCCAGAAUGCAAUACAGAUUUAGGUGCUACCCCCUUGCAGAAAAUCAGGUAUAUUCUUCAAUUUCGAUUUUUUAUACAACUUUCAAAUGUAUUGAAUUAUUAAUUAUUGUGAUUUAUAUAAAAAAAAUUACUUCUAAUAUGUAAAUUUUAUUUGAAAAGGCAUGAAAAUCGUAUCGCAUAAUGUGGAAUAGAGAGAGCCAUAUAGUCUCUUCGUCUUAUUUUAUGUGAAAGUGUUACCAUUUAGAUAGUUAAAAAAAAUUAUUCUUUGAGUAUAGUUUUCACAAUUUUUUGAAUAAAUAUUUAUGUUGACUUACAAUAAUUUUUUUCAAAUAUGUUUUGAAGAAUUUGUACCUGAAUCAGUAAAAUCAAGUAUUUUGACGAUCAUAUGUUGACUAUAGGCUUAAAUUGUAAAAACAAAAAUAUACUUCUAAUACAAUCCUAGAUUAUUCUUCUAUAUGUCUAUGGUGAUAUAUAAGAGUUUUCUUUAUGUUUGUGCUGAUGAAAAAUAACAAGUAUUUGAUAAAAACAAGUUAAGGUCAUUGUCCUAGACACCACUCUUUUUCAAAAUGUAAAAAUGGUCAUGUUAUAUGGAUAGAUUAUUUAUACUCUCUCCAUCCUAUUAUAUGCUAAAGUGUUACUAUUCGAGCCGUCAAAUAUUUUUUUUUUAAAAUAAUAUUUUGAUUCAUUAGCUAUGUUGAUUUAGAGUAAUUUUUGUGUAUAUACAUUUAAUUUUUAAGAAAUUGAAGAAUUUAUACCCAAAUUCUUAGUCAAGCAGAGAUGUUUUAAUCAUCGUACUUCAUACCCUUUCACAUAAUUUGAGACCAAGGAAGUACAUAUUAUAAGUAGAAAAUCUCAAAUACAAGAACAAGAUUGACUCAAGGUUAUGUCGAACAAGUAAGCAGUACUGUAAUUUGGUUCCUUGUAUAUAAUACUUAAUUUUUAGGCCUGAUCACCAAGUGCAAGGGAUCAGAGACGCAGAGUCAUGUUAUAUGAAUACAUUAUUUAUAGUCUCUCCAUCCUAUUAUAUGUUAAAGUGUUACUAUUUAAAGAGUCAAACAAUUUUUUUAAGAAAAUAUUUUGAUUCAUUAGCUAUGUUGAUCUGGAGUAAUUUUUGUGUAUACAUUUUUAUUUUUAAAAAUUAAAGAAUUUAUGCCCAAAUUCUUAGUCAAAAUGAGAUGUUUUAAUCUUCGUACUCCAUACCCUUUCACAUAAUUUAAGACAAAGAGAGUUCAUAUUAUAAGUAAAUUUUUAGAUACAAGUACAUGAUUUUGACUCUAGGUUAUGUCGAACAAGUAGACAGAACUAUAAUUUUGUUCCUAGUAUAUAUAUGUGUGUGUGAAAAGUAAGUAUUAAUAUAACCUUAUAUAAUUCUUAAUUUUUAGGCCUGAUCACCAAGUGCAACGGAUCAGAGACAUGGUGCCAAGUAAAAGAAGAGAAUUAAUUGAGCGUGGACUAAUCGAAAAGUCAAAAAAAGGCGAACCCAAAAAGUUAGCUCGUGAAGAUAUUGAUUUGAAUAAAAUUCAUGUCAUGCUCAUGGAUACUCUACCAUCACCUCCUCCUCCUCCACUUAUUCAUGAUGAUCAAAUUCUGAAUCGACACAACAUUUCGAGAGGUAGUACAGGAAAGGGAAGAGGUAGAGGUAGAGGAAGAGGAAGAGGAAGAAGAGGAUGUUCGCAAAAUGUUGCUAAUGUUGAUCGUUUUCAAGAUCCAUCUAUAUUUAAUGAUGUUGUUGAUCUGAAUAAGGGAAAUAUGCAUCGAGGAAGCUUAACUCAACAUAAACAACAAGUACAAUUCAAAUCUACUUUAUGUUUUAGUCAUAAUCCUAACUCAUUUGGGACUGAGGCACGUAUAUUAGUAGUUGUUCUAUGGAUUUAUUUUUAUUAUUUUUUUGAGAAAAACUAUAAUAAAAAUGCAAUUAUAAUUGACAUAAUCAGAUAAAGGGAGAUCAGCCAGGAAGUUCAAGUGCUCCUCUUCGUUUGGGCAAAGCUACUCAACUUAAACAACAGGUACUUAAUUAAUUGAAAUCCACUUUAUGUUUUAAGUAGUCAUCUGAUAAGUUGUACGUAUUUUUCACUUUUGAUGUUACACUUGUGUCGUAUUCUCCAGAAGUACACUACUUUUUGUUUAAUGGAUUAAUCUUUUUGCUUAUAUUAUAUACUAAAUGUUGAAUUAUUUGGCUUGUUCGUGUAUCAUUAUAUAUACUUUGAAUCUCCUUAGUGAAUGAAAAUUGUACUAACUCUUGUGAUGACUUGUUGAAGGUUGAGAGUAGUGUUUAUGAUGUUGAGUCCUCAAAGAAUGAUAGCAUCUCAAAGAAAAACAAAAGUAUUGAACCAUUGGAUAGGAUGAAUGAUUUAUCCAAGGCCAGAGAGCGAGUUCCAAAGUUCAUCGAUCGUACUCCACUAAUCAAUCUUGAUGAUUAUGAAAUUGAGGACGAAGAUGAUGAUGAGGACGACGAUGAUGAUGAGGACAACGAUGAUGAUGAGGAUGAUGAUGAUGAUGAGGAUGACAAUGAUGAUGAUGAUGACGACGAUGAUGAUGAUGAUUAUGACAAUGAUGAUCAUAAGGACGAUGAUCAUGAAGACGAAGAAGAAGACGAAGAAGAAGAAGGAGAAGAAGAAGGAGGAGGAGGAGGAGGGGGAGGAGGAGGAGAAGAAGAAGAAGACGAAGACGAAGAAGAUGAAGAAGAAGACGAAGAAGAAGAAUAAGACGAGGAGUAGGAGGAGGAGGAGGAGAAGAAGACGAAUACGAAGACGAAGAAGAAGAAGAAUAAGACGAGGAGUAUGAAGACGAAGAAGAAGACGAAGAAGAAGAAGAAGAAGGAGAAGAAGAAGAAGGAGGAGGAGGAGAAGAAGAAGAAGACGAAGACGAAGAAGAUGAAGAAGAAGAAGAAGAAGAAGAAUAAGACGAGGAGUAGGAGGAGGAGGAGGAGGAGGAGAAGAAGACGAAGACGAAGAAGAAUAAGACGAGGAGUAUGAAGACGAAGAAGAAGACGAAGAAGAAGAAGGAGAAGGAGGAGGAGGAGGAGGAGNNNNNNNNNNNNNNNNNNNNNNNNNNNNNNNNNNNNNNNNNNNNNNNNNNNNNNNNNNNNNNNNNNNNNNNNNNNNNNNNNNNNNNNNNNNNNNNNNNNNNNNNNNNNNNNNNNNNNNNNNNNNNNNNNNNNNNNNNNNNNNNNNNNNNNNNNNNNNNNNNNNNNNNNNNNNNNNNNNNNNNNNNNNNNNNNNNNNNNNNNNNNNNAGAAGAAGAAGAAGAAGAAGAAGAAGAAGAAGAAGAGAGGAGGAGGAGGAGGAGGAGGAGGAGAAGAAGAAGAAGAAAAUAUGUGCCUUUACCAAAAUUUAAGGAACACAAAGUUUGCAAACAAAUAUUGUUAAAAGAUUAGAUGUUGUUCAAGCUAUAGAAGCGCCAUCAAGAAGUAAUAAUAAUAAUACUAAUAACGGAAAAGGGAAAAAGGAACGACGUGGAAGAAAGAAAAAAGAAAAAAAUAUUCCUUUUCCUGUUGGCGGUGGUGGUGGAACAAAUACUAAUGUGGCACAAGUUCAAGUUACUACUGAGACAACAGGAGGUACAAGUAGUGGUAGUACUAGAGAGUGAAUGAAAGAGAUCAUCCUAUUUGGUUCACUUUGGUUGCAUGUGAUAAGCAGUGAGUUUAAUUCUACGACUUUCAAUUAUAUGUAUUACUUUUCUCUAUAAUAUUUUGAUUUAUGUGACAAUGUUUGACUAGAUAUGAUUUUUUUUCAGGGAAGGUCCUUCACCCUUACCAUAGAUUUAUACCCGCUACAUAAAGAUCAAGGAAGUCUUUAAUUACAUUUGAACAUAUAUUUACAAAAAUAUUAUGUCCUGCCUAUAUAUAUUUUUGAAGUUCUAGAUACAUUUUGAAAUGUUGGUCAUUCAUUUUUUCUUUAAACUAUAGUAGCCAUUGUGGCAUGCAUGAAUCAAUUUGGUAAAGGUAAUUUUUUUUUCUUUUUGUAUGAAUUCUCUCUCAAAUGAAGGAAAGCUAUCAAUGACAUAACUAGUAAAGUUGUUCCAAUAUGACUAGGAUAUCACAAGUUUGUGCUGUGAAAAAAUGCAGAAUAAGGUGUGUAUAAUGAACCCUAAUGGUAUGGUCCUUUCCUGGACCUCGUAUAGCUCAAAAUACCUCUUAACUUCAAUUAAUAUGUUGUACUUCUUUUAUAUGGUUAAAUAGGGAUGUGAACAAGUCGUCUUUCUACCUAAAAAAGUACCUUGCACAAAAAUUGAGUCUUCAGAGCGAAGACGAGGUAAUUAUAUACUUAUAUCGUCAUUCAAUAUUUGCUCUGAUAUCUUCUAAAUGACACCUGAUUAUUAAUUUUGAAUUUCUAAUCCUAAUAAUUUGAAAUAUAGGUGGAGCUUUGUAUGUUAGAAAUGUUGAUUCGUCCUGAAUUGCCUCUCAAACAUCUAGAAAAAUUGUGGUUACGCGUAGCACCUCACUCUGGAAAAAGUUCAGUAAAAGUUGGAGCUUCUGCCGAAGAAUUUGUCAUGGUUUUGAAAUAUUCUCGAUCACACCCAAAAUUGAAUUAGUAUAUUAACUAUGUACAAUAUUUCAGUUUCUCCUUUGCCUAGACAUUCAAAUUUUGCAAGGAGAAAACUUCUUGUUGCAUAUUGUUAAACACCUUUAAUUUGUGUGUGUUUUUUUUUAUAAAAUCAAUUAGACGUUUUUGAGUUACUUCUUUUGCACUCUAGAUAUCAGUUGUUUAUUAAGAAUUGUGUUUUUUUUGUUCAUUUUUUCUAAAGAUGUGUUAGGUUGCACUUUUUUUUAGAUAUUGACAGCCAGAGUCAGGGACGAAUCUACAUCAUUAGUUACGGAUUUGACAAACCUUGGCCAGACUAUUAUAUUCGUGUUAAAAAGUUCACUUAAUAGGGUAUAGAAAAAUAAUCUAUAUCGAAUCCAACAAAUUAUCAUGUACUAGAAUCAGUGGCAUAGCUACAUAGAUCGACCCAAGGGUGGUUAUUUGAACACUCAUAAUCAAUAACUUAUUUUAUGCAUAUAGAAAAUAAUUCUGAUAUCAAAGUUAACAGGUUGAAAUGCGCAUAAGUUGGUUCGGAUACCAAUAAGAGAGGGCUUUGUCCAUCACAUGUAUGAUCGUGAUUUGUGUUCAUCUUUUGCUGGGGAUUAAUUCUUGAGACAAAAUUGUUCAACAUACUGUUUUUUCACAUUACUAUCAAACUUCAUGAAUUUUUUCCCCAUUGAUUAUCUCAAUAUACGUCUUGAUCAUGCUAUCAGUUACUUUUCUCGCCAAAUUUAUAUCGUCUCGAUUUCGAAUCAAAAUCCUUUUCCUUUCCCUUGAAACCUGCUCAUAUGAACACAUUCUAGUUAAAUUUGAGAAAACUUAGUUCUGAGAAGAAUUCUUUUAUAAACUUCUAUAACAUGAAUCAGAAUUUCCAAAUAUCAUUUUUCACUUUGAAAACAAAAAAUUAUACUUUUUUCGAUCUUCACAAUGAAACAUGGUCAAACGUCUUAUUUUAUGAGUUAUGGAUCACAUUUUUUUUCUUGGCUAUUGUGUUCUGAAUAUAUUGCUUAUAUAGAGUUUGGAGAAAAAAUACUUUUUUUUUUGCCAAACCAGUAAGUUAAGGGAUGGUUCUACCCCUGCAUCUAUACGGUAGGGGUGAUAAUUGGACGGGUUGGGUCAUAUUUGGGAGGGUCAAAAUGGGUCAAGAUCCAACUCAACCCAAAUUUGUUUGGGUCAAAACGGAUCAAGUAAUGGGUCAUAACCCAAUCCAUCCAAUUUUUACUACGUUUUAAUUAUUUUUUAAAAAGAUUUUAGUACCAAAUAAAAAAUAUUAUUAUGGUUAUACAUAACAUAUUAAACUGGCCAAAUGACCUGUGAGACCCUUGUACUUGGCUUCGUUUGUCGGUUGAACCCUCCUACUCAUCAGUUUAUCAACUAAACCUUUAAACCCAUCAGAACACAACAUGUAAAGCCCUUUUCUCCGAGCUCAACUAAGUAGGAGGGUUCAAUUUGGACUACAUAUCAACUCAUUUUUUAAUGGAUUGAAAUGAGCUGAGCCCAAACUCAAACAGGUUGGACAGAUUGAAUUUUAUUUUGUCACCCUUAAUCUAUAGAAAUUAAAAAGGAAAUUGUACUAACCAUUUGAGUAAAUCCAAGUGAACCUCCAAAUCAGUGAUGUAUGUGAGAUUAUGCAUUUCCUUUAAGGAAGGGGAUAUCUUAUGAUCCAAAAUUAUCUCUUCACCAACAUGCCAAUAACUCCAAAAAUAAUCUCCAAGUUUUUGAAUCAGUCUUGUUUGAACCUCGAAAUCAUGUUUGUUUACUACUCUCAAAACUUUCACUCCUAAUCUUUCAAGCCAUUGUUUGAAUCUAAUAUUCCCAACUCUUGGCCCUGAGAAUGAAAAUACACAAAGGGGAAUAACACGUCCGGGUAAAUCUAAUCCAAUUUCUGCAAUGUCAUAAGUACUAAACAUAGCUAAGCCACCUCCCAAGCUAUGUCCUGCUAUUGUUAUGCUUAAUACCUCAUUCGAAUAUCGAUCUAUCAGUCUCUUAACUUCGUCAAGAACUUGUUCCCUUGCUGACAACUUGCACACGUUGCAUUGAUCGUGUUUCCUCGUGUAGAUGUUCAACAAUCCAGCUUCGAUUUUGAUUGUUGGAUCGCGACUAGACAUGUUGUAAUCUCUAGCUGGUCUUUGUAAGUCCAUUAUAUCCGCUAUCUCCUCAACAUCCUUUGUUGUUUUACGCCAAGCAAUUGUUAUGUCACGGCAUCCUAAGUGUGCUGAGUACUCAUCAUUUGAUACUACAACAUAGCCAAUCCAAUUUGCUUGGUGACUCAAAUUACUAGGCCAAAUUGAAUGAGUGAGGCAUUUGGAGUAAAUGUAGCUGGAGACAUCAUAGCCAUGUUUUUCGCCACUAGUGACUUCGGAAAAGAAAUUAGGAUCGAUGCUAUAGCUAUGAUCCAAAUCGUACAGUGGCGAUUUUGAAAAAGAAACUAGGAUCGAUCUUAUAGCUACGAUCCAAAUCAUAUGCAUUGUGACAUGCUUGUAACAUAUCUCCGUAACGUAUUAGCUCUGCUUGUAACAGGGGAUCAAUAGGGUCAAUCAUCCCUUCCCAAUCAUAUAUGAAUGGAAUUUCUGUUUGGGUUUUGUUUAUUUGAGAAGAGAAUUAUUCUGGAAUAAGAAAUGAUCAUUGUAUUAGAGAUUGGGAGAAGAAGAAUUGCACUUUGGUUUGUUGGGAAAAAAAUGUGCUUUUUAGUCUUCUGAAUUUGUGGCUUUAUAUAGAGUCUCUUACUCCAAAGGUCACGGUUCGAAAUUCAAUGGAUAAUGGACCUGAUACUCUACUUGAAUACUAUCAUAUUGGAACUUGUGACGUGUAUUUAACCUACGCAUAAUAAAGUUAUGCUUUAACAACUAGAAUAUAAUGAUUAAUAGACCUGCUUCUCUACUUUUCUCUACUUUAAUACUCUGUGAUAGUGUUAGGACCUGUGACGUGCAUCUAAUCUACGCAUAACAACCAGAAUAUGAUGAUUAUAUAUUUUUGUUUACUAGGGAAAUGGUCUAGCUACUUUUGAAAUUAGUAGGAUGCUACUUGGCAUUAAAGUAACACUAAUCAAUUGAGCACAUUAGUGUUUCUAAUUGAAUAUUUUUUUUAAAAGGUAGGAAAUUACUAAUUAUCAACAACUAUUAGAAGGACCUACUUUUAUAUAUUAGCAGCCGAUAAUGUUGAAAGUGGUUAGAGAUUCGAUUUUGAAAAUAUUACAUUAGAAUAAAGAAGAUUUUGGUUUGGUGUAUUUAAUUAAUUGUACAUUUAAAAUGAUACAUUGGAAUAAGGAAUGACUUUUUUUUCUUUUUAGCAACUCUUUGAUUUCAGUGUUUCAUACGACAUGUUUAAAACUACAAGAUUAAAUGGCAUUUCAGUAGAUUCAACAUAUUUUUAAUUUAAGACCACAAAAUUCAAGUCUUCCGUAGUGUCUUAAAUUUCGUGUCAAGUCAAAAGCAGACAAAUAUGUGCGGGACUAGGCCCAAAGCAAUCUAAAACCUUAAGUUGUUAAAGAGAGCACACUUUUAUUAGUUAAUGAUAUUCUCAACAGACGUUCAUGAUAGAAAGCAGGCCUUUGAAAAAGGGGUGAAAAUUAUUCCUUACGCAAUGUUGACACUCAAUUUUGACCCUCCCCGAGAAGACUUAAUUUUCGAGCUUCUUUAAUUUCAAACGAUUUGGAAUAAUUAAUUUGAUGAAAAUUUCAAAUAUUUUUCAAGUCAUUUUUAGGUAAUUUUAGUCAUUUUAUAAUUUUUAAAUAAUAAAUAUGUUUUUAUAUAAUUAGUAUAUUUUAUAAAUAUUCGAAAAUCGCGUCAAUUUAUUUUACUUCUACAUAAAUAUUUUGUUAAUUAGUUUAGUUUAAAUUAUAGUUAAUAUUCUUGAAUUAAUUAGUUUGAUUAAGUUAAUUAUUUAAUUUUGUUAAGAUUAAAAAGUUUGUUAAUUAAUUAAUCUUAAUUCAUCGUGUUUAAAUUAUAGCCAAAUUCACUAAAUUCACUCAAUUCAGCUAUGUUUUGAAUUCUAUAUGGCUAUAAUUGCAAUCCAUCUAGCUAUUUUGUAUUUGCAAAUCUAACCCUUUUAACCUCACCUUAGCUCCUUAACUUAGACCAAGAUUUUGGCCUUUUCUAAUUUUUUCAGCAGCCCACUUCUUUCAUAUAAGACCCAACCCAUUACAAUACCAAAACAAUACAAUACCCAUACAACAAUACAACAUACGUACAGCAAGACCAAAUACCAGAACUACCCCUGCUUCAUUCUUGGUCUUCUUCGCGAGCCCAGAUAUGCAGAACCCAGAACUCCAAGGAAAAUCGCGAGCAACAGCCCAGCGAUUCCAGCAGCCCAGACGCGAGCCCAUCAGCUCAUUCUCCUGGCAUCGCAGCGUGUCCCUCUCCGUAUGCGAAGCUUCGGGAAUAAUCCAGGUGGAGCAAUCUUGCAUCUCCUUCUUCCUUUGCUGAAAUCGAACGGAUGUCAUUCCAAAUCCGUUGAAAUUGGUACUUUGCCAACCGUUUGAGCCUUAUCUCUUAGAAAGGUUUGAAUUUCGAAUUUGAAAAAUUCAUCCAAAUUUCACCCGAAUUCCCCCCAAAAAUCGUGCCCUAAUUCCUCCUAUUUAACCCGCCCCCUCCCUCUUCUUCUUUGUGGGAGGUUGGAGAAAAAUUUGGAAAAAAAAAAGGUAGGAUAAAAAAUUGGAAAAAAAAAGGUUGGAGAAAAAUAGCUCGAGCCACAAAUUACAUAAAGUUCCAAUAGGAACAAAAAGUAAAACUAAGGGUGCUUUCGCAGAUCGAUUCCAAAAGAAUUUUGAAGCUCUUUUAGUUUUGGUUUCUGUUCUAUUCAGUAUCCUCCGGAGUUCGUUGGAAUCCCAUGUCAAUGGUGAAAGGUUGGUGAGAAGUCCAGCUCAUUCGUCCCGUUCGCUGCCCGAAAGAAGGUAAAGCUUUCUCCUUCGUAACACUUUCCUCAUUUUUUUGUUCCAGUGUGAUGUUACUGGCUAUUUAUUGUUUGCUAUUAUUUGUUAUUGAGCUCUAGACGAUUUGAUAUAUUGCGUUCUUCUUUAAAUGAUCUUGGUAUUUACUCUUAAGCGCUAAUUCAAAAUUUUCUUUUGCUGUUUUGUAGUUGGUGUUUUUCUGUUUUGAAUCUAUUUCAUUGCCUGCCUCUCUUUACUUGUUUUGAUGUCUGAAUCUGUAUUUUCUUGUCUUCCAUUACUUAAAUAUCAGGUUUCUUUCACUUUGUUACUAUAAUAUUACUUUUUUUCCUUUUGAAAUGAAGGCAGAAUCUCAGAAAUUUAGCUGAUAUGAAAUCGUAUGUUGUAUUAUCUACUGUUUGGUUGGGUUGCAAUGACUGGCUUUCUCUAUUUUAUUUAAUCUCGUGUUUGUCCUAUUGUUCAGCAUGUCGGGUUUAGAAUUGGUUUGUCAUCUCCUUUAUCUAAAUUUUAGUCGGAAUGCUCCUUAUUUGCGGUAUAGCUUAUAAAAAUGUGAGUCUCUCUUGUUGUUUUCUUUUUAUUCCCUCUUGUUCCAGUUCCUGUUUCCUCUCAAAGUUGAUGCCUAUUUUCCUUUUUCUGAUCGCUGUCCAGAUUCAGCAUGCAAAUUGAAUAGCUAGUUUAUAGUUUUCCGUUUGUUUUGGAAUAUAGAAUAUUGGUCAUCUAUCCAUCUUGCUAUCUUUCUUUUAGUUUUCUCUGUAUAGUAUUAUCUGUCCGUUAGAACAAGCUCUAAAUGGUUGAUUUUCUAUAGUUUGAAUGCUGUCUCAUAUGCUUUUUUUUUCUUAGUUAUAAAAAUGGUGGUCUGUUACAGUUGUGUCGGAAAUCGGAAUCAUGCCUUUCCUCUGUUUAUUUCUUUUUUAAGGCUAAAUUCAUGUACCAUUCAAUUGAUUUAAUCAAAUGAAUGUUUCAAAUGAUAUUUACUUCUACAAUUUAUUUAUUUUCUUUUCGUAUAUGAUGAUGCUUUAGUCAUUAAAUUGAUAUAGUUUACUGUUGCUUUCACUACACUUUCUCAGGCAAUAUUAAUCUCUUUUAAGUCAAGAUUGUUUCUUUAUUUAAAUGGCAUUAACUGAUGCAAAGUGUGUUGCAUUUUCUUCAUUGUCUUAGCUCAAAUGUUAGAAUAAUUUUGCUAGUUUUUUAAUGUAGCCUCUUCUCCCAGUCAGAUGGUAUAUGAUCUAAUUCCAUUUCCUUAUUUUGUUUGGGUACAACCCGCUGGCCGAGUCUUUUAGGCUCUUACUGUUCUCCUAGCCUCUCUCAUUUUUAUAUAUUUCGUGUUAAUUUUAUUGUUAGUACAUGCUUAUUUGCUAAUUAAUUUUAAGGUUCUUAACUCAUAAUUCCUCAAAGGACAACCAUUUUGAGUUAGUUAACUUAUAGUACUUUAUCUUAAAAUAACUAAGUAUACUUGUCUUUUUUUCCAAAUUGAUUUCUAAAAAUGUUAGAAGCGUUUCUCUACUUAAACAUAUUAGAUAAUAUAUACCCUUUCCUCUCUAAAUGAUUUUAAGUUAUAAAAUUUGUUUAUUCCGUAACUAGUCAAACCUGCCUAUUGUUAGCCAAAUAUAUUAAUUGUCGGAUAACCACAUGUUAGCGGAUGUUCUAGCUACUUUAAAACCCUUCCUAGAACAUUAAUGUGAACCCCGAACUCCCUUAAAUAUUUUCAUUAGAUUUACUGUUUUAAUAUUUUGAAAAAAAAUAGUUUUCUUAAUUUUCCUUAAAAAAAUUAAGUGGCGACUCUAAAACUCGUCAUUUUCUCUUUUUAAAAUAAAAACAGACGAAUCCACAUCGAAAUAGGAGAAGAAAGUUAAGGACCUUGUAAGAACGAGUUCAAAACAACUUUUGAGGCAUCGUUUGAGUUAAAAUCCAAGGGACAAAUCCGUGCAGUCCUAUACCCAAAAAGGACAACACCUUAACAAUUGGACAAAAGACUUUACAAUUGAGCCCCAACGUUGAGGUCUAGCGAUAGACCGUACGUGAUGUAUGAAUCAAGCAUACGUCACAUGUUCAAACUUAUUGUAGAAAAAUGCAUGAUAGUAUUUAAGUAAAAAGGGGGAGAGGGACGAUCCCACUAUCCAUCGAGCUUCGAAUGUCGUGUCGGUUGGCCCUCUGGGAUUUUCUAGUUACAAAAAUAAAGAAAAGAGAGUGUAGACAUUGAAAUUUUGUGGGACUCUACAAGACAUGUUCAAUUCGAAUUGGGACUGUAGAAGGUUUGUUCGGUUUCAAUUAGAUUUCUUGGAGGCUACUACCCUAAACCCUAGUUCAUUGCAUAUAUAAAGGGUACUAAAUUCCCUUAAAAGGCAUCUCCAAUAUUCCCCAAAAGUCAUGGAAUAUUCAUAUAAAGGUUAAAUCUAAAUAAUCCUUGUUCGAGAAAUUCACCACUAACGGCCCUCGAAUAAUGGAAAAAUCUUAGGAGAGUACAAUCAAGGGAGGAAUAGAAUUGUACCCGCACUAUUAUCAAUAAAAUAUUCAUGUUUCUUCUGAUUUUAUUUGUGUGGUUUAUUUAUUUUUCAUAUGUUUAAAAUUUGUUUCAAACAAAUUAGCACGCCCAAUGAGACCAUCUCUACCUCUCAUCUCAAUUUUUCAAGCAUCAAAGAAUAUCGAGAUGACUUCCAUGAAGAUCAACUCUCAAUCAACUUCCUAUAAGGCCACUAGCUCCAAGUUCUCUACUGAAAAAUUGAAGGCAUUCAUGGUGUUACCUUUGGAAGUUUCGGAGUUGUUACAAGGAGCAAAGCUACUAUGCUAGGACAACAAACACUUCAAGUGUCGUCACCAUCAACUCUUAUUUUUAGGUCUUCGACCCCAAAAGGAGUAAGUUCCCCCACAAAUGCUUUAGAAGGAGGAGUUAGUGUUGCUGAAAAGAUCAAGAAAACAUUAGCUCUGGUUGAACAAUCUGGUUCGAAGACCUCUACCACAAGGGAGAACUAUGAUUCAACCAAUGAAUCAUCUCUACAUGCAUCGCGUAACGUGAUUCCACUGAAGAUCAACUUACGUGACAAUCCAUUUUACUCUUCUACAUCUCCAAUGAUCAUGCAAACAAUGGUGACCGAUGCUUCUUCCCCUAAGGAACAACUCGCAACUCUGACGAAGUUGGUUAAAGGACUGACAAAACAUGUACAACACCAAGAGUCUCGAAUCGAUAAGUUAAUGGAUAUGAUGGAAAGACUUUUAGAUGGAGAAGUGAUUCAUGCGCCUGGAAAGGUUGUUGAAGUUCAAGAGAUCGGAGAUCCUGCGAAGAAAGCACCCCUUGUUAAUGAGAUGCCAGUUUCUUCUGAAGGAAUGAUCCCACUCGAUCGCUUGAAGGAGUUCAUUUAAGGCACAAUCAAGGAUAAGUAUGAAGUCUCUACCAAGUCUUCUCAUAUGUAUGCCAAGCCAUACACUGUGAGAAUUGAUAACUUUAAAAUUCUUGCUGGUUACCAACCUCCCUAAUUUCAAAAAUUUGAGGGUAAAGGAAAUCUGAAGUAACAUGUUGCACACUUUGUGGAGAUAUGUAAUAAUGCUGGAACAUAUGGAGACCAUCUUUUCAAGUAGUUUGUCCGCUCUCUAAAAGGAAAUGCCUUUGAUUGAUACACGGAUCAUGAACCCAAUUCUAUCGAUAGUGGGAGCAAUAGAGCAUGAGGUUUUCAAUCACUUUUAUGGCACGAGGCGUAUGGUGAGCAUGGUAGAACUCACGAAUACUCGCCAAAGGAAGGACGAACCGAUUAUAGACUUCAUAAAUCGAUAGAGGAACGCUAGCUUGAAUUGCAAAGAUAGGCUUAGUGAAGCUUCUACGAUAGAAAUGUGUAUCCAAGGGAUGCACUGGGAGCAUCUUUACAUCUUACAAUGAAUAAAACCAAAAUCCUUUGCAGAUCUAGCUACUCGCGCUCAUGAUAUGGAGUUGAUCAUGUCCUCUGCUGGAAAAGAUAUGACGCUUGUCCAUGACCCUCGCAAAGGAAGGGACAAGCAGGAACCCAAGAGAUGGAGCAAAUUUUUGCCCAAGAAUGACAACAAAGAGUCAAUGAAUGUUAAUGUGUCACUUAUAAAUUUCACUACGAAGGAAGGCAAGAAGCAAAGUGUGAGAACGAAUUUCCAAGCGCGCUCGAACCAAAAGUCGAUCCUAAGGGAAAUGCGAGAAAAGGAAUACCCCUUCUUGGAUUCUGACAUUUCUGCUAAUUUUGAUGAGUUGCUUGAGUUAAAGCUCAUUGAGUUGCCAGAGAUGAAGCGACCUAAUGAAGCUGGAAAAGUUGAUGACCCAAAUUAUUGCAAGUAUCAUAGACUUGUGAGUCACCCUCUUGAUAAAUCUUUUGUCUUGAAGUAUAGAGUGAUGCUAUUGGUUAGAGAAAAGAAGAUUGUCCUUGAUGAUGAGAAAGUUGGUUCUAACCAAAUCUCCAUCACAUUCGGCUCGUUCGAUCCGAUCCAAAUAUGUAUCUCUGAAAAGCAUGAAGAAGAGUCCUUAGAGCAAGACAAAUCUCAAGUAGAUAUAGAUGGUCACGAAGGCUGGAUUCAUGGGACUAGGUGAAGACGCACCAAAUCAAGCUUACGAAAGGAAUCAUUCGAGCAACCAAUCAGAAGGAAGAUAGUGACGAAGGUUUGAUUCUUGUGACUAUGCGAAAAUGCAACAAGUCAAGCUUACGAAAGGAAUCAUCCGAGCAACCGAUCAGAAGGAAGAUGGUGAGGAAAUUGGAAAAGAAAAAAUCAAUCAAGCGUCCAAAGAGGGAAAAGAUAGAAGUGCAUCACUACCAGAAACCCCGACGUCCUGUGACUCUAGAGGAAUUCUUACCAAGUUCAUUCUGCACAAAGUCUACUCAAGACAAUGUCGAGGCAUCAUGUUUCAAUUUUGAUAAAUAAGAAAUAAUGAAGGUGUCUCUUACUGACAAAGACAUAACAACGAGCAAAUUCUCACCACAAGUGUCUCCUAGUGACGAAGAAGAAGCAACGAGGAAAAUCCCAUCAAUGAUGUAUCCUUCGUCUUCUGAAAAAACCUAUUGAACCUUCUUCCCAAGAAGCACAUGCAUGUGAUACAAAAAUAACAUUUACAAAUAAUGAUCUUCUAUUUGGUGAAACACUACACAAUCAUCCUUUGUAUAUGGUGGGUCACGUGCUAGAGAAGAAGAUAAAUAGAAUCUUAAUAGAUGAAGGAUCUAGAGUCAACAUUCUGCCUAUCCACACAUUGAAGGAACUCGGCAUCAUGACUGAAGAACUUAGUGGAAGUUGUCUGUUGAUACAAGGAUUCAAUCAAGGGGGACAGAGGUCCAUGGGCUUUAUUAAAUUAGAAAUCCACAUGGAAGAUUUGCGAUCAAGCGCAUGGAUGCAUGUGAUCGAUGCAAAGACUUCAUACAAUAUAUUACUUGGCAGACCUUGGGUACAUGAUAAUAGAAUUGUCUCGUCUUCUUACUAUCAAUGUUUGAAGUAUCUUGAAGGUGGGAUUGAAAGGAAGAUAGUUGCGGAUGAUAACCCUUUCACAAAAGUUGAGACACACUUUGCCGAUGCAAAAUUCUAUUUGAAAGGUUAUGUUGUUAAAGGGGCAAAAUCUAAUGAUGUCAAAUCAAUCAAGUCUGAUAAGAUCACAAUAAAAAGAAUUGAUGUGGCUGUCGGAAAGGUAAAAGUUGACAGCAAAGAACUUUGUCCCAUUCUUAAUGAAGGGAAGAUCAUUUCAUCAAAGAAAUUGACUUCUAGACUUCGCUAUGUUCCAAAACUAAAUAAAGAAGAAGGUAGAUCAUCUAACCUUCAAGAAAAUGCACUUAGAGGACUAACUCUUGCUAUCGGACAGAUUGAUGCAAUAAACUUGUCUUCAAAGCUGCCAGGAAAGUCAAUAGCUCGAAAUCAAGUGCGAGAUGUGGCAUUCCCUACAAAGCGCAUAAGAGAAGGUUUUGAUUUCAAUGCUUACAAGUUAUUUGUGAGGGCUGGAUACAACCUUAAUGAGCCAUCAAUGUUAGGGAAACUCACAUCGGAAGAUACAACUACGCAAGCAUGUAAAGUUCUAGGCUAUAGCCAAUCGCCGCCAAUUCGCAUUUUCAUAAGAAGGGCAAGCAAUAAUCAUAUAACUGUUGAAUAUGACAUCACUACUCCCAAUAAAAAGCCUUCCUUCUUUGAUCGACUUGGAUAAUCAACUUCAAGAACUUAUGUGUUCAAGAGAUUAGGUCUAUUGAAGAAGAACAACAACAAGCAUCAGAGAAGUUAUCUAAAAGUGACAACGCUGGCUUCAUCAAUGAUCCAAAAGGAUUUCAAAAGUUUGAUUCCUUCUAGAAUGAGGCGACGAGUGGAACUUGCGGUUUCUUGUAAAUAGGAACUAAAGGCAACGAUUCACAUUGUGGUUUACACCAAGGAGCAUGAGGAAGAUGAAGAAAGUGUAGGCUCAUCAUAUCAUGUUACAAUCCAGAAUGAGCACGAUGCCUUGUCUCAAACGAAGAUUGAUAAAGAGUUGGAAGAUAUUGACUGGUGUUGUCAUAUAUCUGUCAAUGACAAUGAUCCUCUAAAACAGGAAGAUGUUGUAGAUGCUCCACCAAAACUUGAAGAAGGGGGGAAGACCACAAUAGACCCUUUAAAGGAAGUUAACCUUCGCACUGAUGAAGACCUUAGGCCAACUUUCUUAAGUACCUUUCUAGAAGUUGAUAAAGAAAUUGCUUAUGUGAAUAUACUCAAAGAAUAUAGGGAUGUCUUCGCUUGGAGUUAUAAAGAAAUGUCUGGCUUGAUUCCUAAUGUAGCAGUCCAUCAGUUGGCAGUCAAAAUAGUGCUCGUCCUGUUAAGCAAGCAUAAAGACGUGUUAGGCCAGACUUGGUUCCAUUGAUAAAAAAUGAAGUCAACAAACUCAUUGAGGUAGGAUCCAUUCGUGAAGUUAAAUAUCCAACAUGGAUUUCAAGUAUUGUUCAUGUAAGGAAGAAGAAUGGCCAAAUUCGAAUUUGUGUUGACUUCAGGGAUCUAAAUCAUGUAUGUCCUAAAGAUGAGUUCACUCUUCCCAUUCUGGAGCUGAUGAUUGAUGCCACCACUGGUUAUGAGGCGAUGUCAUUCAUGGAGAAUUCCUCUGGCUAUAAUCAAAUCCACAUGGCACCAAAGGAUGAAGAACUCGCCGCAUAUCGCACGCCUAAAGGUAUUUAUUGCUACAAGGUGACGCCUUUCAGUUUGAAGAAUGUUGGUACUACAUAUCAAAGGGCUAUGCAAAAUAUAUUUGAUGACUUUGCUCUAUAAAAAUGUUGAAUGUUAUGUUAAUGACCUGGUGGUAAAGUCAAGAAAGAGAGGUGAUCAUUUGAAAGACUUAAGAAUGGUGUUUGAGUUGCUUCGAAGAUAUCAAUUGAGGAUGAAUCUGUUGAAGUGUGCUUUCGGAGUUAUUUCUGGAAAGUUCCUUGGCUUCAUUGUCAGACAUCUAGGAAUUGAAAUUGAUCAAUCCAAAGUUGAUGCAAUUUCGAAGAUUCCCGAGGCUCGAAAUAUUCAUGAGUUAAAAGUCUCCAAGGAAAGCUAGCCUACUUGAGGAGGUUCAUCUCAAAUUUAGCAGGAAGAUGCCAACCAUUCUGUCAUCUCAUGAAGAAAUGUGCUCUUUUUAAUUGUGAUCAAACAUGUAGUGAUGCCUUUAAAAGUAUCAAAUUGUAUCUAGCGAAACCUCCAGUUUUGGCAUCCCCUAUACUUGGAAAGCUAUUGAUACUCUACAUUGCAGCACAAGAAAGGUCUAUAGGAGCCCUAUUAGCUCAAGAGAAUAGUGAAGGAAAAGAAAACUCUCUUUAUUACUUAAGCAGAACGAUGACGCCAAAUGAGCUGAACUAUUCAUCAAUUGAAAAGUUGUGCUUGGCACUAGUCUUCUCGAUCCAAAAUAUGAAGCAUUAUUUUCAAGCUCAUGUUGUCCGCCUUAUUUCUAGAGAAAAUCCCAUCAACUUUGUUAUGUCAAAACCUAUCCUUAGUGACCGACUAGCAAGAUGGUACCUCCAAUUCCAGCAGUUUGAGAUCAUGUACAUCCCUCAGAAAGCUAUGAAGGGACAAGAAUUAGCGGAUUUCUUGGAAGACUAUUUGAGACCAGAUGAUUGGGAGUUAACUGAUGAUCUUCCUGAUGAGGAUGCAAUGAAUAUUGAAAUUCAACCACCUUGGAAAAUGUACUUUGAUGGGGAUGCACAUCAUGGCGCUGGAGUGGUGUUCAGCACUUCGCAAGAAGAGAUUCUACCAUUCUCCUUUACUUUGAAGUAAUGUUGCUCCAAUAAUGUCGUUGAAUACCAAGCGUUGAUACUUGGAUUUGAAUUGGCCGUCGACAUGAAGCAAUUACACUUACAAGUCUUUGGUGACUCUCAGUUGGUGAUUAAUCAACUCUUGGGAAGUUAUGAGGUGAAGAAGCCCGAAUUGCGCCCUUAUCAUGAUUAUACUCAAAAUUUAAUAGGAUGGCUUGGAGAUGUAACCCUCCAAUAUGUGCCUAGAACGGAAAAUAAGAAAGUUGAUGUGUUGGUUGCCCUAGCUUCAACGCUAACCCUUCCUGAUCUAACACAAAUCACUAUUUGCCAAAAAUGGAUGGUACCACCACCAAAUGAGGAAGAAUAUACAGAAAAUGAGCUUAAGUAUCACGUCAUUGUUUCUGAAGCCGCGAAGGAAGAUUGGAGACAACCAAUUAUUGACUAUAUGUGUUAUGGGAUGCUUCCAGAAAAUCCAAAGAGUCGUGCACCUCGCUUCCUUUACUACAAGGACACAUUAUAUAGAAGAUCAUUUGAGGGAGUACCCUUAAAAUGUUUGGGAGAGGAAGAAUAAAUCCAAGCUCUACAAGAAGCACACUUAGGAGUAUGUGGAUCACAUCAAUCUGGACCAAAGCUCCACUUUAAUAUAAAAAGAAUGGGGUAUUAUUGGCCAACCAUGGUGAAGGAUUUCUUAGAUUAUGCUCGAAGGUGCGAUGCUUUUCAAUUUCAUGCGAAUUUCAUACAUUAGCCACCUGAAGUAUUGCACCCAACUAUCACAUCUUGGCCAUUUGAUGCUUGGGGAUUACAUGUUGUCAGACCACUACCAAAAUCUUCUGGUGGACACUUGUACAUUUUGGCCACAACAGGUUACUUCUCAAAAUGGGCCGAAGUUGUCGCUCUUAAAGAAGUGAAGAAAGAGAAUGUUGCCGAUUUCAUUCAAGUGAAUAUCAUCUAUCUCUUUGGCAUUCCUCGCUACAUAAUAACAGACAACGGCAAAUCAUUUGACAACAUGUUAAUGAACAAGAUUUGUGAUUUCUUUGGCUUCAAGCAGCGUAAAUCUUCUAUGUAUCAUGUUGUCGCCAAUGGUCUUGUUGAAGCAUUCAAUAAGGUUCUAUGCAACCUGCUCAAGAAAGUCGUCUCCAAGUCCGAACAGGAUUGGCAUGAAAGAAUGGAAGAAUCCUUGUGUGCAUAUAGGACGACGUACCACACUCCAACUCAAGCAACACUAUAUUCACUUGUUGUUGGAGUUGAAGCAGUCUUGCCACUUGAGCGUCAAAUACAUUCUUUAAGACUUGUUAUUCAAGAAGGGCUCACUGAAGAAGAAAAUUCUCGACUGCGUCUUGCUGAGUUAGAAGAACUUGAUGAAAAGAUUCUAGAAACCCAACAAAAUCUUGAAUAUUAUCAAGCUCGUUUAUCUCGUGCUUUCAAUAAGAAGGUUCGCCUGAGGUUCUUUCAAGUUGGAGACCAAGUUCUCGCAGUUAGAAAACCCACCAUUACUUCGUAUAAGUUUGGGGGAAAAUUUACCUCAAAGUGGGAUAGACCAUAUGUUGUACAAGAAUUAUAUUCAAAUGGUACUUACAAGCUUGUUGAUGCAGAUGGCGUAAGGAUCGGUCCCAUUAAUGCAAAAUUCCUAAAGAGGUACUACUCUUGAAGUAAGAUGAUGCUCCUUAAGGUACGAGCCUAAAUUGCAUGUCACUCCUGGCCCGCAAAAGUAUAAACUGUGUACGACAAGCGGCAAAAUCAAAGAAAGAGUUCUAUAACUUUUUCAAAGGUGAAACAUCCACGUCUUUGCAGUCCAUUUCUUUGAUAAUUACUUGGAUUUCAUCUUUAUGAGGAGAAGCAGAAUCUACGUCACUUCUUGAAAGUUUGCCCUUAAUAACAUUCCAAAUAGCAGAAAUAAAAUCUUUCUGAGCAUCUAGGAUGACCUUCUUCCAAUCAAAUAUGGACAUAACAGGUGAUGGAUGCUUGUAUGCUUCAUACCCCAAAUCGUCUUUAACUUCAUUGCAAGAGACAUUAGGUAGCCCCUUUUCCACUUGAGUCACAGGAGGUGGUUUCAUCAAAUCUGAACAAGAUAUAGACUCAUCAGUAUCUUGUGACUUUUCUCAUUAGGGUGUCUCAAUAUUGUUCUCCUACAUAAAAAUGAGAGGGAUAAAUAGUAAAAAAAAUGCUAAGAUAUAGUCGUCCAGAAAACAUCCUUUCUUCGACAUGUGAUCACCUUGUUGUAUCAGGUAAGCCCCAACUAGGAUUAUGGGUUGAUUCGGGGCGAGCAGACUUCUUUUCCUCCCUCGGUGGAGCAGCUUCAUUCCUCUAAGGUUUCUUACACCAAAAACUUAUCCACUUGCUAAAAGAUACUUCUUGAUUAACCCCCUGAAGAUGAUGAAAUGCCGGAAACAAAUAUUCACAAGUCUGAGGAAUGUAUUUUGUCCUCUUUUCAUUGGAACCCACAAGUUCCUUGACCUCAGGCACUAUUUCUUCAUAAAGAGUACCCCAAAUCAGUAAACCUCCAAGAAUAUGUAAAUCCCAUAAAUAAAUAGAUACUUCUCCGGCAGAUGUAAGAAGUGUACUGGUUUUUGGACACCAAAUAUAGGUUGCUUUGGAUUUUUUUGAGAUUUAUUUGAUCUUCAUAAAAAUGAUUUUGUGGAUUUUUUUUAUAAAUAUUUCAUGAAUUUAUCAAAUUCUUUUCAAAAAAUAUACUGAUUUUGUAUAUGUUUUCAAGAUUAGGAUAAAAUAACUUUCAAGAAAUUAAAUUCGUUUAAUAAAGUCCUACAAAAUUUCAAUGCUUAUAAUAUUUUAAAUUGUUUAGGCUCAAAAGUCAAAUCAUGUGGAUUUGUUUCGUCAAUAGGCACAAGUGCGGAGGAAAUAAUGAAAUGAAUUCUACUUGGACUUAAUUACUUCCCUUGCAAUAUUUUUUUUUUCUUUUACUAAAUAUUUGAUAAUAACUUUUUUUUUAAUAAUAACUGUAAAACAUUAUGGUACCAUCAACAAUUCAAUAAACCUAAAGAGCACCAAUUUUACUAUUAAAAUUGAUCAAUGUAGUCUUCCCAGCCCCUAAUUUUAUGUUGUUUCCUCCCAUCCUUGUUUUAUUAUUGGCCUUCGUAUGCUUAUCCGUUUUCUCCAUAUAAUUUUGCACCGGCGGUGAAGUCGGAAUCGUACAUUUAGCCCUCGUUGGCAUAUUGUAAGCCAACGUGCAUCGAGAGAGCUUAGUCGAUAUAUAAGAUUCGGAUGUACUUCUUCACUCUUAAGGCUCAUUUGAGACUUAUAAUUAAAAAUGAAAAGAUCUCAUUUAUCAUUAGCUCCUCUCGAGGGCGAAAGGUGAGAGUAUUGGCAAUGAAUUUGGUCAAACUCAAUGCCAGUAGUUUUGGUUCAAACUUAUAUAUAUCCCAAAAAUUUAUGAAUACAUACAUAUUAUUAAUUUAAAUUUAAAUAAAUUAAAAUCAGAAUUCAUAAAUUUCAAAUACUGAUUCCGAAGAAAUUUCAAACAGCGUGGUCUGUGAUGUUUGGUGAUAUAUAGACAUGAAACACCUAUGUUGACUAUGAACAAGUCUGAAUCAUGCAUGAAGGAAUGAUCUUUUUUUCUUAUUUAAUGUAUUCCUUCCUUAAUUUAACUUAAAACCAAAAGUUGUUGAAGAGUUGUUUAUCUGUAUAAAACUAUAUAUGUGGAAGAACCUUUUUUUUUUUCUUUUCUAGUAAGUAUUUAAUUUGGUAAAAUAGGAAAUAUACAAAUUACAAGUGGCUUAAUUUAGGAGUAAAUGUCAACAUUAAUACAAAAAACAUAAGACUCAUUUGGAUAUUCUCAUAAAGAACAUCUCUCUCCACAUUUGAUUGAUCCAGAAAAAAAAACACAAUUUCUAUUUCUUUUUUCUUCGCUGUUCAUUUUUACUGGUUCAGUAUUAACUUGACAUAUAUUUUAAACAAUAAUAAAUAGAAUGAUAACUUUAUUAGAUAUAUUGUCUCCUCCAUUUUUACUUGUUCACCACUAAAAAUGAAUGUUUAUUUUUAUAUUUCCAGUUUUAAAUAUUAAAAGAUAAUUUAUUCUUAUUAUUAACUAGGUAAAUUAUCCGUGCUUCGCACGGGAUUGAACUAUUUUACUAAUCUUACAUAUGGUCAUUCGGUAAUAUUCGUAUUUUUGAUACAUACACUACAUUGUCAAGAACAUUUUAUCUUAAAGUAAAGCAUUCUUCUGAAAUCUUAAAGUACAAUAUUUUUUAAAAUUUUCAUUUUUGUUAUACAAAAAUUAUGAGUCGUAGAGAGAUUUUAAGUAUAAGAAAGAAGUCUAAGAAAAUCUCCAUGGAAAUAGUUGGUCAGAAGUAAUGAAAUUUUCUAAAUUCCAAGAAGUUAUAUAGAACAAAAUCAGACAUUAAAGAAGAGAUCAAAAAGUCUCAAACAACAACACUCCCAAGUAAAGUGGAACAUCACGUCUAUACAAGAACAUAAUUAACUAAAUUCAAAUGGAGGACCUUCGACUCCUUUCUUAUGAACCUCCAUCAAUCUCUUUUUUAUUAUAGUAUGUUGUACUAUGUAUAUGUUAAAAAUGACCAUAAAAUUGUGAGUAUCACAAAAGUUUUUCCUCAUUGUCUCAGAAUAGUCAUUACUAUUGCCAGGAUUGAGAAGUGAAGAAAUAGGGGAAAAACUUUUACUUGGAGAGUCUUGGAAGGAACUGAUAAUAAAUCAAGUUUUUCUUAUGAGCUUUUUUUCGAGCCUUUGUAUUUCUGUUUUUCUUCAUUAUCUGCUGGAAAACAUUCAGUAAUUUUCUUCAAUAGAAACGAUAAUAUGUAUACCUCAAUCCAUACAAAAUGUUUGUACCUAAGAAAAAACAAUCAAAAUAAUAUACUAACUGUGGCAAGCAAGAGAGCAAUCUAUUUGGUUCUUUUAACAAACAUCAUCAUUGGUUCCAUAUUAGUAAUCACAUAUUUAUUGUUGUAUGCUAUCAAAUAUAACACAAUCCACAAGCAAGUUUCCCAAAAAGUAUAUGAAGAAACCUGUAAAAAGGGACAAAAGAGAAGAUAAAUUUUCAAUCAUCUUCAUUGGAAAUUUUAACAGAGUUAAAAAAAAAAUACAAAAAUAGCAAAAAGAAAUUGCAAGGGAUACAUGAAUCACUAUGACUUACGGUAAAAGAUUAAUAUUCAUAAAAUAGGAGGAAGAAAGCUUUGAGAAAUGGAACACACUUCAUAAGAAGCUUAAUAAAUGUAUAUGUAUUUGACUGUCUUAAUGCAAAAAAUCCUACAAAUAAUAGUGGCAGAAAUAAAAGAUUUGUUUUCUAAAGAACCAAAUGUAAUGAAUUCAACCAUUUCAAAAGCGUUAUGAGUUGUGGGCGGAGAGGUGCAAGAAUAGUAAUGUUGCAGUGCAAUUAAAAUCAAUUUUCAUUGUUUAUAUGAAGAAACUUGUAGAAAGGGACAAAAGAGAAUAUCAAUUUUCAAUCAUCCUUGCUGAUAUUUUUUAACAGAGGUAGACGAAAGUCACCAAGAUAGAAAAAAGGUAUUGUCAUUGUUACAUGAAUCACUAUGAUUUAUAGAAAAGAUUAAACUCCAUGAAAUUGGAGGAAGAAAACUUUGAAGAAUGAAACAAACUACAUAAGAAGCUUAAUUAAUGAAUUUGAAUUUGACUACCCUAUAGCGGAAAAAAAAACACCUACAAAUAAUAGUGACAGGAAGUCCCUCUAUUUAUAGACAACAAAUGGUAGUGUGAACAAAUUUUUAUUGUGCCUUGUCGAAAGGGUCACAACUCAUUGGAAAAGUUACAACUUUUUGGAAAGGUCACAGCGUUCCAUAAAAAUCAUAUUUUUUCAUAAAAGUUGCAACUCUUCAUAAAAGUUACCAAGUUCAAAAAAAAAAGUUACUACUUUUCAUACAAGUUACAAUUUUUCAGAAAAGUCGUAAUUUUUCAUAAAAGUCACUACUUUUCAUACAAGUUACAACUUUUCAGAAAAGUCGUAACUUUUCAUAAAAGUCACUAUUUUUCAUUAAAGUCAUAACUUUUCAUGAAAGAGGAAUACUAGUUUUGUAAAUAAAUAAAUUAAAAGGGAAUUAAUGAAAGGGGAAGGUUAGUUUUGUAAAUAAAUAAAGUAAAAGGGAAUUCUUGUUUGUGGUGGUGCCACACAAUCCACAAGCAAUUUUCCCAAAAAGUAUAUGAAGAAACCUGUAAAAAGGGACAAAAGAGAAGAUAAAUUUUCAAUCAUCAUCACUGGAAUUUUUAAUAGAGUUCAAAAAAAAAAGUUACAAAAAUAGAAAAAAGAAAUUGCAAGGGAUACAUGAAUCACUAUGACUUACGGUAAAAGAUUAAGCUUCAUAAAAUAGGAGGAAGAGAGCUUUGAGAAAUGGAACACACUUCAUAAGAAUAAGAAGCUUAAUAAAUGUAUAUGUAUUUGACUGUCUUAAUGCAAAAAAUCCUACAAAUAAUAGUGGCAGAAAUAAAAGAUUUGUUUUCUAAAGAACCAAAUGUAAUGAAUUCAACCAUUUCAAAAGUGUUAAGUGUUGUGGGCGGGGAGGUGCAAGAGUAGUAAUGUCGCAUUGCAAUUAAAAUCAAUUUUCAUUGUUUAUAUGAAGAAACUUGUAGAAAGGGACAAAAGAGAAGAUCAAUUUUCAAUCAUCCUUGCUGAUAUUUUUUAACAGAGGUAGACGAAAGUCACCAAGAUAGAAAAAAGGUAUUGUCAUUGUUACAUGAAUCACUAUAACUUGUAGUAAAGAUUAAACUCCAUGAAAUUGGAGGAAGAAAACUUUGAAGAAUGAAACAAACUUCAUAAGAAGCUUAAUUAAUGAAUUUGAAUUUGACUACCCUAUAGCGGAAAAAAAAACACCUACAAAUAAUAGUGACAGGAAGUCCCUCUAUUUAUAGACAACAAAUGGUAGUGUGAACAAAUUCUUAUUGUGCCUUGUCGAAAGGGUCACAACUCAUUGGAAAAGUUACAACUCUUCGGAAAGGUCACAACGUUUCAUAAAAGUCAUAUUUUUUCAUAAAAGUUGCAACUCUUCAUAAAAGUCACUACUUUUCAUACAAGUUACAACUUUUCAGAAAAGUCGGAAAAUAAAUAAAUUAAAAGGGAAUCCUGAUUUGUGGUGGCGCCAUGUAGGUGGGCAUAGGGUUCUCUUUUAUAUAUAUAUAUAUAUAUAUAUAUAUAUGAUUAUAGUUAUUACUAGAGCAUUGAUUUAUCAUAUAUUACUAAAAGUGGGAAGCUUCUAACCUCAAAGUUGGAUUACCAUUUUGCCCCUAAAAUAAAAUACAAUAUUAUUAAAUAUCUAAUUAAUUAAAUAAUAAUAAUUAUUUUAAAAACUUUUCUCAUUCAAAAAUAACAUUAAUUCUCUACAUCACCAAUUAAUCAUUAUGUCGAGAAUGUGGAGAAGAUAGAAAGUUGAAAAAAGUAAUUUAAUGUUGACCAAAUUCAUUGGAUUAUAUAAAUUAAAUAAACAUAAUUCUUUGGCAAUUAAAAUGUUACCAAGAAUUAUUAAAUGAAUGUUUGAAUUUUGAAUAGCCUCUACUAUACAGAAUUAAAAAUUGAAUAUGAGGGGUCAAUUUCCAUGUAGAAAUUAGUUUCGGAUUUAAAAGGUCAUUAUCUAAUACUAUUUAAGAUGGAUGCUAAUCACAUUAAAUUGAAUGAAUUGCACAAUUCAACAUUAGAAGAAAAGAGAGUUGGAAGCUGAACAAAAAAGUGCCGGAAGCUGCUAAUCAAGAAGAAGAAACAAAAGCAGCAGAAAAAAGAAAAGUAGAUUGAAUACAGGAGUAGAAGAAACAAUAUAUAUGUUAAUAUGUUUGACGCCAACAAUAAGAAAGUUACUAUUUGUUAUUUAUUCAUCUGAACGUGGAAACUUGCUUAGCAAUAUAUAUCAUCAACUCCUCACACUUGCUUUCUUUUUUCUAUUACAAGAUUUUAAUCCUUUAUAAUUCAUUUGUUUCCGAUUUUCAACUCGAUAUAGUUACAAACUUUAAAUUUAGUUAUCAUCGUGAGCCUUUGGAACAAUAAAUAUGAAAUCAAAUUUGUCAUUCUUCUUCUUCUGCUUCCAUAUUUUGAUGUCAUUUGUCUUUUAAUAUUUUUGGAAACCUUAAGUGAUUUUUUAAAAUUCUUUUCGGGCAUUAUUUUACCCUUAAAUUGCAAAAGGUUUGUUUACAAGAUACAAAUGUGACCGGACAUUUUAGUCAACACAAUACUUUGAUGAAUUGAGUAAUACUAUUCUCUUUUUUUUUUUAGUAAAGAAUGAUAAUAUUCAUCUAUAAGAAAAUACAAAAUAGAAGUUUGUAUCAUAGAUGACUUGCUUUAUGGGUCACACAAAGCUUAUUAUUGGUCAUUAAUGAGUUUAAUAUCUAGGCUUUUAAUUUUAUUAUGUGGAAAAGUAUUAAUUAUAGAUCAAAGAAAGUUCUAAGAUAUGUGUGCACCAGUUAAAAUUUAAAAUUGGAUAUAAAUUUAUAUUAAAAUUUAGAAAUUCACAGUUGAAUUAUCAUUUUGAUUUCAAAGUUUGAUUACCAUUUUGCCUCUACUAUAAAUUAAAAUGUUAUAAUAAUAAUUUUAUUUUUAUUUACUUUUUCUUGCUCAUUUACUCUAUCUUUUACUAAAUAAAAUAAUAAUGAUUCCAUUUAUCCCAAAAUAAAGAGUACUCCACUCGCCAUUAUAUCUGCCAACACGAGUAAUUGACAUUUUCAAUAAGUUUUAUCUAAUAAAUAUUUGUAUUCGUAACCGACUUUUUAUGUAAUCUAUAAUUACAAUAUAUGUAUUAACCUCUCACAAUUGUAAUAAUUAUAAUAAUAAUAAUAAUAAAGUUCUUGUACUAAUAGCAUGAGAUACACCGGCAGCAUACAUGUUGAGUAUAUAUAUAUCGUUAUAACAACUCCACACAACUUAGUAUGGGACACACGUGCGUUGCACGUGUCCAGGACUAGUUAUAUUAAAAAGGUGAUAUAAUAACAUUUUCAUUUUAUUUAUUUCUUUGAAUGUGUCAUUUCAAUAACGAACAAGUAAACAGAAAGAGAGUAAUAAAUUUGUGUGAUAAUAAGGACAAAUUUAAAACUUAAUAAUUAACUUCUAAACUGGACAAAUAACUAUUUUUAGUAUAAUCAACCAACGAAAAUAAACGGAGGGAGUAUAAAUCAAUUAAAUGAAAUAGUACACUAGAAUAUUUUUCAUUCAUUUGAAUUUUUAUUUUUUUAAGUGUAUGGCAUCAAUUAACAGUUGUACAAUUCAAGUGGUGCAAAAAAAAAAACCCUACCCUUACCCCCCACCUCCCCAUGUCCCCCACCCCCAAACACCCCCACAAUACACACCCAUGGGGUACUUUUGAGCACUACAAAUUCAAGACCAAACCCCUCACUUUCUUUCAUUCUUUGUUUGUCCUUCACAAAAACAAAGAACAAGAAAAAAACUAAACUCUGGCAAAAAAAAAAAAUCAUAUUUCAAAAUUCUUUCUUCAUCUUCUAGAAUUCCACAAAAUUUCAACAUUUUUUCAUCUUUUUUACUAUCAUUUUUUAUUAUUCGACAUGUCAACUAUAGUUUAUCAAGAUUUCCAGUCAUAUCAUUGAAACAACUACUCUUAAGCUCAAAGUACCAACCCCAACUACUGUACUGGAAAAUAUGAAUACUACUAAUGAAAAAUGUUGGAGUUCCGUUCAAAAUCUCUCAUCCAUCAAUUAUAUAUUCGAAGGAAAUGGAUAACUCUUAUAAAAAAUGAACUCCAACAGUGUAAUAGUGAGGCAAACCUCAAUGAGGAGGUCAAGUUACUAAAGGGGUUUAUGUAAUGUAAAACUCAUGAAAUAUAAGAGGGUGACAAAAGUUGGUUAAGGAAGAACUUGUAGGCUUCUAGGGUGGUAAACUUUCAAAUAUGCAUGACAUUUUAGGCUAAUCUCAUAUCAAAAAAUGAGAGAAACAUCAGAACAUUAUACUCACGCUACAAGACUAAAAAUAAUACACAAGUGCGUGGGUACAUACAUACAUUUAUCUCACCGAAGAUGCAAACCUUGAUCUAUUUUUGCAUCAAUUUAGAACUGGCACUACAAGAAAAGUGUGAAUUACAUAGGGAUUUUCCUUGGGAUUAGUAUGAAAAUUCGUAGGAAACUUAUUUUCCCGCAAAUUUUCAUACUAAUCCCCAGGAAAAUCCUCAUGUAAUUCACACUUCUCUUGUAGUGUGGAUCCUCUGAAGGUUCGCUGCCUGACGUGUGAUCUCUGCAAUAUGAAAUCUUGAACCUUAGAAACUUCAUACGUCAAAAGUGCAUGUCGUCAAAUGUGAGUGCGGGAGCAUAUGGUUGGAGAAGUUUUCAGGGAAAAUGAGAACAAUAGAGUGACAUCCAAGAAAACAAAAUGCCAGAAUGGCAUCUGCCAGAAUUGUUUAGUUGAUGGAAUAUCUCGAUUAAAAAAGAGUCAUCAUCAGUAACAACUUGCUAAGACGAGGAUAAUGUUUGUCAAUCCUGUUCAGUUGAUGAAAGAAGGGAGUUUCUUUCUCCAUCAAACAGUUCUCAUCAAGGAAGUUGCUUCUGCAAAAUGCAAAUAAAUUACCCUUCGGGGUGGCCCAGUGGUUUGGGCUUGGGACUUCCAUGUUGUAGGUCUCAAGUUCAAAACCCCUUGCCAGCAAAAGCAAACGGUUUGCCUUCUGGGUCGAACUCGUCGCACCGUGCUUGCCUAGUACGGGUUACCUUUUUUGUGUGGUUUGCAAGCUAUUGCAUAGGAGCGGGGUCUUACCCUGUGCGCACCCAAAGGGUAGCUAGCAGCUGUGGAUUUUCCUUGUCAUCAAAAAAGUAAAAAUAAAAAAUGCAAAUGAAAUCUCAGGGAAGGAGCUAACAGGAUGGAUAAGUAUUUAAAUUCAAUCAGUUAAUUUAUGAUAGCAGAUGAAUAAAAGGUCAAAGAAAUGAGUGCAAUCAGCAAAUAUCGCACUUUGAUACCAAACACAGAAAAUCACUGAUCACAAAACACAAUCGAUUACACAUGACAGUUGUAAGUACAAUUCUGAUCACUCCUUGCAAUCAUUAUCAACCCUAUUACAUGAUAAGACAAGAUUAUGAGAACUAAUUAAAAUUAAUAAGAACUCUGAUGAACACUAGCACCCUUCAUGAAAUCAUUAUGCAAGAAUAGAAGAAAGUAAAGACAGAGAUUAAAUGGUAAGAAUUGGAUUAAAGUUCAGUCGGUGACUCUGAGCUAUCUACGUCAUUGCACAUAAUGUUGAGUUUUGGGAUCUUUCAAGUUGAUGCUAGAUGCUAAUGGAGUUGUAUUCUGGGUAAAUAACUUGCAUUACGCACAACCUAAGAUACAUGUUGGAAAGUUAUCUAAAUAGACCUAUAAUCUCUUGAAUUCAUGCAAUUUAGCAAAAGAAUAGAACACAAUGUAAGUAGAGGAUUCACAUAAGCGCACCAAACUAAUUAGGAUGAAGGUUUGGCUAUUGUUGGUAGACUUAAUGGUUGAGGCAUUCAAUUAAUGUAGAAUUCUCCACAUAAUGGUGCUUGUAACUUCUACAGGUCUACCGCCAAGAGAAGUUCAGGGCUGUUCAGCAAUGUGAAACACUAGACAAGCAACAGUAUUUCCCCUUUAUAGAAGAACAAUUGGUCUGAAAGUCCAAGUCAUUUUAGUUUCAUUGCUGGUGAAAUUAUGAAUAGAUAAUACACAUUGACGAAAUAACUACCUUUUCACAUCCAGGAAUGCUCUAACUUAUGACUCUGUUAAAUCAUUAUCCCCAGCGGCUGAUAAGUCACAUGAAACAGUGAAUGCAUCUAUACCUUUUGUCAGACAUGUGGAACUAUAACCAGGCUUCUUAGUAGCUUGACUAUAAAGAAUGUUUGCUCAACUUCUUGUCAACUUAAGCAUUCAUCACAUCUGCAGGACCAAUCAUCACCAGGUUCACAGAUAGGGUUAAAACUCUACGUUCAAGAAAAUAUGCAGAUACAACUUUAGUUUACUUAGUCAUUCACGCAAACAUAUUCUUUACAGAGACAAGGGGAAACUAUAUAUAUAGUAAUACCAUCACAGGAAAGACAAUAUGAACCAAACUUUACAGAUGCAUCAAAACAUAAUAUCAGCAUCUACUGACACUCUUCAUUAUCAGAAUUGCCAUGAUUCCAAAGUUCCUCUUCUUUUUUUUGAGAUUGGUUGAUUCCAAAGUUACUCUUACCUCAAAAAGUUCUCCGAUUACACACUAGAGCACCUCACACUGCUAAACUUGCAAACAUCUUUCAAACCAGCUUCGGCAGCUCUCGUGUCAGGAUUGACUCUACAGCAUAAGCACAUCUUUAGAUUUUCUAUAAGUAAAAUAAGAGAUGACUAAAGCAAGAGACUUGAAAUAUCCGUACAGAGGAAAAGUAAUUGCUUGCGAGGUCCUGAAAACCGUCCUUUGUGCUCCAUGUUCUCAUACUUUUGUUGGUCACAUUAUUUGAUUUUUGUUAUAUUCUGGUUUGUGCAUUAUUUGAUUUUUAUUAUAUUCUAUUGAAUGAUCAGAACUUGGGACUGUGUAAAUGUGUAAUUGUAGUUUUAAAAAAUAUAUUGGCUCAAUCCCGGGUUUUCUUUAAACCAAGGUUCUUUGCAAGAAAAUAUCACAUCAUUAUAAUGUAAAAUAGGAAUUGAGCAAAUGUACCUUUGGAAAUGUAAAUAAUAGUGAUCCCGAGAUCUUUUGCCUUGGAAAGCUAGCUAAGAAAGCAAACAGAGAUGAACAAGCAACUAAGGCUCUUGGUCAUGUACCUUAGGAAAUUGUGAUGCCUAUAAGAAAUGAGUAGUUGAUUGGUGAAAAAGAAACACAUGAGAGUAGUAAUGAGCAAUCAGGUGAAGAAAAAAAAGUGGUGGAUUUGCAACUGAGUGGUCAGGUGAAGAUGAAAACAGAUGACAUAGGUGGUAAUCAAAGUUAGAGAAGAAAGCAUUGAGCAUAGAACAAGUGAGGAUUCAGCUGAAGAACAAGAAGAAUUCUAAGGGCAAUCAUCAAAAGAUAAUAGUGAUCCUGAGUCUCUUUUGCUUCCAGUAAAUACGUAAAGAUCAUUGACAUCAAAAGGUAUGGGUUUAAGACCCCACUUAAACAUGUCUGGGCCUUAUGAUUCAAGGGUCACUGCGAGAGUCUGCUUAGAGCUUAGAACUCAGUUUGUUGAGUUUAUAGAGGUUUUGAUCAGUGAGGGUGUUGACUAGAAAUUUAGAAAAACUUGUUUUAGUCACUUUUUGAACUUAAAAAAAGAUGUAGAGCUACAACUCCUUCCAUUGAAGUUGAUGCAUAGCAUUUUUCUUCGCUGAAUCUUCUCUGAAACGAAAAAGAAGAUCUAGGAUGAUUAAAGGUUUGCCUAUUUGUUUUGGCAUUAACGAAUUCAUUGUCAUGACUAGACUCCAAUGUCACUCUACCUCCCUUGCAC
rnacentral:lncRNA from 1 species